CGGGCAGCGCGUCUGUCCUCACCGAUAGGAGCGCCGAGUUCGCAGCCCGCGGACGUGCCGGCGUGGGCGCACGGUAACCGGGAGAUUGUAUUCGUUAACAGUUGAAUCUUACUUUACCCUUCCAGUCAGCGGAUGCUUCUGAAUCUUUAGGUAUGGAUUAUGUGAGAUUUCCUUUUUUUUUUUUUUUUUUGCUUUGCCUCAUCUUCCAAAAAAAGCGUUCGCUGUGUAGGUGAGGCUGGAAGGCUUUUUCCCACGUGAGCCUUUCAAAGUCACUGCCGUCUCCGCUAAGUGCAUUUAAGGCUGCCGCGGUUGUCAGCCGUGCAAAGGACAGCAGCGGGGCAGCGUGGGACAAGCCAGCGUGCUGCCAUCGCUUUUGUUGACGGAGCAAUCCAGCAUUGAAGGUUUGCAGCAUACGGCACUGCUCCGGCUCCGCAUCCCGCUGCAGUGGUGUCAGCAUCGCUGCCGUGCCGGGAGCAGAAGGAGCAGCGCCUGCCCCGAGGCACCCGUGCAGGGGACCUUUAAUUGUGCACCCAAACGCGAUGGCGGCGCAGAUCGGCUCUUUGCAGGCAGAUUUUUAGAUUCUCAAGUGACCGAUUGCCUCAUAUGUGAGAUCUGUUUACAAACCUUCUUGUUACUAUGAAGACAAAACAGAGAGCCAUAUGCAUUCAUGUGGUCCUCGCUGAAUAAUGGUACAUGUGUCUGCCUGAGCCCUUGGCAGCGCAUCGUGUUUGGUUUGUGCGGUGGCACCCCACAAGGCCAUUCUUUGGGCUUUUAACUGUUUGUGAGACAGCUGGCCAUCGGUUACGGGGACAAACUUUGUGACAGAGCUGGAAGUUUUCUAAGCCUGAAAUGUCAACAUUUAUUCGGGUUGCUGUUUUUCUGAACUAGGUUUGCACAAAAAUGGAAGUAAUGAGUACCAUUUUACGUGGCCUUCUUCUCAUGGCUUUCAAGCCAUCAGCAGGGGAAUUACAGUUACUGGUAGGUAAGGGGAGUAGGGAGCUGUAAAUCCGCUGCGCACAACACACUUAGCUAAUCCUGCAAUGUGUCCCAUCCAGCAGGGCAAUGCUUGCUGUUUGCACGUUGCUGUAGGUGGGAAGGUCGGUUAUGUGGCUUGUCAGGUGUUAUGAAAUACUAGCAAGAUAUCUUUACAUUUCAAUGCGGUGUGGUUUUGUAGCGUGCUGUGGUUGGCUAUGCUGAUAAUGCUGCAUCCAGCUCUGCAGGUGGGUUCAGCAAGCAGCACCUCCACAUCAUUCCCACUUGAUUCUGUGUGUCACGGUUCCAGGUACUACCAUUGGAGUGGAGCUCUGGCUUUCUCCAGCUGUCUUUGCUCCUUCUUUAAGCUGGGUCCAGCGAGGGCUGGUUCCUUGUAUUGCGACGAGGGGACAGUGCUUUACUUGCCUCGCCUUGGUCAAUGGAGAAGAGACGUUUGAACCCGAGAGCAGCUGCUUAUAAACCAUCGGUCCUCCCAGCAGGAGGUGUGAUGGGUUCCAGUCUUCAGGGAGCAUUAAUUGCUGAUCCUCUUGGGAGCCCAACAGAUGUGCUGUAUGCGCAGGCUGCGUACCUUUGCUAUUUGAAAAGUCUGAUAAGUUACGGGGAAACUGCUUUAAAAAUUAUUUUAUUUAAAGAGACAGCUUGUUUUUUUUCUUGACAGAUUUCGUAAGCAGCGCCUCUGAAGCAGUGUGCAAUGGAUUAAAACAGCUAUUUUUGAAAUUACUUGGUUUUCUACUGUAAUGUAACUCCCCUUUUGUCAGUAGGAGGAACUGUCUGGCAGUUCCUGAAGAAGCAAAGAAACUGUGAGGGGAGAUGCAAGCUAGAUAGAAAAUGGAGAACAGUGUUUUUCAGUGGUACGCUUCAAUCGGUAACUUUGGAUGCUGCUUUUAAUUAAAGUAGCACGGAAUUAUCACAUAAGAACGUCAGUUUCAAGCUGUCUGUGCCGUUUUAUUAGGAAAUAGCAGCUUUGUACGGUUUUGUUUCUCUUUGUAGGAAGACUUUGCAAGAGCAGUUCUAUUUCGGCAGGAAAUAUUAAAAAGCAAUUCAUCAGGGCUGUAUUUUUCUUCAGUGAAAUUAGUGCUUGGCUGACACCCUGAAGGCAGAAAUCCUUUGUAGGUGGAAGGGUUGGAAGUGUUUCCAUUGUAACCAACUGGCGAGCCUCUCCUUGGACUUUGAGAAGUCGUCAGUGAGUGUGAGUGUAAAGGCUGUGUGAACCUCUGGGAACAUCCAUGCUUUGGGUUCUUUGCUCAAGUGGCAAACGAGAGGCACCACAUACUUCUGGUUUUAGAAUAGUGAACUCUACUUAGAAGUGAAACAAUUGACAUUGACUAACCACUCAUUAGCAGUGGGACGCCCCCAGUAAGAUUUAUCCCCACAAUCUUUCUCACUAAGCUGUGGAUGUGGAAGAGAGACGAGAGGGCUUCAGCUGCAGCAACAGUCUGAAGUGCUGUUUCCAAACCCCUGAUGUGAAAUAAUCAGAGGACAUACAAGUGUCAUAUGUAACGUUGCCUGUCAAAUUAAAAGUCUCUUUGCUUGUUUCUUAUUUUCUUGUGAUUAAUUUCUCACCACCAUUAAUAUAGUCUGAAUAGGAGUUACCUCACGUUGUGAGGAAGCGUUGUGCAUUCUGGGUGCUUAUUUUCAUUUGCCUUUUGGGCACAUUUGUACACCUGCAAAACAGUACGCCAGAGUAAUAAUAGUUGAAUGUGGACCACAAGUGUUUAUGCUCACAGCAUUGCCCGUGUUUCCGUAUUUCCUCCUCCUGCCCUGGGCAUGCCUCUUUUGGUGCUUUCUUGAAGUUGAAUGUUGCCUUUGCCUUUGUCACUGAUUGCUGUGAUUGUCAGCAAAGGGGUUUCUCUUAGUAAGCCAAAACCUAUACGUGCUGGUUUUUUUUCUUCUCCUCUUUCUUUGGAUAGGAAUCUCAGGCCUUGUGCUCCAGAAAAUGUGACGGUAGUCUUGAAGUUCUACAUUACAACAAUGUGGUUGUAAUUAUCUGAUAGGAGUUCCCCCAGCAUUUGGCUGUGAUGGUAUGAUGAGUUUGUGUGGCGAUUUUUAUCCUUUUCUUCUGCUCCUAUCAGAGUAGUUGAGAUCUCAACAGGAAAACUGUAAAACUUCUAAAACUGAUGUGAAAACUGUAAAUAUUGUACAGAAGUCGUUGGUGAGGUGUUUAUGGCCACUUCACGCACACAUGGCUUUGAUUUGUUGCGCCUCAAUUUGUGUAACAGAAAAUAAUUUUACUGUGGGUUUUGGUUUUUAUUUUAUUUUUACUUGUGUUUGACGGUUCUCUUCUGAUACAUUUAUCAAGUCUGAAAAUUGCCACUCUAAUAUGAAAGAAUUUCUGCCUGCAGGAAAAAAAAAAAACAUAUUAAGAAUAGAAGUUCACUUUGUUGCAACUUCAAUAAGCUGUAAUAAACUCCUGCAGCUCUGGCUGAAAUCUCUCAUUUAUGGAAGCUGUGAAGAGGUUAAAAAAAUAUAUAUGGUAAUUAUUAAAAGGUAUACUUUAAUGGCUCUUGGGUUAUAAAAGAGGAGCUCCGUGUUUGGUUGCUACAGAAAGUUUAAUUUUUAAAUAGUGGUUUACGGACCAGAUAGAUUAUUUGCACGUGUAGUUCAGUUCAGUAGAAAAGUAAAAACUAGAGGAGCCGAGGGGAAUUGAAAUUAGAAAGUCAGAUGGCAUUUAAAGGUAAUGCAGUAAAAUCUUUUGAUCCUCUUUGUAAGAAAACCCUCACAUAACACCAAAGCAGAAAAAAUAAACAACAACAACUGAUUAUUUUUCUGCAGUUCAUAGUGCGUGUUGGGCCUUUAUUUGGCUUCAGAGGGUUGGUGUUGCUCCUGGGCUGACCAGGCUAACCUCAUCCUCCCUGGACUCUGGUGGCGUGCCUGGAACUUCCCAGUGCUGGGUUUGGUGGUGAGCUGCUGCUGGAGCCUGGGUGUGCGUUCCUUCUCGAGUGGUUUAUGAAGAAGCAGUAAUACGGGAUGUUUUCUAAUAAGCAAUUUAAAAGGCUGAAAGAAAUAUCCAAUUACGUGUCGUAGAACAUGAUAUCAUCUCGGAGAAUGUAAUAGAGCAGAAUGUUUAAUUUUGUUGAAACAAGAUUAUUUAAUGAUCAGUUUUUCCAUAAAGCAGUGUCUGUGCUUAGGCGGAAAGCAGCUUUAUGUUAAAAAAACCAAAAGGCUAACAGGACAGAUGAGGGUUAUUAGGAUUAGUCUUGCUAGACAGUGUGUAUUGUUCUUUUCUGUUAAAUUCGAGAAAUGGCCCAUUCUCUGUAUUGAUAUAUUUUCAAUUUGUGGUUUGCACUAAAACAAAACACGUGUAGUGUAUCAAGAAAUAAUAGUAUGAAAUAAUAAGUGGAGCUACCCAUCCUUGACAACAAGACAUGACACUAUUUAGUUUAGAGCAAAAAGUAUUUAGUUUAUAGCAAAAACUAUUUAGUUUAGACCAAAGUCAGUAUUCAACAGACUGAGCUGCUGGCAUCUAUUAACAGUGUUCGUCAUUGUGUGCAUGGCAUUUAAGUGCUGCCUGUUCAGAAGGGUCCUCAAAGUACAUGGAGUUUCAUGUCCCUUGCCUUUCCGAAACAGGUAAAAUAGUUCAGUUACCUGGAAAAUGUAUCACUGUGUGCUCUAACUACUGUCAGUUUAGGUGGUGUUUGGAAGUGAUUUUAUAUCAUUCUGUGCACGCAUCAGCAAUGGUAAAGAAGCACUCUAGAGAUGAGUGUAAGCCCGUCUGUAGCUGACAUCCGUGCAUGCUGACAGUGCCUAACUGCAUCCCCUGUGACAACUGUGAACACAGAUCUAUCAUGAGAUUUGAGUUUCUAAUACCGUUUACAUUAUAGAAAAGAGGGUCCGGUGUUCAGUCUUCCGUAACAACAGAGAGAGACAAAUUUUGACUUUUUCCCUUUUUACAUCAGCUAUGUUUAGGAAGACAGUUUUUGUAGCUGGAAAUAGUUUUCUAGUGAGAGAGUUACUCAUAUUUGACCAGAUGUUCGUAGGCUCCUACAAUUAAAUCCCAAUGCUCUUUUAGUCAAUAAAAGUUUCUACACCAGUAAAGAUACAAUUCAACUAUGAACCUUCAGACCACAAUGUCAGACUUCUUGAUGCUGUGUGAUAUGAUAGUCUGUUUUGAUUACCAGGGCAGGUCACGAUAGAGUAAAGCUGCUCAGAGUAAAGCAGCUGUUUUGAUAUUUCUGCAAAGCUAUGCAAAUACAAUUGCUUUCAAAAUUCUUAGUAAAAUUGUAUCAAACAGAACUUGUAGCCCAUUCUAUUAUUUUGUGCAUGAUCUUACAGUAGCAGCAAGAUUCUUUCAGAAGGUAGAGAACAUUUUGACUGCUCUGUUUAGCUAGAAUUUUUGUUUCCUUAAAGCUCAAAUAAUGGGCAAGCUACGUGUAUUUAAUUGUGAUGUGCAGUUGUGGUUAAGUGUAAGGAUAGGAGUCAUUUAUAAUACACUUGAGUUGGAAAUGAUGUUAUUGAAAUGGUGCUCUGUGAUAUUAGCAUGAUGUUGGUGAAAUAAAACUUCACGGGAUGGUGUUUCUUUGAGAGCUAGAGCAAUGCCAAAUAUGUUGUCUGUACCUCCCUGGUAGUUUGGUAUGGUGGCAACGAAGUUAGGAUGGAGUAGGCACUGUUAUCUGUCAAAUUUGAUACAUAUUACAUACAUAUUGUUCACAUCAUUAUUUUUAAUCUCUGAUCUACUUAAUUACUAAUUAAAAACAUAUACAAAUCUUUACUUGUCUUUGACUUAAUUUAUCAUAGUGAGCAGUGCUAAUUAUUGGUAGAAAAUUACUGCGAAUUAAUAAAACUACUGCAUAAGAUGGUGUAACUAAUAGCACAUGUCUGAGACAGCUACAGUUUUGAAAAGAAGUAAGAUUGUAAGUUAGUACUGGUAUAUACUAGUAUGAAAGUUUCCAUAGUACCUUUCUGUGGUUUAGUUUGUUAUUGCCAGGACUUUGUCCACAAAAUGUCAGGAGACAAAGGGAUGACAAAGAACAUUAAAAUUCUCUGCUUUGUUUUUAGCUCAGCUCAUUAAUAGUUGAAAACUGUUGUCAGAUAGAAUAAUAGCAUCAUAGAAUGGCUUAGGUAGAAAGGGACCUUAAAGAUCAUCUAGUUCCAACCUCCCUGCCAUGGGCAGGGUUGCCACCCUGAUUCCAUUAAGUUGCUUAAUGGUCUCUUUGUAGGCAAAUAUUCAUCACUCCCUGUAGUGCUCUUAUGAACAAGCUCAGCAGAGAGGUGAGAGAGUAAUAGGGAAGGAAAUGAGCCUAUAUUCCAAAAUCUCCUUCCUCCAAAAUCUCUCUUUUGGAGCAAAGUCAAUAUAUUGCUGGGUUGUACAUAUUUCAGUUUCCGUAGUCUUCCAUGAUGGAAAGUUAGUCUGGACGCAUUCACUUGUAGGAGGUAAGUGUGUAAGGAGAGGAACUUCUGCUCUAGUUUUGGUCUGUGUCCUCUAUGUGAUGAUUUACAGUGGUGCAUCUUGGUUCUUGCUUGUUCUUUCACAGUAAUGGUGAAGUAGCUUUCUGUAGGCAUGCCCUGAUUUUCCUUCCCUUGCUCUCCAGAGCAGCCUCUACAUGUCAGGCAAGAGAAAGACACGUGGGACUGUGGAGUUCCUUUACACACACCUCUCCGAAACUUCAGUGCAGCGUAUUUUCCGCAAAUGGAGUGAAACCUUAUUAUUUACUUUCUCUGUCGCACACUAUUACUGCCAUAGUAAUUAAAAAAGAAAGUGAGGAGGGUACUAAAUAGGCGUUUCUGGAUGUACAGUGAAUGAAAGCUUGGAGGGGAAGUUUAAUAAUAUGUUAAGGGGAGGUUUGAAUAUGACUGGCAGUGGAUUAUAAUUGUCUUCAAGAAGAUACUUUUGUCAGAUCAGGUCUCCCUCUAACAUUAAGUCCUCAACCUAAAUAAUAUUAGUAUUUCAGCUUUAAAGUCCCUGUCAAAUUGUAAACCAUACAUGCUUGUUUUGAUGAGUAAUUAAGAUUCAUUACAAAUCACCAUCAUGGCUUUGGUGGUAGCAUCCUCUGAUUUGCAUUGAUUCCUCCACAAAAGAAUCACCCUCAGAAUACAAUGUGGAACACCGUCUUAUCUUGCUUAAUGCUUGCAGAUAAUUUUCUUUACAUUUGCUUAUGCACUGUUUUGAUUUAUUUCAGUUGCAGUAUCAUUUGAUCCUGCUCAGUAGUUCAGCCCACUUAACUAGCAAGCAAGGGAAUAAAUUAAACCAAUUUUGGACAGACUCUUUCUCUGCCAAGUGGGCUGUCUGGCAAACCAAGAGUAUAAUAAAUAGGGUUUGUGGCUAUUUACAGACUUAUAUAUUAGAAAACAGCUAUGCUUCCCAGUUUCAUUACAUAACUUGAGUGGUGGGUUAUACUCGUGUUUCUCUUAGCCAAAGAAAUGCAGUUCUGUACUGUACCCUACCUGCCUUGUAUGCUUGCUUGAUCAGUGAAACCUCAUCACUUGGUUCUGGAACUGCUUGUGAAGAUGAUUUGAGAAGUCUGUAUUUCAUCUCAGUUCAUGCGUGCUGCCAUUUUUUUUUUUAAUGUGGUCUCAUACCUUCUUGUUUGAAAUGGCGUUAUUGCUGAGGCCUUUUGUUUGUCUUUUUUCUUGUUGUUUUUUCUUUUUUUUCCCUGCUUGUAUUGUUCAGCAUAAAAAAAAAAAAAGACAUAAGAAAACCGUGUUUAUAAUAGGAUUGUGGAAUAACCGAUCCGUCCUAUGUAUUUCAUCUUCCAUGUGAAACUCAGUAGCACAGCAAUGCCGAGCUGCAUUUGCUUAACACCAAUCUUUGGGUUUUUCUUUGCACUUUCACACUUUUAAAUGCAAUUUUAAAAGAGCCCUGUACCUGUUGGGUUGAUUAAAGGGGAGGUGAACUUUUUUUUUUUAUGUGCUACAAUGAAAAUGAAAAAUAAAUAGGAAAAAGCCUAUAUCAACCAAAGCUUAUGACAUGAUGUUAAAACGUAUAACCUUGGGCAAAAGGGGCCAGUUAUUGGAGUAGUUCUUGAGUAACCUAAUUGUUUGAUAAGGAUCCUUGCCUGUUUAAGUUGUUGUUGGUUGUUGGAAGCAUUCCAUUUCUAAAUUUGUGCCUUACUGCAUACCCUGAGGUAUGUGUACAACCCACUGUAAUUGCAGAGUUUACUAUUUUAUUAAUUAGAGCUAUGAUAAUACGUUGGCUCAUGAAUUCCCUCUAAUCCAGCUAUGGUCUCCUAAUUGCCCAGGGUUCUGUAAUUCCAUUGUUUGUUAUGUGGAGGUGAUGGAGAGUGAAAGCAUGGUCUGAGGAACUCAACCCAUGCCCUGAAGCCUGCAGUUGGUGUGCUGUUGCAACCAAUGGCGGAAAGGUAGGGUAUCUUUUUAACAUGCCUGAUGAAUAAUAAUUGAAUAUGUAGCAGUAAAUUUACUGUGUAAUCCCGAGUACCUGAGACUUUGCCAGCUGGAAGGAAAGGGAUGCAUACUUUAAUUGGCCUCUCUAACCAUAACAGUGCACCCCUUACUACUUCUUUGAUCUGGGUCUCUCCUGACUGCCUCUUUGCCUGAGUGACUGGCAAACUUAUAUGUGAUUUGCUGUAAGGCACACAACUGUGAACAAGCACCUGGUGUGUAGUAGCAGCUCCUGUUUUUAAUCAGCCUUUGGAGUAGUAGGCAUAUGAGGAUGUCUGGUCCUGCGUUCCGUAAACUACGCCUGGGUCAAGAUAGUAGACUUCGUAGUAAAAGAGCAGGAGGAAGCAUCAGCAGAGGGACAGUCUAUGGGGGAGUUAGGUAAAUUCAGUAUUCAAUGUCUGUAGCUCUGGAGAGGAAUCAUACCUCCCUGUGAAAGGGAUGUAGCAAAACCCCAUAACCUCAGGUAACUGACACUUGUUCUCAGCGCCAGCGUCUGCCUUGCUGAGGCAUCAUCAGGCUCCAGCCCUAGGCUCCCACAGUGCGAGCUGCCCUCCCAUAAUGUGGUGGGAGGGCUGGUAAGGUCCCACACAGCACCUCGUGGGCUGCCUCCUUCUUGCAAUGGCUAGUAUGGCUUUUCACAGCCCCUAAAACUUCUCAGUACAGCUUUUGGCUCCUCUACAAGGGCUUUUCAUAGCUGUAGCUCCUGUGGCUUGCUGCAGCAUGGGGUUUUUUUUUUGUUUGUUUUGUUUUUGUUUUUGGAACAGAUGGUGUCUUACGUAGAAAGUUACUGUAUUUUUGUAUGACUGGGUUUUAUUUAUUUAUUUCCUUGUCUCUCCCUUUUAUUUUUUGAAGUAGGCUUAAUUUUGACAACAGUGCUGGAUUUAUCUUUGGUAUAUUAAUGUUUGUGUUUGUGUACGCGUGCAGUAUUUUGCAGCGCAGUGGUUGUGCUCUCGAGUGUUAAUGGGCACAUUUUUGUCAAAAGUGCAAUUAAUUUGAAAUUUGAAGGGAAAACAGCUUGUGAAGGAAGAUCUUUGAGAAGAAAAGUAAAUGUCGUCUUAAAUGAGCACUGUACUCACUGGAGUAAGGUUUUGUUUUUAAGUCAGUAGAUGGGUUUUCUGUAUCUAAUCUUUGUGUUGUGUUUUUUAAUUGAUAUCAUCUGGUCAAUUUGAGGGAAAAUGCUAUUCCCAUAAGGAAAAUAUUUAUUCUAAAUAUUAUUGUUGCCUAGGAUCUUGUUGAAUUCAUGAGAUACAGCAGCAGUCGAGUUGAUUUAAUAUUUUUAACAUUUUUAUAGUGUUUUCUCAUUGUUUCCAUGAAAGCAAUUUCAAUAAAUAUUUUUGCAAUUGCUUUUGGUUUCUUGAAAUUAGGUUACCUAUUGUUGAAAACUGCAGGUUCUCAAGCAUGGGUUUCAGAUCUGGUUUGUCAUGAUUAGACGUUUGAAAUAAAAUAUAAAUACUUGAGCAAGCCUCAAAAUGAUCACUUGUCUUUUCCCUGCUUAGCUUCCAAAACGCCGUUUGUUCUGUCUAGUGAGUCUCCUUAAUUUGAUCCUUAUUUGUAAAGAUAGCUACAGUCACAGGGGUUUGGUUCCAUUCAGCCAAAUCACUUCCUUUUAUUCAUUUGUGUGUAUGUGUGUAUAUGUACGUGUGUGUGUGUGUGUGUGUACAUGGAAAACACAUAUACACACCAUCUGCCUGUAGACAGUAAUGCAUACCUUAAGUGAACAGGAUCAUCCCAUUUGAAAGACAAGGUUUAUGUUUUCAUCCUAAACCCAAGCCUUAUCUCACAGCAGCAUUGUUUUUCUUUGCAAUGCAUUUUUUUUUUUCCAGUAACUUGUGAACAUGUGGCCUUCUAUAUGGAAGUGUUCUGAGGUACAUGGGAAGAGAGACCGGAGGACAUUUGAGUGCUUCCUCAUGGCCCUGACUUUACACAUGGUUGGAUUGUGUCCUUUCACAGGGGCAGUCAUUCGUGGCCCCACAUCUAGACUGAGUUCCAAACAUGGUGAUAAAAAGCUCCACGCUUCUGUGUUCUCUAUCACACGUGUUUUAAGGUAAACGAUUCCCUGCUGAUGUUGGGCAGUUUGGAUCUUGUCAUCUUCAUUUGCCUUGUUUUCCUCAUAAAAGCAGCACAAGUUAUUUGAAUGAUCUGUUUAUAGGAUUGCUUGAGAGAAUUCCCUUAAUAAUGAGACAGUUCAACAAAAAAUCUCAAGAUAAUGGCUUUUCCAUUUGCACCUCUCAGACAUUGUUUCAAGUGGAAGCAAAAGGAUUAUUAAAACCCUUGUAAGUAGUUUAAAUUCCCUAGUGAUACACCACAGUGGUUUUGUUCUAAGUAUUUCACAGAUGGGUUGUAAAGGGUAAAAAUAUAAUUGAAUUUGUGUGGAUAUGUAAAGAUGUUAAAUAUUUUGUAGGUAGCCAACUUGAAGAGUUUUUUUCCAUAUAUAUUUGUAUUUACCACGACCGAUUUCUGUUGUGGAGUGAAAAAGCACACAUUUUCAUCAGUGUAAAAGGGCACCAACAGUGACACCAGUUCAGUUUGCAUGCGUCCGUUUGCUUUACGUUUUGAAGUUUUAAAUAAAAAACCACAAUAGAUACAGCUCUUCUAAGAAUAUUUUGUAUCAUCUAGAUGAGGUGGAACUUUCUCAUGUCAAACCAUGGUAAAGACGGUAUAUACCCUUCCUCAACUAAUGGAGCAGGAAGAUGUGAUUAGCUGAAGACUGGCUUUUGGCGUGUGGAUGAGCGUAUAAAAAUGCUGCUGUUGCUUUCUGUAUUCCUUUGUUUAACAGACAAUAUAUGGCAUAUAUAGGUGUUCACAUAUGUAUAAUAAUGCCACACUGACAAACUUCAGGAUUAAGUCUCUAGUUAAUGUCAGAACAAGCAGCAGUAGGAGUUUCCUUACGCUAUCUGGGCAAUGAAUCUUCAAGAUUCCACAGUCAAGCUGUCUCUGAACAACUUGACUCUGAUGCAGAGGAUAGAAAAUAAAGCAGUUCGUAUCCAUGUAAAAGGGCAUGUUUUUAAAAGCAUUUCCAAAAUGUUUAGUUGAAAAGUUCGAUUGUAAAAAUGUUAUCUUUGACCUUAUUUUAGUAAAAUGAGCAGCUAGUAAUCCAGUGGUGUUGUAUGUGUCCAGCAACAGAUGUGAUUUAAUGUAACUCUGAGAUACAGGCUGGUGGUUCCCUAGUUUCAACUUCAGUACUCUGUUUUACUGAGGCUGAAAGGCUAGCUUCAGUUGCUGGUGUGGCCAUAGGGUUGUUACUGCACGAACAGCAAAAAACCUCUUCAGCUAGGGAUGGUAGUAUGAGGUGAGGAUCGGGAUGAGUGUUUUCUGAACUCCAUAUGAUGUUUUCUAUUGAGGUACAUUGAAUUAUGUGCCGCUGUUUGAAAAUUAGCUUCUGUCAACUGGAGCACUGCUGCCCAGUUGGUCUCAGCAUGCAGAGGGAAGGUCUGAUGUCCCAGCACCCAGAGGAUGCUGUUGGGACAUUCUCACUGUGAGUGAAUGGUUUUAUCACUAUAUUUUGAUGUGCUGUUGAGACACUAAGGAAAAUGGUUCUAGAGUCUGUGCUGCUGGUAGGAGAGUGCUGUGGGUGAAUCCAUUGCCCUGUUCGAAGUGAGAAACAGCUGCAGCCACACUGCUUCCCAUGGCUGCUCUGAAUGGCUGUCCAGCAGUGGACACAGAGACCUCCCAGUACUCUCAUAUGAAUCCCUAAUGAAGCUUUCCAUCAAAAAGGCUUUGCAGUGUUUUUUUUUAAGAGGGUGAUAGCGGUGGGUAGGGCUGAAAGCUGGUGUCUCCCUCUACCUACCUGAUAAGGUUGCUAAUGAUUUAGUUAGGGUCAGAGGAGGAGUUACCGAAUGCUCAGUGGCCAUGUGCUAUGGCACAGCUUCUGCGCCUCCACAGUCUUCCAUAUACUGUGCUCUUAUUUGCUUCAGAAAAGCAGGAGGGAAAUUAAAUAGAAGCAUCUGCAUUCACUUUGCUGGGUUGUCAGCCAUCUCCAACAAGGGGAUCCUGUAGUUUCACACUCCAGUUUUUCCCUAAAUGCAUACAGAAAACAUGUUUUACUCCGUGGGAUCCAGAAGUGUGUAAGGCUUCAUUUCCUGAUGCUAGCAGAAGUAUGGGCUGCAGCGAGAGCCGAGUGCAUCCCCACACUGCAGUAAUAUUCCUUACACAAGCUGAACAAGAAAAACCAGAGCAGCACGGCUCCUGAGCAAAUAUUGUUUCUAGUCACAUAGGAUGCUUUGCAGCUGAGCCUGGUAACACGCUGCUCAUCUGUUUUGCUGUGCAAGCGCAGAGAAGCCGCUGCUGGUUCCUCCAAAAUCUCCCUCCUUGCCGCACGUUGGAAACGUCUGAACUUUGGCCCUCAAUCUGCUGACACCCUGAGGGAGUGUGAGUGUAAUGACGUCUUUGCUUGUUUCAGCUGCACAACAGGAAACACUCAUGGCCUCCCCGUCUUCCUGCACUGAGCAGCGCUGCCUUUUCUCCCUCCCUUCCCCUGUGGUGCGGCAGGCUCAGACCCACUUCCAGGUUGCACAGCUGUGUGCUGUGCCCGCCCUGUGCUGGGGCUGCCAGCUGCUCGCUGUCACUUCUGCGCUGGUGCCAGGUGUGGGGCAGCUUAUGUAGUGAUUUUCCCCUGGAGAAGAGAAUCCAGUUGUGUUGCAAUGGCUCGCUGCACAGAGCUUGUCACUGGAUGUGCCUCGGCUGGAAGGAGCAGGAUGGUCAGGCGAUGAGUUGCUGUGGGGAGGCAACUUGCAUAAUAUAGAGGACACGCUCCCAGGUGGGCAUGCAGGGAUCCUGGAAUGUGGCCCCGAUAUUGCUGAGUAAUGCUGAGCGUGAACGGCUGAAGAGACUGCUGUGCCCUGGUGGAGCAGGGAGGCUCUCUUCUUGCAGAGCAUCGGCAGGAAGCCUGCUUAACCCUCUUUAGCUGUGGCUUUAUGCUUGUAACCAAAACAGGGAUAUGAGUAAGAAGGGUUGUUGAGAAACACGAGCCUUUUGCAGCUGGCUGAGGGCAGAGCAUUUUGUCUCAUCAAAGGCAGCCCCCAAAAAAUUAAAGCACUGCAGAGUUCGUACAAGAGAAUUAAUUGGUUCAAUAUUCAGCUGUUAUCCUCUAAUGAAUGGGGUGCCGGGGGGUCACUUGUAAAAACGAAGUACAUAUGCACCAGUGAAUUUGCAUAUUGUGGUGUGAGACGAGAUGUUGAUUAGUCUAAAAUACAGCGUCCUGCAUUUGCAAGAUUGAAUUAACUUCGAAUGUAUCCAGUUCUGGUGCGGUUGCUUAUUUAUUUGGUUAAUGUUGCAGAGGCAUAUUAUUAGAGAGCGGCUUCAGUCUGCACUCUGUAAUAAGCAAGUUCUGAAUUUACCUCAUUAAUCUAUCGCGCUACCUAGCAAAAUAACAGUUGUUUUUAACAAGCUGGAGUUAUGUAACAUGAAUCAUGCAUGGCAAGAUGCUUGCAAGCAGGGGAAAGCAAGAUGUGCUAAGGAAUAACAGUAUUCAGCCUUCUGCAAGAUAGGAUAUGACUGGCUUUGGAAAUUAAACGCUGUGUGUUGUUAUUCUCGGCCUUACAGACAAGUUCCAGCUAUUCAUUAUGAGAAUGCGUCUUGAAACAAAGUCUUGAGAUGGGAAUGUUUAACAGACAGAAGGGUGAAUUUGCCCAGCCGUGUGCAGUCCUUGGAGGAUUUUUUUUGAUCUUAAAAGCUGUACCGAGAUGUUAAGCCUGGGAUAACCUUUUCCUUUGGUGACACGGAUACAAAAAUCACGUAACCAUAUUGGGAAAUAAAGCACUGAGAAUAAUAGCCUUUAGGAAGGGAAUGGCAAAGAUGGUGGUUUGGAAAAGGAAUGAUUUAAUGUUCAUGAAUUUCUUUUCAAAUCGUCCUUCUCACGUUAAGCAAAUCUUUCUGUAUUUUUUCAUACAUGGAUAAAAUUAAAGUGUAGAGAAGGACUGCUAACCGCUGUACUUUGAGAUUUUACUAAUAUUAGUAACAAAUAAGCAAAAAAAAAAAAAAGUGCUGAUAUUUAUGGUUUUCAUUUCUCUGUUACCAUACAUGCUUACAAACACAGUGGCUGAUUACGUGUCAGGGCAGAUAGCAGCAGAGAUGUUAGAAGAAGAAACAGUUACGUCUCCAAGUUGCUCCUGUAACUAGCGCCAUUGCUAGCACUCUGAACUUGGCGAACAAGGGCUGAACAAGCCUGGAUUUUCUCAACACGGAUUUUCUCUACAUAGAUUUUCUCACACAGAAGGUCACUCAGGUCACAGACAAAGAUGUUGAAAAAGCAUUAUAAAGAAGGGGGUUGUGUUGCUCUCAUUAUGUCCUUGUUUUCUAAACAAAUGCAGCGCAGCACCCCUCAGACGAAACUUGUCUUUUAGGAAAACUGAAGAGAAGUUUCAGUCUUAGAAUAACUUUAUCUUAUUGGAUUGACUUAGUUUUGUAUAGCUGUGCGUUAUUAGGAGAACAGUAGAGCCAAGUGUAGAAGUAGUGCUACAGAAGGACACCAACAUCUGGUGGGUGGAGAAGGACGCUCUCCUGAAUUUGCAUGAUUGUUAACUAAAUAUAAAGUUCAUCAAAUGAUUUCUAGUUGCUUUGACUCCAGUACUCUUUCCUUUUUACUCCAUAAUACUUUUUUGGCUAGUAGUAAUGUCCUUUCUGAAAAUCUAUGAUUUCCUCAAUGCAGGUGAAUAUUACGUAGAGGCAUCAAAUUAAAUUAUUGGCUUUUUUUUUUUUUUUUUUUUUUUUGCACACUAUCAAUAGUAGCAAGGUCGCCAUUCUAUGAUGUGACUAAUUAGGAAGAUUGAAGUGUCUUUUGUGGGAUCUUCCCUUGCUCUUUGGUGGGACGUGAGGGCUGCUCAAUGGCCAUGGUGUGAGGAGUGGGCAGCACAGGAGGGGCUGCCCUUGGUUUCUACUGGAAUUUCUGUUGAGAUCAGGGCAACGUGAAUGAGCAAAGCAGGGCAAACAGGUGGCUGCUGUGUGAAAGAAAAUACCACGAGUAACACUGCUGUGUAUGAGUGUGGUGGGGUAUCGGUGUGCGCACAAAGAUUGGCUUGUCGAGGAGCAGCUCUCACAUCCUGGGGUCCUUGAAAUGAUCGUCAGAGGUUAGUAGUCUUGGUCAGAAUGCUCUGCAGAAAGAUUUCUUGCCCUGGGAAUUGUUGUGCGCAGUUGUCUCAUUUUCCUUGCCUCUCUUGAAAGCCAAUGUUAUCUUGUCCAUUCAACCCCGUAAAGUAUCCCCAGGUUAUCAAGUUCUUCUCAUAUUGCAGCAAAACUUGAAAUAAUUACCAAUUCAGCUUCACUAUUUCUGUCAGCUUAAAAAAAAAAAAAAAAAAAAAAAAAGAAAAGAAAUUUAAUUUACACUAAUUACUCAGGACUUGAGAUGCUCAGCAUGAAAGUGGCUAGGUGCAAAAUAGGAUUAAAUAUGUAAAGGAGAAAAAAGCAUUGUGUGUUGCAUUUUUCCUAUUUAAUGCUCUGUUUGUAUGUCAUUACCAAGCCAUCUGCAAGCAGAAUUCUCCUAGCAGACUGAAGCAGCUCUUCAAGAAAAAAAUUAAAAAUAAGAACAGUCAGGCUGAUAAUUUAAAAACAAAGAUUUGGUGUGAACAGAUUAAGAUGGGAGAGUUGUACUGAAAUGUCAUUAUUGCAGGCUUACUUUCUCUUAACUGUGGUACUCUGUGGUCCCCAGUAUGAUCUGAGGAGCCAAGCAAUGGGCAUGCUUUCUCCAUAUUUUGUUGCUGAAACACGAACACUUUGCAUCCCCAAAACUUCUGUGCGUGUGUCUGUGUGUGUAGGGGGAAGGGGGAAGUCAUCCUCAAGGUAACACUGAAGGUUGCAUAAUGUAACAUCAGAGGUACAGGGACCGAGCUCCUCAUUGCAGCAACGAGUUUUAGUAUGGAUUUCACUGGAGAGCAUUAGUGUUGUUCCUGUAAUUGUUCUCAACUCUACCGCUUGUCCUGUGUGGAUGUGUAACAGCUGUGGCACAGUCAGAUCACAGUUCAUAAUGCUUCUGCUCUUUGGGGAAUGAGAAAUAAAAGCUUUUGUGCAGUCCCAGAUGAGAGUGGCCACAGAGGUGGGCUGAACGCACCGUCACUCCUGCUGAGGUGAGCGCAGUUCUGCACUGCUAUUGCCAUGGUACGCAUCUCUUUGGAAGCACCAGCACAACACAUAUUUGUGAUCCAGAGAGUUUGUCUCACCAUCCAGAAAUGCGUAUGUUCUCUUUCUUCACCUCAGCUGACCCUGGCUUUGAACCCUCCCAAACCUUGGAGAUGUUUAUAGCUGCGCUUUGUUUUGUGAAUGGAAUUUGUUUUUCUAAGUGCAGCAUGAAGAUUUGCUUUAUCUGCAUGGAGCAUGCUUGCUUGAGCAGUUGCUUUCCACAGUGUGGCAUUUGCAGAUUAAAAUCUUUUCAGCCUUGGUGGUGCCGAUUCAGUUCAUUCUGCAGCUAGUCCAUUUUGAUAGCAUGCUACAGUAAGGUGCCUGGCUGCUGCAGUGAGAAAGGGAAUUUUUUUUCAUUUCCUCUGAGGUGUAGAUUUGAAAUGAAACUAUUUUUUUAAGGUAAUCUGAAAACUAGAAUGACACUCCAUGCUUCAACGCGUGUUUCGUUUCACCUGUAAAACUACUUUUAAUUCUUGUGUUUGCACUUGGAACUUGAACGCUUUACACUGACACUAGAAAUGACAGCCCUGUGCAUAGAAUGUACGUUUUAUUUUAUUUUGGCAUAUUUUACUGUCCACCAGGUGUUGAUCAGAGAAUUUAGCAGUAUACAGCUGCUGUGAUGUAGUUACUGUAUGUAAUACUCUACCUAAGGAAACACGGUCUAGUGACUAGCUGGAUGGGAGGGGUUUGAUGCCCGCAGAUUCAGUUCCUGGUUCUGCUACACAGCUCAUGCGUUUGGGGUAAGGUUCACACCACCUUACACUGAUUUUCAUGUGAGUUAAAUUCAUAAAUACGAGUUUUGCACAAAAAUACCCUCGCUGCGCAAUAUUCUCUUUAUGUCAGUAACGCUUCCUCACCUGACUGAGAUGUCACGUAGGCAGAUGCUGUGUUCUGCUUUUGAUCCAUACAGAGCCAGUAGGUGCUCUGUACUAACACCAAUUGCAAGACUUGAACCUUUUGUGUUUUUUUGGUGUGCUUUUAAGUGGCCAUUCUCUGAGCGAUCAAUAAUUGCGCUACUUACCAUGAGUACACUGCUGUUAAAGACCAUACAGCAGUCAGGCUACAUGCAGUUUCAGGGCCCAGUUCUGUCUCCUUUGCUUGGGAGUGAAAACAGCCAGGCUAAAGCAGAAUCAGAGACUACGAUGCUGAGAAGGGCAACUUGUGUAGAUCUGGGUCCAAAUGUUAAAUGCCCUGUUUAGAAUAAGAAGGGGUACGUUUUUUCCUCCCAAACAAACUGGUAGAAUUCAAAGUGGAUGUUUGUAAUUUAAGAUAUUGUGUUGUGUUGAGUGUUAAACAGCAGUGUUGAAGAGUGCAGGGAAAAGAUAUUUCUGCUGUGGUAAGAACUAAUACGAGCAGUGCAGAAUGCCCUGGUAUUACCCUGGCUUUUUUUUUUUUUCCAACUUUGUGAAAUAUGCAUUUUGAAGUAUCUAGGCAGUUCGGAGAGUAACUGAACUGAGUAAAGUCUGGCAUAAGAUAGCAAGUGGGAACCCUAGAAAAUGUUUGUGGAUCUGUAGGGCACAGCAAUGCUUCCUGCCAGAGGAAGGCCCUAAGGACUCUCAUAGGCCUUGCCUGGAAGACUGUGUGGCAUCUGUGGCACGUAUGGGUCAUCAAGACAUCACAGGCAGCCCCAGAGCCACGUCUGUUCAUAGCAGACGAUGGUAUAGUCCUGAGCAGCCAUCAAGAUGCAGGGAAUGGGAGCAGGUGACCUCCAGACGUCCCCUCCAGCCUCAGCAUUGUGACCUGUCCCUCUGUGCCCAAAGACAGUGCAGUUACCUUGGCUUCUGACCUGGUUGGGAUGUUGUAGCAGAGCUCUGAGAAUAGCAAUUUGGGAAUCAGAGCUGGCUGUGGUGAGGAGUGCUUCAAAGUUAGUCUCUGCUAAGCUCUUUCAUCAGCAAUGCAUGCACCUCACUGAUGGACCUCUCUAGGAAACGUUGCUCAUCCCUGCUUCAUAACCAGACCUCGCAGCUUUUCACAGCUCUGCCCCCAGCUGCUUUGACUGGGUGAUGCCACAGGAUUGGGGCUGUGAAAGCAGCAGGGAGGGCUGUGCUAAUUUAGAUGAUUUAAAUAAUUGUGCUCUUGAUACUGCCCACUUCCUUCUGUUUUGCCAGUGACCCUUCUGGCAUAUUCAGUAGGAUGUGCUGCCCGCUGGCCGUCCUUUCUGCUCAUCUCAUCUCCUGCCUAGCAGUUCUUAUUGCUGGAAUGCUUCCUGCAUGCUGCAGCACCCAUCCUUCCCAGACAUCUCGUUGUGAGCUGCUUAGCAAAUGCAGAGAAUCCUGUGAUGGGCAGAAAACAUAGCAUAUAGACCCAGUGAAAAGGGGAGCCCACCCUGGGCCAAGUAUCUGCCAGGUGUACCUCAUGCUUUCUUCACAAAACCUUCAAGUGCAACUUUAAUUCCAGGCAGAUUCCUAAGUUGUAGUGAAAUCCCUGGGUCCUGCACAUGCUCUUUAAUAUAGGCGUACAUUGUGAAUAGAAACAGCUUAAUGAACUGGAGCCAGGGUGGGGAAUUUUGGGACUCCUGCUGUUCUGCUUACAGUGUUUUGCAGGAGAGUUUAAGGCUGAGGAAUGACACCAACUGGAUUCACAGAACAAUCUGCUCCCGUUUUCACGAACUCCAAAUUAUUUUCCUUCUCACAUGCAAAGUUGUACCAAGAGUUGCAUUUAAAAACCCAUCUGCUGUCCAUAUUAUAUCAAUAGAAAGAAGUCUAAAAUUUUUCUAAAAUAUUCCGGUUACUCACUCCAUACUGCUGUCAUCUGUCUUUCAACUACAAGCCAUUUCUUGUAGUUGCACUCAAAAUCUUCCCUCCACCAACAGAUGAAACUCUUAGUUGCUAAAAGUGCAAAACUGGGAACAGGAUGCUAGAAACUAGCAGUGCCUGCUUUUCAAACGUGUUUCUGAUAGUAUAAAAUACAUAAAUUGAUGCAAUAAUUUUUCCUUACUGAGUGUGGGAAAUAGUAAUAAAUUACUUUAAAAGUUUUCUCGUGUUUUUUUUUUUUCAUUAUGCUAAUAAUAUUUUGAAAUCUCAACAAUGUCUAUAAAUGUCUGAAUAUAAUUUUACAUGCAAAUAUGUAGUGUGUGAGAUGUAUGAUAAGCGCCGGGCACAGGGUGUUUGUAGGAAACAAACUGGUGCCUGCAGCAGCAGUUUGUUGUGGCUGUGCUGGAAUAACAGAUUCAAGGGAUCUUAUUUGUCAGUGCCUCACCUUGAGGGACCCAGCGGGAGGUGUAGGGGCUGGGUGGUUAUGAAGCGGCAGCUGUUGAGGUGGCAGCAGAUGUGCCUGACGAAGAGCCAGCUAGAGCGCUGCGAUCCACAGCCAUAGGUGAGCUGUCGAGCUGUGUGUUGCAGUGCCCAGACCUGCUUCCUUCCCACCUUUCUUUAGGGGUGAUUAGGUGCAGACUUCAGCUUUUAGUAGUGUUGCAUCUCCACGUGCCUAUUUUCUCUAGGGAUUCUGUGGUGUUUUACCAGUUAAUGGUGCUGUUUUUCCCUUGAGGAUGCUAAUGGGCCCUCUCUUGUCUGUUCAAGCACAAAUUGGGAUUGGAAGGAACUUCUGGCAACGGUGGUGCAGUUAAGCUUGCUAUGUCUGUUAAAUCUCUUUAGAGAAAUUAGUAGGGAAGAGACAGGUACAGGCAUGCCAUUACACACAAUGUGGUUGCAGAUCUCUUUUACUGAGGAAACGAGGCUACAAAAGAUAUCUUGUGAGGAAGACAGAAUGUAUUCCUUUGGGAAUACUUGCUGAAUAGGAAGCUCUGUAAAAAUGGCAAAAUGUUGGAACUGUGAGAUACAAGUGAUUUAUUAUUUUCUCCGUGAUAAUAUCUGAAGGUUUCUGUGAAGAUGUAGGCUUCCUAGACUUGCAUCUUAAGGCACGCCCUAUUUACAAUGUAAGUAUCUCACAAGAUUAGGAGCGGUAAGAAACAUUAUCAUGGGAAUCAAAGACAGGUGGUGAGAUGCCUUCCAGUGUCAGAUCUAAAACUCAAGGCAGCCGAGAGCGGAGUCCGUUCCUCCAUCCGCAUAAGGUAGCACUCCCAGCACCAGAUGUUACAUAGAGGUCAGCCUUGUGGCGCUGUGUGAGCCAUAAGCCCUACGCUAGACCUUCAGCAAACCUUGCACCAGUGAAGCUUUUGACAUAUUUGGAGUUUAUUACAUGUAUCUUUGCGCUGUGAUUCAGGCUUAAAUUUGUUUCAUUCUGAAGUUUAAAGGCCCCUUCUGACUUAAAGCACAUGGAUUUUUUUUUAAGAUUGAUGGAAUAAUGUUAGACGCUGCUAUUUUAAAAACUGUUGUUGCCUUGCAAAAGUGAAUUUCAUGUUUCUUUGUCUAAUAAUGUAUUCAGAGCACUUGGAAGGAAGUUUUGGAGUAUGGAGAUUUCUGCCCUGGGGAGGUAGUAUCCUGUGCUUUAGUUAGGUCAUGUCAGGCCAUUGUUUUGCUUUUCAUAUCAUAAAGAUCUUGUGUCUUUAUUCGCACUCAGCUGUGGACUUGAGUUUCCUGCAGAGAGUGAAAUAAUUAAGAACUAAUGCUAUGAAAUCGUAUGUCCUCCAUUUGUAGCUGGGUUUAAUUGAAGGCAAUUUUUAUAUACAUAGUAAUAAGUGAUGUAUAUAAGUAACAAGUAAUAUUUCUAUUUGUGGUGCUCAGUAUAGCUGAAACGCAGCCGGAUUGUUUUCUAUGUAAGAAAACAAACAGAGAGAUUCAAAGGUUUGUAGAACUUGGGUCUCUAUCCGCUGCCUAAAUUCAGCCCUGCCUGCCGGCUGCUGCUCUCCGCUUUGCCUCUGCUGGUAGAUCACGCCGGGACAGGGAUGGAGUUGGGCACAAUAGAUUUACUGGUCCAGAUAUGGCAGGGGAGUUGGCUGGGUAUGCUGGAGGGUUUGUCAGCAUAAGGAGCCAGUAAAGCGGGCUUAUGCAUGGGGUGCCAACGAAGGGUGUGCAGAACACAGAGCUUACUCUUAAAACCUGCUGUGGCUACGCAGAGUCGCGCAACCUUUAUAUGGAUCUGGUGAGGAAGGGCACUCCUGGCUUAAAUUGAGAGCUUACGUUACUGUGCAGUUGUGGCAUGUAAGGGAGCAGCAACUCUCGAGGGAUUGCUGCUAAUGGGAUGGGCAAAGCCUCUCUGCCUUGCCUGUUAAGUCUGGGUUGGUGCUAAUGCCAGGGCUGGGGCAUGAACCUGAGUGAUGUAAGUAGUAGCAUCCACAGUCACAGCCUGGGGUGAGCAUGUGCCUGCUUUGCACAUCAGCUGGAUUUCCAUCAGGAUUUCUAGCACUGACAGCAGGACACUUUUCACCAGAACCAAGUUCAUCAUCAAACAGAAGGAGGCAUGCAAAGGGCAGUCUUGUUAAGUUUCACAUGCAUGAAGCUUUUGCUUUGGAAUGUGUUGUUCCAUUUCCUCCAAGUCUCCCUCGGGGAAACACCUGAUUUGGGUUUAUCCUGACUCUCCAGUUGUUACAUGCUACCUCAAGAUUGCAGCCACAGCUUCCGCCUGCACCAUCCUCUCCCUGGCUUCCCGCUGGUGCUGGGUGCAGCACAGCGGGUUGCCAGCAGAAAGCAGCCCUGGCUGCCCAGCCAGGGGUGCAGACAGAAAGAAAUGGCACCUGCUGCACUGCACAUCGGGGACAGGCCUAGCUGGGAGGAGUUGGCAGAGAUGGUGCUGAGGCUGUCUUCAUGGAUGGGGCAACAUCACAAAGAGGUGCAACGUACAUUUGUAAGAAUAAAUGUGCAAAAUUGGUUCUUCUGGCUCCUCUUAUUGCAGACCAUCCUUUGCUGUGCAGAGGAUGUGCCCGUUGCGAGCUCUGAGCCGCCCUCAGCAGACGCUCUGUUACACUGUAGGUGCACAUCUGUGAUCUCAUCUUGAAAAAUACGACUUUACCUUCCACUUACCCUUCUGGAGACGGCUUGUCAGAGCAACAUGGUACCGCAAACUUAUCCUGCUUAAUGUCAGCUAAUUAAAUUCACUUUUGAAUAUAGUACUAAGCCAAUUUAAUUCUGUCUCUCAGAGCCUGCAGAGACGCUUGUGACUCUCGGAGGAGUUCUGUCUCUGAUUAGUGAUCAGAUCUCUUUGUGCCACUUCAGACUGUCUCUGUCUGUCUUUGUGUCUUUCACAGUGUGUUCUUAGGGGGCUGGGUGUUUUCCCCCUACUUUCACAGCCCCAACACGUGCCGUCAUGUCUAACAGCAUACUCCUUUUAAUGACAUUUGUUCUCUGAUACGAAACUUUCAUGGCUGUUGCUGGAAGAGAUAUAGGAUUUCUUGUGAAAUGCUCUGGAUGUUAGGUCUUGAUUUAGGAGGCUGUUUUUCGGAAGCGCUGAUCUCUGCAAGGACAGGGAUGUGGGUGACCUUCUUGCGCCGUGCUGGUGUCCCAGCCUCCGGAUGAUCGCUGCAUCGCAGCCCGAGCGCGACAGCCCCCAGUAAUGGUCACUGCCUGUCAUUCUCAAUGUACCUUGUGAUCGCUAACGUUCAUGAGAACGAGGCACGGAAUUUAAAAAAGGAAUUAGUGAAAAAAAAAGUGAAAGGUCAAAGCAAGUCAUAAUGAGAAAGAGAGCAAAGCACUUAAUUGGGUAGUGCUGAUGGAAUAUAUCAUGCCAGAGACGAUCUGGUAGAUAUUUUUUGAUUCUGCCCUCUGCAUGAUUUAUUAAAGAAGGUCCAAGAGAAAAGUACUGCUUGUCUGUAGGUUUUCAUGCAGUAUUUUUCUUACUGCUUCCUUUGUGCAGCUUUGCACAGGGCAGCAUGUCGUAUCUCAUUUUGAACCCCUCGAUGCUGUCUGGUGGAGGGUACAUGUACACUUCAGUGGAGGUUUCUGGUGCAGUGCAUCUUGUGUUUGUAGCUGCAUUUUCCUGCUCUCCUUGUUCCCCCUCUUUACUGAUUGCUUAUUAGUGUUAGGACAUCACAAGUGCAGAACUGAAUUGUUGUUCUCGGCCACGUAACUCUUGGUUACUGAGAAACUGCUGCUCCUCUUCAUUCCAGGAUGUAACCAAGGAGUGUUUGGAAACACUGCUCGAGAAGCAGCUUGCAUUGCUGCUUCACUACACAUGUUCUGUGCAGAGAAGAGACCUUCAGUGAAUGUGGAUAUCAGCCUGGUACAUUUUACAGGCAACGGAAUCAUCCAUGUUUUCUGUUGCCCAGUAAAGUACACACAUGCUGUGGUGCCUGUAGUGUAGCUUUGGAUGUCACAAGAGAACUAAGAUAGGAGUUUUCUCACCUUUAUUGACAUAAUGCUUAACUUCUGACACAGGCAGAUGCCGGGAAAGUAAGACUUGGGACUGUAAUUCCUUUCUCAAUUCCUUCCAUUUUUUUGUGAGGAAAGGAGAAGAAAGAUUUAUUUCUUCAAGCAAGAUAAUGUGUUAACAGAUCAUAAGUUACUUUUUAAUUUUCAUUUUAAAAUAUGUUUUUCUGAAAGGCUAUUCAUAGGUAUGUACUUCUUUUGUAAUUAGAAGCUAUAGUUUUUUUUUCAAGAAUUUAUAAUAAAUUACAUAUAUCUGGAGAAUUCGUGAGGCUUACUACUUAGAUCUGAUUGUAGUAAACAAUUUGGUGUCUGUACCUAGCCAAUCUAACCGUGUUGGUUUAGGUAUUUUGUCCAUUUUAUGAGUUUUCAUUCAUUUUUCAAGUCUGCAAACAGUAUUUAUUGGAAGUGGAGAAAGAAUUGCUGAAACCUUGCUAAGUCCAAAAGCACAGCAAUGCCUUAUAGGCAUAUUCUAAACACCCAUGUCUGUAAGUUAUCUUCAUCUUUGUCGGUGUGAAUAUGCAGCGUGUGUUAAUGUGAACAUUUAUGGUGCAAAAGAUUACAUAUUUUCUUCUUCAGUGUCAUACUUUAUUAUAAGAAAAUAAUACUUCGGGGUGAAAGAGUAACCAAUCUGUAGUUCAUUAUGUGUGAGUAUAGUUUUAGGAUUGCUUUCUGACCAGUAGACUCAGUUUUGAGAAGCAAUUGCAUGCUAAUGUGAGAGUGAGCUGACAGCAAACAAUAUAUUUCAGCUUCCAUUAAUUUUUUCUAACUGUGCCUAAUGUUUGCAUUUCAUUAAAAGUAGGAACAUACUGCGCAUGAAAAUGAAGGUCUUAAUUGAUGGCACUGGGGAUUACUGUCUAGCCUAGUAAAUAUACAGUUUGGACAAGAACUAUGUGUACUUUCUUACAAUUCUCUCUUUAUGUAGAAACUGUAUUGAUUUGUGUCUUUAGUUCCCAAUCCAUCCCCUACCAAGAUUUUAAGGGCUGGCUCUCCAGUGUAUUGCUGUCUGCACCAGCUAUUUCCAUCAUUGUCAGAGCCAUGUACUUAAAUAUCUCUUAUAUAAUUUACAUUUUCAGAUUUCACAAAGGCUUCUAGGCUUCUAAUUCACCCAGAAAGGCUUUGCCUUUGCUUUAAAGAGGUUCUUGUAGGACUUGCAAGUUCUGUCAAAGUGUAUUUUCAGAACUUUGGUAUUCUAGUCUUAGCAAAGGAAAGACGUUGGAAAGUCUCUACUCAAAAGAAUCUUUGUGAAAGGUCUUGAAAGUUGUCACAUUCAUAAGUAGUUCGGCCUCCUCUUAACAGCUGCUCCCCAGUGCCUUCUGCUCUAGAAGAAGUGCUUUUCAUUUUGAAGAGUUCUGGCAUUCUCCCGUGUGGUCCCCAAGAUCCCUCCAUCUCAACUGUGAGCAAAAAGGUGAUACGUGUUGAAUGUGCCUUGUGGACUUCAGAAUCUAGACCGUGGCCUUACCCUUGCUGAAUAAGAGGGUUAAGAACCUGUGAAGGAAUCUCAGCAAAAGGGUCCAGAGACAAUUAAACAGAGGACUCCAAACUUAUUCCAUGCAGGACCUCAGACAGUAUGGCUUUUGAAUGCUACCAAUCUGUAGCAGGCAAAACCUUAGUUUUGAACUAAUUCAUUAGACAUGCAUUUCAUUUGGUUCCUUGUGUUAUGAUUUAUUUGUGUUCAAGGUGUAGCUACUUUGUGAUCAUUCUUUUCUAUUCACGUGGUGAUUUAGGGCUUUUGUUUCCAAACACCCAUUUUCCAAGAUUACAGUUAGCAGACAACAACAACAAAAUGUUUAAAUAAAUUAUUCACCUGGAAAAUUCCGGUAGUUUUUUAAAACGUAAAUGAGGUGAUGUAAGUUACGUGAUUAAGUGCAAUCAUUAGGGAAAGACUGAUUAAAUUACUCCAAAUAAAUCUCCAAAAGAAUGAGUUGUGUGAUGCUGUAUUUUGCUGUAUUUUCCUGUUGAAGACAGCUAGCCAUUUUCAGCAGCAUCCUUUUAUGGUAAAGGUGCUACAGAUAAUUUCUUUGGGAGGGAAGGCUUUUUUUUUUUUUUUUUUUUUCUUCCCCCCAAGCCUUUAAUGAACGUGAAAUGGAAUUGGGAAGUAAAAUUUAAGCAGGUCAAUGGAAGGAUUCUAACACUGAAAAACGUCUAUUUUAAGGAAUCUCCUUUAUAAUGAUCUGAAUGUGAAGAGUUGGUGGUUAUCUACUCCUUAAAAGUUUUAAGUGUACUUUUAAAGCUGUCCACCAAAUCCAGAUAAUGCUUUCUAUUUCUUUUAUACUCAUGUCUUUCUGGUAGCGCAGAUAUGUACUCGAAUUCUAGCACUAAUAUUCAUAGCAGUUCAUGCUAAUAACAGAGAGUCCUCUGUGUCUGCUUUCUAGCAGAAUUCCCCAGGCAGACUUGUUCUGAAGCCCGUAUUGGUUAGGGCAGAAGUGCUGUGAGUUGUGCUGGGUGUUAGGCUGUAUUGGAAGAGCUCACAGGCAGUCGGUGCUGUUCAAACCGCGUUCCCGUCUGUCCGUGCCAGGAUGUAUAUUCUUCACCUGCUGUCCUUCAGCCAGUGACUGCACUUGUUUUCAGCAGCCCCCAGCUGAAUUCACAUAGGUCUGUAAGCUACAGAAAGCCUGGAGUGGGGCCUUGUGGAGCACCUAUGAGUACACCUAAAUAUACUUUCUCUUCUUGUGGCUGCUUCUGUUUGCCAACUUAUGUUUGCCUGCUCAGAAGCAGUGUAAAUAGGAGAUAUGGCGUAUUACCAUUGUGCCAUUGGAAGUAUACCCUUUGCAAGUAUAUAUAUUUUUUUCUUGUUUUCGACCAUGGAGUUCGCUCUUCUGACCUUAAGUUUGUUAUUAAAUACCAAAUGCAGAGUGUAGGAGACACUGACUUGCUUAGUUGGCAGAAAACGCAGAAGUAUUUGGUGCUGGAGUGCUGUGUGAUGUUGUGGCUGGCCAAUGAAGCGUAAUAAAUGCAAGAGCCAAGCCACUUUGGAGGUAUGAAGAGUCAGAGAAGCAUUAGAGUAAUUUAAAAAAUGUAAACUGUGGGUAAAAUCUAACAACAUCAUUUCUUUAAAGUUCUUUGUUAUUUACCAGACUUCCCUCCUGAAAACCUCCUACCCUAGAAUGAGAUGCAGUUUGCAGAGCAGGAGGAAGAUUGGUUUCUGUCUGGGGACACUCGGUUUAAAAAGACAGAACUCCGACUUUAUCUCUGAUGCGACUCGAGACCACUGUGGUUGUGUCUGUAUGAGUGUGCUCUGGGUGUAUUUUUGGGUAUCCUGUAAGUCAUUUUAUUCACACUUUCAAAAUGAGGGGACCCCAGUUAAUCUGCCUUAUAUAUCAAAGCUGGUUUUAUAGCUUUACAUAUAUUGCACUGUAGGGCUAGUCAAUAAAAUUUAAAAAUGAAUUUCUUAAUUCUUGCCCUCAUUUCACUCAAGGAGAUACAUGGUCCAAGCAAUUUUUCAUUUAUUUAGUGCUGCAGAUUUUAAGAUUUCCUGAACCAACUUGUUUCCAUCAGUUAUGGUUUUGCCAUUAGUUUUAGUAGGAAAAAGCUUUCCUAGCUUUUAAGCUGGAAAGUUGGUUUGUUUUUUCGCCAUCUACCUUUUCAGAGGAAACAGUGGUGCCAGUACAAUCUCAUUGUCCGUAUCUGCAUUUAUCAAAAUAUUGAACAACAGGCCCACCUAUCAAGUGAUUUUACAUAAUUAAAUUAUUACAAAUAACAUGACUGUAGUCACCGAUAGGAAAGUAAUUCUUUUUAAGAUCCUUUGAUGUCAAGAAAAUAGUUCAUGCAGGAGCUCCAAUGCUGCACCUUUUAAGCUGGAGAUUUUCAAUUAGAAAAAGGAAAAAAAAAAGGUUGAGCCCAGCUGCUAAUGCACUGGUGAAAGGUGAAAGGUAUUACCUGCUUGUUGAACACCUGGCAAAUGGAAAAGCUGUCCACCAGACAGUUACACUUUAUGCAUUGACAAUGAAAAUUUGUUGUCACUACCUUGAUUGCCUUCAUAGCGUGCCUGAAAUCUGUCCUGUAGCAGUGGCCAGAACAGUUUGGAGACAGCAGGGAUAUUUUCCUUGCCACUGUGAGUAGAAGAAUGACUUCUGUGAGCCUGAGAGGAACAUGGGUGCUGCUAACUCUAUGUCAAAGCACGUACAUGCGUUAGUAAAGCUUGAAGUAAACCUCUGAGUACGAUGAACAAUAUCUGGAUGUGUUAUGUUUUCAGGUGGGACCCUCUCCUGAUAUGUGACCUACCGCAAGCUACCCUGAAUCGUAUGAUGACAAUGUUAUCGCUGCCACAUCUCUGGAAACCAGUUACUCAUAAAUAUAUGGUAUGUGAACUUCUGCAUCUUACAUUAAGCACUGCUAGUUGGAGCAGCACAGUAACAAUAAUAUGAAGGUGCUAAAAGCUAUUGAAGUAAAUGUUAAGCCACAUGUAUAAUAAAUUACCGUCAGCCAUUCCAGCAGAUGUUUAUCUGCUAGGCCUGGUCCAUAUGCAGAAUGGUGAACUGUUUUAACUGCAAAUACAAUCUUGAAAACGCAUUCAUUUACAGAUGUUGUUAGAAACCUACCGAUGUUUUUUUUGGAUGGAGUUAUACCGGUAUAACCAUGAUGUGCAGAUAUGCAGCCUGCUAUUCUCCUCCUCGAGCAGGAAGCGGUGGUGGUAUUGGCAUGAAGGGUUCUGUGCCUUAACUGUAUUGUUGCAUUUAAAGCACUACUAUUUUUGUGUUUAGGAAAGGCCUUUAAUUGCUUUUCUCCUUCAUUCCAUUUUCAGUUUCUGGUCAAUCUAAAUUAGAUUAAUUUCACACACAGUGACUCCCUAAAGAAGUGCAAAUUAACUCAAUUUUACCAAAUUCAGCCAGAUGAUGGCAGUUAUUCCCUUGCUGUUUAGCUGUACAUUAUACAGUCUUUGAAUAAGAUUUCUAUAGGAAUUAAAUCCAUAUAUUGAAUCUUUUUUCCUUAGCCUGUAAGACUAAGACCCUCACCUUGUGAAAGGAGGUUAUUUAAUUUCUAGCCUGCAAGGCAAAACUAGCCUGCUACCUGGCAUGUCUUUCUUUCUUACUCUUCUGAUUCAGGGACUGUAAAACCACAAGCAAACUGGCUUUAUGAGAACUGCUACAUGAUUGCUUUGUAUUCUGGAGUAGUUUUGUAGCAUACCACGUAACCAUUAGCAUGGAGCAUCUUCUGAUUUAUGGUUCCAGUCCAGCUCCCACUGAAGCUGGUAGGAAAAUGUUUCUUCAUGCUGAUGGGAGUUGAAUUGCACCGCAUGUGCCAUCUGAGACUUUUAAGUAAUGUUCCCUGUGGGAAAUUUUUUUUUUACUGAUAGCCACUUUUUUGAGAUCGAGUGUUAAAGAUAUAAGCAUAGAACAAAAUUACAAGGAAAGGAUUGUUGAAAUAACAUAGGAAAGGGCUCAGUGGAAGUCCGUGUGCAGAUUCAAGAGUUGUAAAUGGGUGAGGAGAGAUGACUGUUUGCCACAAAAGCGUUUAUCUGGAUUCUGUGUGCUGCAUUUUUACAUAUAAUUUGGGGGGUGUUUGUCAGAUGUGUGGCUGAUUUACUGUUAAUGUCAGUGAUGUAAGAGACAGAAAGUACAACAGAAGUCUUAGAGGGAGUAGGGAGAGGAAAUUCAUGCUUCAUUAAACAAUUUGAUGUAUUUUGGGAGAGCCAUUCACAACUCAGAUAAUUUCUGAAUGUUCUGAUUAAUGAAGAAGUGACCAGAUCUGGCUCACUCUGGUUCUGCUUGAAGGGAACAUCCUGGAGAUUAGGUGGGAGAGCAUUGACCCUGCUUACACUGAAAGGACUGCUAGUGUGUCUGUGUGGCCACCCAUGCAUGCCAAGUACAAUUAACACCAUAGUUUACAGAUUUUUUUCUACACAUUUGUUCUGACAUCUCCUGUAUCAGCCAUAUCUAAGAACCUUUUUAAGAUGAGCACAGGAAUAAUGAUUUCUGUUGCUCUUGUUUCUUCUGAGUUGAUUCAUUUUUUAGCACUCAAAAUUGCCAGUGGAUAUAUAUAUAUUUUGUAAAUAAGUCAUUUUGGUGUUUGUGGGCAUGUUUGUAAAGUAAAACUGGUUUGAAGAAAUAGAGUUUUGCAUUCUGUAUGGGCAGAGGUCUGGAGAGGAGCUGGUAGGCCAACUAGACUAGCUUCCUUUUGCCACCUUUUCCAAAGGUACCUUUUCCAAAGUAGAAUGGUUGUGUUUUGGUUGAUAUUUUCAGGAUUUUUUUAGGUGGAAGGUGGCAUAUCACUGGAAGAAGGGCCCUCUGAGGGGAAGGCUGAUGGGGAGGUGUGGUUGCUAAAGUGGUGACUGUUUGCAGAUCUAUGUGUUUGCUGGGGACGGAGAGGAAGCAGACACCUCUCUGCUCUGCUUCUGAUGAGCUGAGAACAAGGUGUGCUAUGUCUCGCACCUCAAGAGAACUUAUUAUAUGAGGUAAUUACCUCUACCCAAAUCAAAAUGAAAUUUCAUUUGUUGAAUGUAGGAAUCAGAAUGAAGGGUUUUUUUUGUUUUGUUUUUCCUUUUGUGUGUUUUGGUUUUCAUCUUUGGCUAAUUCUCAUACAGCGUUGCAACAGGAAACUAAUCUUCAGGAGCACAGCCCGUAAAAGAUAGGCCUUCUGAGGGACUGGACUCUGCUUAUUGCAGAGACCUUCCAAGACAGGUACAUUGUAAAAGAUUACAGACCUUCACAGGAAAUUAAAUUGGAUGUGAUGUAGUAAAAGAGUGAGAAAAUGGAAAGGACAUAUGUAGCACAUUUAUGAUGAUUAAGUGGUAAGAAAAUGAAAACAUACGAUGCAGUGAAGUGUAUGUAAUUUAGAUAUUGAUACACACUUUCUAGUAUUUUAAAUAAUCUGCCCCUCCUCUUCCCUUUGCUCUCUCUGUGUCAUUAUCUCAGUGUGGAAAAUCAUUAGCAUCUUGUAAAAUCAUGUUGAUUUGGGGCAUAUUAGGUUAUAAAGUGUUCUAAAACAAGUCUCAGUAGUAAUGUGGAGUGCUCUCCAUUGCAUCAUCCAGAGGAAGGUGUGUGGGGAGCCAAACUGGGAGUGCUGGGCAAGAGCUGCGCUCUUGGCUGGUGGCUCACAACGUGGUGAUAUGGUGCUGGUGGGACAAAACUCCCAGUCUGUCUCCUCCUCAGUGUCAGCUCAACUGCAUGGGUGAGCUGGGCUCAUUCCUGUCCAGGUGCCUGUGGGCAGAGCACAGGUUUCCCUAUCAGGGAAUUCUUUCAAAGGGGACAGUAAUAACUUCCAACAUUUUAAUAACUUUUCUUAUAAGAUCUGGUUACCUGAAAUUGGAAAGGAUAAGCAGAACUCUGAGAGAUUUAACUUUAUUAAACAUCAUAAAUCCUUUCCCUUUUGACCCUAAUCAGUCCCCAGAGUCUUUUUAAUGCUCUUGACAUUGCACCGGCCUUUCAUCAUUGCACAAUAUACGUUUUCCUGUUACAAGGAAACCGGUGGUGAGAGCCCCACUUAAACCAGAGGUGAAGGCAGCAGCAGUAGGUUGGGCAGAAACUCACUGCCAGCAAAGGGAAGGAGGGAGCUGCACUUUGGCAGUACUCCUCAGCAUGUUCCUUCCAUCUGUGGAGAGGAGUGGAGGGGACCCGAGGGUGCCGGAGAAACCUCUCCCUGCAGUUUGCGAGAGCACUACAGACAACACAACAGUGCUUUUGUGCCUUGUGCUGGCACGGGGGCUAAACCUGCCUCAGAAAGCCUCCUUAUGAUUAGGCACUGCCCCACGUCCCCGGGGGUAGCAAGCAGCAGGAAGCACUCGCUGCAGGCCGGCCAGCUCAGCCCCAGGAGCUGUGGACAAGAAAGAGGUGGCUUAUGGCACCGGGAUGUGGGGACUGCCGGGCGGAGGUAUGGUGAAUGGGGCCCUUCUUCGCUGGGAAGGAGCCUUACCAGGUGGUCGAGGGAUGAGGAAUGAGAAACAAAGGCCUUCUUCAUAAAGCAGCUACCUGGGUUUCUGCCUUCCUGUCCAAGGCGCGCACAAAUCCUCCGGAAAGCGAAGGGGGAAUUCCCGGGCUGGUAGUCUGUCCUUCCUUGUGCUGUCCAGGAAUUCAUGUGAUGGGGAAGGCAUCCAAAGAAUCUGUCCCUAUGUGUAGGGAAGCUAAGUUCCCUCUUUUUCUUCCCUAUGUGCGAGUCAGCAAGUUUCUUCUGCAAAUGCCUUAAUUUUAAGCUUAAUGCUAUGCAAAUAUUUGGCUUUGGAGGUAAAAGCCUCAGGCUGGCUUCAGCUCACGGACUGGCUUCCAGCUGUUUCUACAGGUACUGAUCCAAUGUUUAUAUACACAAAUUGCUAUUUAUUUAUUUAUUGUGGUAACCUUUUAAAAGAAACUUGGAUAUUUGCCUAGCCUGUUUUUGCUUCAUACUUGAAAAUUGAUGUAUUUGCAAUGUGCGUACAGCCAUUUUCAGAAGCUUUGGCAAAACCCUCAGAUCUGCUGAAGAUAAUUGUGGUAGGCUGAAUCCUUAGAUAGCACAGAGUUGUACUGACUGAUUUUUCCCGUAAAGAAGUGCCCAACACUUUGCUUACCCCUGGAAGCCCACCAACCUCGACUAGGAAACAAAGGUGUAGGAAGAGCUGGCGCAUGCUGCAGGAGCUUUGUGCUGUAAUUUGGUUGUCUGGACAAGCAGUCACGGGGCAAGAGAACAUUCAGAAUGAGUGUCAAGAGUGCUAGCAAUACAUACGUUAACUAGGUUUCCAAAAUCUACUAAAAUGCUACCUUGAUGUAGAGCACAGUGUUCUAUCCACAUGUAUUUCACUUUCUCCAGCUCUCGUCUCAGCUCCUGCUUGCCUGCAAUCAGCCUCUUAUUAAAAGGGGAAAGUCCAUCGCCUUGUGGACCUUCUGCAAUGUGCUCAGCGUGUGAGCUAUUGACUUCAUAAAGACAAGAAUAGCUAUCUCAAAUGUGUUUCAUUUGCAUGUGGCAAGAUAGAAAAAGCAAACUCUGUGUGAAGACGAGCAGAUGAGAAAGACACUGAAUGCCUUAAAUGCUAAGGGAGUUAAUGCUAUGCAGUGAUUUUUGCUUCUGUUAUAGGAAGUGUAAGAACAGUACGCUUCCUAGCGUACAUCACCAUCUAAACUGCAAAGAUUUCAGUUCCAUGGCAACACGAGGAGCCCCAUGGUGCUUAAGGUGUACGUAUUAAUGCAUUCAGAGUUAGGGGCUGUUACUGAGAUGGUAAGAAUAAAACAUUCGGAAUAUCUCCCAUUUACUUAUUGAAGGCUUUGUUUAUAGAAAAUCAUCCACCCCCCCCGUAUUGUCUCCAGUCCUUUCUAUGUGUGUUUUUUUCUCAGACAAAAAGCAAAUGAAGCGAUUGUUAACUGGUGGUAUUUUUUCCAUAAGACUGUUCAGUGCAGCAGCACUUGAAAGUUGCAAGAAAAUGCUGUUGAUUUUUGGUACUGUUGUGUAUCUCUGGAGAGGAGGACUUGGUAGCAGGGGGGAUUAUUUCUUCCCCAAGAUGUACUGCUUUAUAGACCAGAGUGAAGCAGUAUUUGGGGUUUUUUUUACCAUUGUUUUCCUUAUUCUUUUUGAUCAGCCCUCUUUCUGCCUUUCUUUACAUCGACAUCCAGUUUCUCCAGUCUGAGGAGCAGGAAAUACGACUGAGCUCUGUUUCCUGGCAUCCAAAGAAAUAUACAAGUGCAAGGAAACAGAGUAUUUUGUUUCUGCCAGUUGCUUGGGUUUGCAAUGUGUCCCCAGUAAUGCACCUGGACAGAGCCUGAGUCCCCCUCUAGAGCAAGUGGGUGAGGGGCCAGGGAAGAACCCAGGCGAGCAGCAGGGCUAAGCUGGCACAGGAAGACUGACAGAAAUGGGCAAGUUGAACUGGUUUUACAGCUGUUUUGCAUUGCUGAAACAGGCAAAGCAGCCAGAGUUAUCGGUGGGUCUGGCCUGUAGAUUUCGUCGAGAUUUCUCUGUGUGACUGCAGAGAGAGCACAGCGCUGCAUUUGGAGGCUGGUUGGCUGUUUCCUGUUGCUGUGCCAGGAGGAAUAAAUUCAUCUCUCUGUUAUCUCUAUCUGUAUCUCUUUCUUUCUUUUUUUUUUCAUUUGCUCACAACAGGAAUUUUUUUUAUUAAAAAUAAGGCUGUCAUUCACUGAAGGGGGAGGUUUUGCCUUCAGGAGUGCAGCACAACCCAAGUAAAUCCUUUCUGAGGACAUAAGGAGGAAUGAAAUGAUUAAGUGACACUGCACUGGCACUCUGCAGAGGGCCGAUUUCCACCCUUGGGCAGCAGAACCACAAAGCAAGGAGGUGUUGCAUGUACACAGCAUCUUCUAGGAGAGCUCAGCACUGGGAGCCCCGGCCAUGUGCUGAUGUUGCUUGUCCUUGUAGUUCUUGCUUAAAAAAAACCCACACAGGUGGAGCUCACUGACUAUGUGGCUGUACAAUUAAUGCAUGCUUGUCAAAUGACAUGGGGCCUCAAAUGAAGAGCAUUGUUCAUUCAUGGGCAUCUGUGCGUCAGUGUCCAACCCAGUGCAGCCUCUGGGUAGGCCAGAUGCUUUGGGGAGCACCUCAGUCAGUGUGGCAGGAAGGAUGGAGAGAAAGCACUGAGAAACUUCAAAGAAAGAAAAAAGGGAGGAGAGAAAUCAAGGGCAGGAAGAGAGAUGAGUGAGGAAACAGCAAAGGCGAAAGGGCCAGCGGAGAACAACAGGGGGCUGGGAAGAACACAGGGCAGGAAGGAGAGAAUGCUUUGGUGUGCUUGAGAAAAAAGUCAUUUUCAGAUGAAACGCAGACAAAAAGGAACAAGAAAAUUACAGAAUGUGAAGUGGGAGAGGAUAUCAGAGUUGCAAAGGAGGAGGAUUCAAACUGAUACAAACAGAAAAUAUGUAUAACGUGUAUGGAUUGAUUUGAUGUGUUGGCCCAGCCAAUUUUAAGUAGCGACUGGUAAGUCUGUAGCAGGAAAGGGCUGUGCCAUUCUUCAUGAGGAAGCUUUGGGCUGGUAGGGAGCAGCAGGGCCAUGUGGGGAGACUGCUGCAGGUCCCAUGGCUGGAGCUGGAAGCGUAUCACUCCAUCUGCAAUGUUUGCUUCUUUCUGUCUCUCUCUGCAGGGCCUGGACUGCUGCCAUCUCCCUCCUUGGAGAGCAGGGUAGUGGAGCACCUGCCACCAAGGAGAAAAACUGCCUAUCUUGCCUUCAAAGGCUGGUGGCCAGAAAGAUGUGUCUGGUUGUCUUCUCGUUUACCUGUGCUGCUGUUAGGCAGGCAGGUAUAAGGUCUCUGUCUAUAUCCCUCUUGUGCAAGCUAUCUAGGCUACCAGAAAUAAACAGCUGAAUGGAAAUUUUACUUCUGGCUGUGAAAAGUGGCUUUUGAAUGAAGUCUACUUCAAAUAACAAAUGCCUUCUUUCCUCCUCCUCCUCUCCACCUACUUUGUUCCUAACCAUUAACUUUUCAUGUCACUUGAGCUAAGUUCAGUGUCAGACUCACCAGAUCCUACUGAAAAACACAUCUCUCUUUUGUGGCAAGCUGAAGAAGAUGAGAGGCUUGUGGUGUUUUUCCUUCUCAAUCUUUGCUCCUCUGGGAAAAGCAGCUAAGGCUGUGUGAAGCUGCCUCCUUCCCACUCUGCUCAAAAAUGCCUCUCCAUCAGCUGCUUUGAAGCUUCUCUUAAGGAGGCUCGGCCUGGCCUGCUCAGUGCCAUCAUCUGCCAGGGGAGGUUUUCUCAGCUUGUGGUGGCUUCCAUCGUGGUAGAAGGCUGCAGAAGAUUGCUGUGGAAUAAGUCAUCAUCACCACUAGCUAUGCCAUUUGAAAAUCAUUACUUAAGCAUGAAAGAGAAGAAAAAGAUGAAACAUUAGGAGAUUUAAACCCUACCCAAAGCUCCAAAUAAUUUCUGCCAUUUCUGCUUUCUGUUUCCUAAUCAUAGGCUGCUUCUGCCAUGAGAGGAAAUGGCAGUCACUGGACAGUGGCGCUUGAAAUAUUCUGCGGCGUGCACUAAUACUUAUGGUAAAGAUGGAUGUAUUUAUGGGAAACAAAUGGAGAUCUGAGCUUUCCUGGGGACCUUAAUGGUAUUUUCUGUUAUAACUUGCGUGCUAAUACUUGCUUAUUUUGAUCGGUGCUGAAAAACAGGAUCAGAAAAUAGAAUGUGGACUUUGGGUGCUGUCACACAAUGAUGAGUCAGCUGAAAUUGAAGCCAGUUCAAGGUUUAAGUAUGAUCGUUGAUGUUCUUGAAAAACAAAAUCUCUCAACCAGUCAGCAGCUGAGUUUACUUCUCAGCUGUUAGACAAAAGCCACCCUUUGCAGGGAUGCUGUGUGACAGAAGGAACUCUUUCCUUUUCCCUCACCUUGGCCAUUAGUCCAACAGUUAGGAAUCAGAUUUAACCCUUGGUGUUCGUUGCAGGCUUUGUGAGUCUUUUCCAGCAUUGAAACAAGUAUUUUUGAUAGACACACUAGUUUGUUGAUUUGUUUGCAAUCAGUUUUCCCGGAGGUUGCUGUAAUGUGGGAGGAACUGAGUUCUUUGGGUGCAAACGUUCACUGCUGACUCUUCUUAGUCAUUAGAUGUUUUUCACAUUAAGGUGCUUUUACUUUUAUGGGAAAAUGUCAAGCAUCUUCUGAUAGUAGGCAUUCAAAUUGACAGAAGCCAUUGGCUGGGGCCAAUGCAGCAUCACGCCAGCACAGACCUCAAGGGGGCUGCAGAGCCCUGUUCCCACCCAUGCACCCCUGCUUUACCUCCUGAACCAGCCCUAGGUCCGACAUCCUGGUACCGACCUACAUCCAUGCUGAUGUGCCACCAAACUGAAAGAUGUCACUGUUCUUUUCCAAAAAGAACGUGUCUUUUUAUACAGUUCCCCUGCCAUCUCUUUUUAUUUUCUAACUGCAGCUCUUUUAAGGCUCCCUGCCUUUGCAGUUCUUGCCUUUGUUUAGAUUAUUUUUGGAAACUGGGGAACAAGAGGAGGGAUGAAGUUCAGGGGGCUGACUGUACUAGGAGGCCGAAACUCUUUCUGUCUGUGUGCUCUUCCCUCUUCUUUCUUCUCUCCAUGGCAGGGCAGGUUCCAGGGCACGCCAUGGCCUCAUGCACAAAACGUGGCUGGCACAUGUGCCGACCCCCCCUUCCUUCCUGGAACCACCAUCAUUGCUCUUCUGCUUUCCUGGGUCAGCUGGGCAAAAGGUUUGAGAGCUGUGAGUUUUGAGAGCUGUGGAAUACUGGGGAGCACUUGCACCUUAAGGUAAAUUGUAUGCAGAGAGGAAUGUGUUUCCUUUAUUAUUUUUCAGUGAGGCAGCCCCACAAAGGUUGUUGGCCUUUUCUUUAAGUAUUGUCGUGUUUUUACAUCAGGAGUGUCACAUACUGGCUGCCAAGCUUGGCAAGAAAAUCUACAUUCUCUGGAAGCCUGAGGAACAGCAGCUGAAGCCCGAAGGCGGCUUUCUCUGCAUAGGUUUUUUAAGAUAGUUAGCGCUUGGGAAGUCAUUGGCUGUGAGAUAGGUCAGGCUGUCCUCUUGAUAGCUGAGACAGUACUCAGGUAAUUGAGAUACUUGUGAUUGCCCAUGGAAAUUUGCUGAUGUUUAUAAUACUGUCAGGCGCUAAAGUCACUCCCUAACAUUGCUUGUGGGAUCUUACAGUGGAUCAAUAUCUAAGCACAAUGUGGGAAUUUUCCUCACAUACAUAUUUUUUUUUUUUCUGUGGUUAUGAAGAUGCCUAAAUAGCAGUAUGCUGCAGUAAAUGUUAAACAUUAAAAACUGGUUCUGUGUGUACUGAUAAGAGUAAAUCACUAGAGAAGGAAGUAACCUGAGUUUGGCUGGUGAAGCUGAUGCAUCUAUGGUGGAAAUCAAAGUGGGGGAUGAUCACAGUCCUAAUUCUGUCUUUGGAGAAUAGAUUUGAGUCAACAAGAAGAGAGAAUGAAUAUGACUUUUCCCUGAAUUAAAAAGGGAGGGUAGAUGAUUCUGUACAAGAAGCUGCACAACUGAUGCAAAAAGUGAGCCAUAUGUAGGGAGAGGGUAAUCAACAGAACAUGAAAUACUCUUUGAAAUACAUUGAAAUUGAGUGUUGUUUGUUGUUAUUGUUGUUGUUUUUAAACUGCUGUGCAGUAGCAGAGAUCAGUUAAUUCUGUGAUUCUGUAAAUGGUUGUGCAAAGUGGUCGCUUAGGGGAACCAUAGAAUCAUAGAAUGGCCUGGGUUAAAAAGGACCACAGUGAUCAUCGAGUUUCAACCUCUCUGCUCCAGGCAGGGUUGCCAAGCACUAGACCAGGCUGCCCAGAGCCACAUCCAGCCUGGCCUUGAAUGUCUCCAGGGAUGGGGCAUCCACAGCCUCCUUGGGCAACCUGUUCCAGGGUGUCACCAUUCUCUGAGUAAAAAACUUGAUCCUAAUAUAUAACCUAAAUCUCCCGUUUCAGUUUAAAACCAUUCCCCCUUAUCCUAUCUCUAUACACCUUCUCCUAUCCCCCCUUGUCCUACCACUAACCAUCUUUCUCCUGGCAUUCCAUGGUGGAGCAUGGAUGCCCUGUCGGCAGGGAUUUAUUGUCACCCACCCCAGUGCUCAUGGCUGGCACUCAGUGAGGUCUUCUGGGGCUAAUUAUUUAUUUAAUGAGAAGUGGUCACAGUGGCACUAUGAGAAGGGCAGCCCCGCAGCAGGAGGUGUCUUGGAGGUAAUCUCACUGCUCACAGAUAGGCUUCUUGUGCAUACUAUAAAUAAAUAAAGUAAUGAAUAACUGUAUGUUGGCAUUUUUGUUUAAGCUUAUUAACAGUGGCUAAUAGUAUUGAAGGUGCUUUGGGUACUACCAUGCUUUGUAGUUCUCUAAUUUCUUGAAGAAGUAGUUGAAAGGCUUGAGCAGCAAGUUAAGAAAUCAGGUUGCUGCUGACUGAACUUUUGAACUUUUCCUAACAAAAGGGUAGGUCCGCAAGAGAAGAGUCAAAUUUAUGUGUGUGUACACAUGAGCAGUCCAGAUGAUUUCACUCCGAAGAGAGAAAUCUUCCUCUUUUUAGGCUAAAUAGGCAUGGCAAUGCUGCUCCUUAGUUCCACGUGUUUCAAAGGUAACAGUGAGUGCUGGUGAUUCAAGGGAGCCUCAGGAAGAAAGGAAUUUGAGCGUAACUUAAGAGAUAAAAGCUAUUGUUUGACACGAGAUAUUUGGAGCGUCUCUACAAGAUUUUAGAUUGUGUGUUGGUUCAGGAAAGAAGAGAAAGCAAAGCAAUGAAAUCCUGUGGUUAUGCUUUUAUCAAUACAUUUGAUUUUUUGGAAGAAUGCAUUCUGGGUCUGAUCCUCAUCUUCUUUCCCAAUUACUGAUUAAUAAGAAAUAAAGUCUUGCAGAGAAAAGCUUUCAUGCUUUUAAAUUUCAUGGUCUGUAGCGAAGGACAAAAUGAAGAAAAGAAGAAGGACAAAAUGUUUUGAAAAACAUGAGAAAUGGGCAGUUUUGAUGUACCAGGCACAGCUCAGGCUGGGCUCAGUCAGUGCUGCACUGCAUUCACUGACUGCCAACUGGGCCCAUUCCCCUUCAGCCCGGUGAGGUGGCAUCCUGUGCAUGCAGUGUCAGGAUGUUCCCUGCCUCCCCCUGCCCUUCCUGCAAUAUUUUAAUUUCACUAUUCCAGCCGAGCAGAAGCUGUCAGCAGCAGCAUCUGGAGCAGCCUUGUCCUCGAGUGAGUGGCUCUUCUCUCUGCUUCAGGGCAGACAGCGGCAUUGGCAAGGCUGGAGCAACAGGACUUGGAUUUUGGGAAGUUUUAAGCUGGUUUAUGCCUGUGUUUUAAUUGUAACGUUUGACUGUAUUGAAUAUAGGAACUGUUCUCAGCAGGUCUUUGUAUGCGUGAGGCUGUUUGAGCUGGAAUCCUGUGUUACAUUGCUGUAGGUGGAUGCUGUGAUGAGGGUGGUGAAGGAGAGCAUCUUCCCUCUGCUGCCUUUCCCCGCUCCCCGCUUUCUGUAAUCCCCAGUCAGUCUGUGCCUUCCCUGGCCAGACAGAAUUACAGUAGGUAUACACUCGGAAUCGGGUUUUUAUUGUCAGCACCUGUGAGCAAUCAAAGCUUGUUUGUGCAAAUUCAAAAUGAAACUUCAAUCUGAAAUGGGUGUGAUUUCAGAACAGCUUGUUUGCAGCCAUUGUUACUCUUUGCCAAGAAAUAUAAGGCUUUACAGUAACUCCUAGGUAUUGCUCUAGUUACUGUGCACUAGAAUAAACCCAUCAUGUUUCAUGUCUGACUUUAUUUGGUCCCUUAAAGCCUAGUGGCAUACAUAUGAUGCGAGCAGACUCAUGAGACUACUGCAGCUGUAUUAUUUUUCAUUACCGUGUUCUAAAAAUUCAUGUUAAGAAUUUUGGUGAAGAAUGGAUCAUUGACAUAUUUUUAGUUAAUAUCUUGGAAUAGGGAAGUACACCAUCCUCAACUUACAGUCACUCAGCUGUGAACGAGCUAGAUACGGAAUGGACCCAGAGUGAAUACAGAGAAAUGAAAAAUCCUCAGAUCACUUAGUUGCAGCUGCAGAUGAGAUUUUUGCCAUCAGGUGAUAGUUCCAGAAUCCAGGUUCCCGGUGUGUAAGAAGAACAUCCUUACUCUGAUGGUUUGAUUUGCUUUAAAACUUUGACAUAAGAACUGUUGUUUACCGCUAGUAGUGCUACCAACUGGAACCAGGGUAGACUGUUACACAGGUAGUAGUAAGUUGACAUUUAACUAUAAGUAUACUUAUUUCCAAAGAUAAAAAUGUAGGCUUUUAUGCUUAAUAUCUGAAAUAAACUCACUUCCCUCCACCAAUUAUUACUUACCUGAGAUUUCAUCAGAGGUGUUUGCAUGCACAGGGAGAUGUCCGAUUCAUACUUUCAUAUGGAAAAAAUAAGUAAUUAUGUAGCCUCAGCAGACUCUAUUUCUAUGGUGUUUUAAUUUCACUUUUCAAUUAUAAUCAGUAUUACCUGUUUUGUCACUGCUAGCAUGAGAAGAAAAGCCCUAAGAAACUGAUGUGCAGGCAAAAGGAGAAUAGCAUAACUAUUUUUAUGUUCCUUACAUCAGUGUCCCGGUUUGUCUAAUGUUGUAUGGCACAGUGACUCCAGUGCUCCACACUGUUCUGUCCUCAGUGAGCCAAACAUCUAUUCCAAGAUUGCUGUCUGCUUCACAAGUUGUAGAAACUUUCGAAAAAGAAUUUGCUAAUUUGGGGUGCUCAUUCAUUGUCUGCUUGGAAAGCUGAUUGUCUCUAUGUUUUCAGCAAACAAUAUUCUUACACUAUCCUUACAAUGUCCUUACAAUAAUAUGUAUUCCUAAUGGAAUUCUUUUGGUCAGCAAGGGAGAAUUCAUCUGCUUAGGACUUCAGAUGCUUCAAUUCAGAAAACCAUCAGGAAGCACUGCUGCACCAGGGCACCUCUUCAUUCAUUUAUGCUUAUUUAGCUGGGUAAUGACAGUUACCAUUGUGAUUCCCCUUCUGUUCUGUACCUUUCUUCAUUUUUAUUUCCUUGCAUUGAAAAGCACUACAGUGUUACUACUGGGAACAUCCAGCACUGUUCCUGCCAGUCCCUUAUUUUUCCAUAUGCCCUUUCACCUCAGAGAGAGCGCCAUCACUGCCCAUCCGUCAUGUCUCCCAUUCAUACCUAUUCUGUACAAGGUUUGCUGGGUUUCUUUUUGUUUCAGGAACACGGGCUUUUGCAAAGCCUGUUGGCGUCAGAAGCACUUGCACAACUUGUACUACGUCUACUGUAUCAGAACCGACAGAACUGGCAGCUCUUUUAAAAAACAAAAACAAACAAACAAAAAAAGCCCCAAAACAGGUAAACCUGCAAAAAAAAAAAAUUAAAAAAAACCCUCUUCCAAAUGGAGUAAUAUGCCUGUUAUAGAGAAACAAAGGCUUUUGACUCUUUCUUGUUCAGACAGCCCCUUGGAGGUAUGGAUUGCUUCCCCUUAAUGAGUAUUGACCGGGUCUGGGAGACACAGCACCGGGAUCUUCCAGAUGGGUGCCUGCUGGGGUUAACCCCUUCUGCAUGUCAGCAGGAGACUGAACUUCCAAGCACUGGGUUCCCAGCCAUUUGAAGGCUGCUGGGCUGCAUGCGCUGAGGCUCUGCAGGUUACGGUGUGCCUGUGGUGUGUGCUGGAACAGGCGGGAAGUGCUGGGCUGGGGCACCCCGGGACACCACUGGAUGUGUCUGCUCAGGGCUGUUAAAUUAGGCCACGUGCACACAUAUAUAUGCGUGAGGGAAAAGUGAGGGCUUUGCAAAGCACUUGGGCUAAAAAUAAUGUCCGGUGUUGUUUUUAGGUAAUAAUGCUAUCACAGAUGAAGAAAGUGAGGGAGGAGUUUGUAGCCUGGGACAUUUCUUCUUUCCUUUGCUUUGCAGGGUAAACGCUAAAGAUCCUGGAGUGUUUGUUUGGCUAAGUAAUGCUUUCCAGAAGUAUGUCAAUGAAGUAGUCAUUGAAGUCAUAGAAUACUUUCCUAUAUUUAGCAUUUAAAUAUGCAGUAGAAAGCCAUUAACUUUUAAACUCCUAAGAACCGUAAGCAUUCCUGCAAAGGAACUCAGAUGUUCAAGUGAGCCAAUUAAGGAUACGGAUUUUACUACUGCCAGAAUAGUGCAGUAAGUGUUGUGCCAUCAGUGGUUGGGGUAAGCUCAGUUACAUCCUGCUGAGUGUGGUUGCUGUGAGGGCACGUGCAGUAUCCUCAAACUGUUGAAGGGGCAGGAUUGCUGUGGGGUUAUCACUUGGUUAGUUAAUUUGGAGGACCGUGCUUUUCCCUAGAGAUUGAUACUAAAAAAUCCAGUUAUGCAGACCCGUACAAUAGUUUAUGUGAGAAAGGAAUCUCUGGGCAUCUUCUUUCCAGCCCCUGCUCACAGCAGGUGUGUGGUUUUGCAUGUUGUCGUUAUCUCACCUGCAUGUGAUCGUGAUGAUUUAUGCAAGAAAGAUUAAUUAAUCAGAACUUUUUUUGUGUGUGCAUGUGUAGACAAGAGGCAAGUGCCAAAGAGGGGUACAAACUGAGUCCAAAGUGUUUUACAGAGGUGGUGGAGAUGGCAUUGAAGUGCCACCAAAAAUCCCACCCCACUUAACACGUAUGAGUGCUCAUACAGAAGGCAAACAUCGCUCUGGGGUAGCACAAGGGACCUAAUUGGAACAUUUGUAACUUAAUUUUAAAUCGUUGUUGUCAUUGUGGGUUAAUAUACUGAAGGAAUCAGUAAAUAUGCUGAAGAAAUUGGUAGGUAGUAAAAACGAAGGCUAUACAACAGUUUAUAGCCAGUGGUUCUGUUUAGGCUUAAUCCCCGUAAUGCCGUGUUAAAAUUUACAAAACAGCUUGUAAUUGCAGGAGCUUAUUUAAACCAGCUAUUUGUGGUUAUGUCUGCUGAGGAAACUUAAACUUCAGCGUUCCCCAGCCAUCUAAUAGCAGCAAAUUGACUGCGGGUCUCUUGUAAGAAUAUCUAAAUGUAGGCUGUUGAAUAAUCCCUUUGGGGGCCCUGUAACUAUUUUUGUGCCUGGAUAUGCGUCAUCAGUGGGUAUUUUCUCUGGUGACUAGCUUACAUCAGUAGGUCUCCUACCAUACACUCUAUCAGCAAGUGACUUAUGAUUGAUGGGAGUCACGGCCGCGCUUGGGCAUUUAUCUGUGACCUCAAAUAAUGGACAACGGGAAUCUCCACGCUGUUAAAUCCCUUCGAUGACGGGAGGUACGGGCUGCCCGUGCUGGGCGAUGCAGGUACUGCCCUGGCACCGCUCGGGGCCGAGGCGGGGAGGGAGAAGCAGGGCUGCCGCGGUACUCCGGGGCUGGGUGGUGAUGCUGCUCCAGGCUGGGGGCAGUGCUGCUCUGGGGGGCGACGCCGAUCUGUGCUGGGGGUGAAUCUGCUGCAUCUCGCAGCCCCGCAGAGGGAAGCGCGGUGAAGCUGGGCUGCAGUGCUGGGAGCUGGGCUGCAGCACGGCAGCGCGCUGAACGCAAACAGGUCCGGGGCUUCAUCACGGGGCUGUCUCGCCUUAAAUCUCAAGGUGUGGCGGACGAUGCGGGUUUAAGGUUAAGUUGCACCUGCCCCAGUGACCUGCCGAGCACGUGGUCGUGGUUUGUUUCCUGCUGAUAAAUGCUUCACGUUGUGAAGAGGAAGAAUGCAGACAGAAGUUACCUCCGUUUCUCCUUUCUCUCUGCUUCUCUGUUGAAAUGUGACAUGGGAAAUGAGGCUGCGAGACAGGCGUGAGAUCUCUGAGCGCUACCUGUGAUGAAUUCAGCGGCUUGAGCCAGUCCCAAAGCGAGGCGCUUUGCAAUUUCUUCUUCUUUUUCUCCUGCAGUUUCCUAGUGCUUUCGUUACAGCUGUGAUGGGAAAUACAACAUCAGCUCUUUGUGAACUUUAGCUCCGAAGUCACUCCAGUCCUUCUCCUGGCAACCAGAGAAUAAAACUGACAGAUAGGGAUGCUCUCAGUGUGAUGGACGAUUCAAAAGCCCCCAGUGUUGUUUAUCACGUGGCAUUGCUUGGCUGAGGGAGGAUAGUGACUGGAUCAGAAUUCCUCCUCACCGUGUCUUCCUGUUGGCAGUUGGCCCUCUGCAUAGCCUGUGCUUUCAGAGCCUCACGCUGCUCUCACGUGUUUUACUGCCUGCUAUUGUUUCUCACCCAGGUGCACGUCUGUUGUGCAAGGCGUUGAGACCUAAAAACUUUCAGAGGGAAAAGGGGAACUGCGUUUUGACUUGUCUGUGUGUCAUCUCCUCCCCACACAUUGCCCCAGCCACUGUAGUUAAUGAAUGAAACCAGGCUUCCUGUAGGAGCCACUUCAUCGAGGGCUGUGCGUCUGUUGACACAGCACUUCUAUAAAGCUGCCUUUAGAAUCAAUGUAUGUUCUUCAGUAUUGUGGAUGCCCUCGCUCUGUGGGACGUAUCUUAUACGUACCUGAUCAUUCCUUCCAGGCAGAUGCCUCUCCUACAGCAUAGGCACUGGGUCUGAAUCGAGUUUCCUUAUCUUUCCUCUGACUGGUGAGCAUUUGCUAAGAAUUGCAUUCAACAGAGAAGUUGUAGGAAGAGAAAUGGCGUGUAUGAAGCGACUUGGAAAAUCAAGGGAGAGGAAGGAAUGUAAAGGUUUUCAUUGAACCAUCAUUUCAUUUGCCUCUAUUUUUUUUCCUGUCACUUCAGUAAGACUUUGUGAUUCAUGACAAACUGGUUAUAUAAUUCAAAAUCUGUAAAAGGUUAAGCACAACAAGCAUGAUGAAUCUUGUCUCAUUUGCAUUGCAAUUCAUUGAUUCUUCCUCAAGUACCAUGCUUAGAAAAUGUAAAGCUUUGUAACCAGCUGAUGUUAUAGAUAUUCUUUGCCACAGCUUUCUAGGAAUCAUUAUAGACAGGAACACAUUAGCAUCUUUUGGCUAAUACUGACCACAUUUCUCCCAUUUCUGUGAGGAUUGUGUGUUAAGUUAGUGAAAAUAUUUUUAGGUAGCUUCCACUUACAGUGCUCGUGCAAAAUCUUGGUAUCACCAAAUUUCAAGAAAGACCAAUGACGCCGUCAUCUGGAAUUGUUCAGAUCAGGUCGUAGCUUGCUAGGAAGAAGCAUUCACAAGUUGCCCACCUGUUCCUGGUGCUGUGUGCUGGGCUGCUGGGUGAAGUCUACACUGAUUGUUGUCUGGCAGUGUUCAGCAGUGACUCUCCACAUGCUGUGAUGGUGCAUCAUUGGGUACACACGGUGUCUGAGAAUAAUGGCCCUCAGGUGAGCUCAUGCCAGGCGGGUGCCUAGGCUGUGCACCCACGCCCUGUUGACUUAGGUGACUCAAUGCAGGCACGCAGCUCCGCUUGCACAGCACUAACCUGGGAGAGCCUUUGCUGGUUUGGAGGCCACCUUUCCAAGUAUUGACAUAUUUUGGGGGCUAAAAUGGAAACUGGGCCAGGUGCAGGGAUAUCAGAGGCUUUACCAUGAGUGUUUCUGAAUGCGACAGUCAAAGUAAAAGAUGAAAUAAAGCUCACUUCUCUCCUGCCUAGUACAUCUGUGACUGCAUGCUCUUUUCCACUGCUAAGAAGUCUGAUACAUGGUGAGGGUCAUACCAACAACCAAUGAGUAUUAUUGUCAUUUUGUAUUGUUUGGACUCUUAGUGCCUAAAUUCUCCUGGCAGUAAAGAGGUAGCCUGAGUAGAAAGAGCCACAAAACUAAUGCAAAGCUGGCCUUGCUCAUGACCCUCCCUUCUGACAGGAGGACUUUCAUGAAGAGUGACUGCAUGGAGCAGGCAGCGCUGCUUGGGUCUUACCAAAUACGUUGCCCUUGGAGAAGAGUUGCUACAGCAAGAUGACUGAACACAGUCAAAGUAUUCUGAAAUAUGAGGCAAAGCAGUGAUUUCACUGCUUCAGGGAACAUAGUGUCUUUGGAUUGUGUUGAAAAUCGUCUUAUAGUCGUAAAUACUUGAUCUCGCAAGAUGGUCUUUCUAUUUCCAUAAACCCCAUUAAAACAACUGAACCAGUUCUUAGAUGCAAAGCAACUCCAGUUUUAGUCAACUUGUGUGGGGAGAAGCUUAGAUGAUAGUUUCUUCAGUUUAUUUUGGGUUUUGUUUCAUGAUUUUUCAGGUGUUGUGGAGGAAACAUGGAUUAGCCAUUGCUUCAUUUUGAUGUUAAUUUGAUUGCAGGGGAAAGGAAGGAGUCACUCCUAAACACUGGUGAUGUUUGUAGUGAGUGGAGUAAUGAAGAGCCAAGAGAAAGAAAAGCGAUGCAGUGAAAGAUUACACGGAAAAUAAUGCAUAAAGAAAAGUUGGAAAAGUGAAAAAAGCGAUUAUUGGUAUUUCAUUUUUUUCCAUUUAAUCUUGAUAAGGUCAAUGAAUAGCCUUCCAUAUGCGUAUAUAUAUAAACACACACAUAUAUACACGUAUAUAUUCUUUUUAGUGGUAAGUCUGUACAAUACUGGAAAUUAAUGGGCUUAGAUAAUGCUGAAGUGCUUCCUGCAUGCUCUGCGUGUGAGGGCCCUGGUACUGAAACCUCUGUCCAUCUGUCCUUCUUCCUAUAAGCAGCCAGCGACUUUCCUAAAACAGUCUGAGAUCCAAGACCAUGCUGUCAGGAACUUGACUGACUUCUAAAUGUUGCUUGGAAUAUAAUUAGUUUGGAAAGAAUGCACACAUUUAUUUGAAUGUGUCGGAGAAAGAAUGAAGAUGCUGCAAGUGAUGUCUGUAUGUGACAGAGGGGAAAGGCACCUUCUUUAUCUUGGUAGCCCGACAGCAACUCCUAUAAAUCAUGGUGAUGUCUUUUCUUUGUCUUCUGUUUUGUUUCCUAUAUAUGCACAGCACUGUAAUUCCUGUAGGAAUUUUGCUUGUGGAAGUAUUUCUCUCAAGUGCCACGAAGUGAGCAUUUUUCAUGCAGGACCUUGCAUUGCUCCAUAAGCUGUGUGCUGCUGGUGACUCAGCCCAGCUGGAGCCAGACGCUGCUCCACAGAUGCAAAGAUGCACACGAAUCCCGAAGUGGCAGCGGGUUAGGGACAGAGUUACUCCGGGUAAAGGGAUUCUGUUCCCUUCCCGUCCAGGUUGAAAUCUUCUCCAGGCAGACCCUGACCUGACCCUUCACAGGGAAUUGUGGCUGACUUUGAAACAAGAGGUAAAAGAGGUGAGAAAGAAAUACUCCACACUGACAUCCUCUGGAGCCUUGAUAAAGUCAGGACAGUGAAGGGGUACUUAAAAAAUAUCCUUAUGAGGGAUUUACUUGGUACUGCAAAUCACUAAUAACGGGAGUGCAGUACAAGGCCCUAAUUCAGGAUUGCUGAGGAGUUUGUCCAAUGUCUGUAGUUUUGUAUCUUGACUUUGUCUUUUGGCUGACUGGCUUUUAGCAUUGAGUUUUCCAGAAACUUAUUUGGCCUUUCUUCUUCUCAAGCCAGUUGCUACCCAAUUGCAAUUGCCAAUUGCAAAUUUUGACUAAAAAAAUGAAAUCCCUUUUCAGAUAGUCACUUUGUUUCUACAAACUCAUUCUAUAGUGGAUGGACUCCGCGAAGCCUUUCUUUUUCUGUACGUAUUUAUACUUCUAGUCAGUGAAGUGAAUGCACAUUUCUGAAGAGAUUUUCUCUUGUAUGCUCCUUUGUGACUGUGUUUGUUCAGGGAUAGAGGAGACAGAAAUGAGUCUGUGAGGUCCUGCCAUCUGCUGUCCCUCCAUUGGGAGGUCAAAUGUCAGCCCACAGCAUGAAACCCCUUGCUUCCUCCAGGGACUUCGAUUUCCAUAUACAAAAGCCAGUCAGAAAUCUGAAAGGUAGAAAUCUGUAAUUUGGGAAUAAGAAAGAAAUGGGGUUAUGGCAACUGGGAGACACAAAGCUCAUUAAGCCCCCUUUGACCAGUGUGCAGGGAGAAGGAGAAGUAACCAGUUUUGUUUAGUGUAACCAAAUUGUGGAGCAUCAUGUUGAGUAAAGAUCCUAGCAGAUCUCCAUUCCCCAUAAAGCUCAGGUCAUGCACUGAUGAAAUGUAGCUUUUCUUUCAGUUAUGAUGAUAGGUUUUUUUUCACCCUCUUGAUUCUUGACCAAGAGUUCUAUUCUCUUUCCACUAGAAAUUUGCUGCUCGUUAUAGAGGGAGCAGGGCUACGAAUCAGAAGAUUGGUCACUCCUGGUAGUUUAUCAUUUUCUACCUUGAUCGUUAUUAGAUUAGAUAUGGUGUUAAAAAUUUCAAAGGCAUGACCACCAAAAAGAGUAUAGCAGUCUCAAAGAGGUGUAAAGGAAUAAAAAGGUGCAAAUGAACAAAAGAAGUAUUAGCUCAAAUACCAGGAAAAAGCUGUUAUGAUACAGGCCCGUUCUCCUGAUGGAAACCAGCCGAGCUGAUGAGUUCAGAAGUGACACGGGUGAAAUAUCGUAGAAUAUACCACCUAAAUUUUUCUCAUUUGGGUAUGAGAUGAUCUAAUAGACUUUGGCCAUUUCCUUUAUCAUCUAAUUUCUGUGAUUCCACGAUCACUUUUAAAAAUGCCAUUCUCUUGCCUGUCUCAUUGCAAACCAGCAUCUUGUUAUUUUUUUUUUCUCCUUUCACCAAAAAAAGGGAGACAUUUGCAGAAAUACAACAUGGUGUUAUUUUGAUGAGUCCAAACAAAUUUUUCAAGGCCAUAUCUCGCCAUUGUUCUGUGGUAAAAGUCCCGUAGUACUCUAUGGGAGACUUGCAUUAAAAUUGUAUUGCUAUGUAUGCUCAGUAUCUACUCUUCAGAGGCCUCAGUGAUAUCCAUGCUCUACUCUCAGAGUUGCCUUUUUCCAGUUCUUUAAAGUUACACUUUGGCUUUACAGGAAAUAAUAAUCAUGCCUACCAUACUGUAACUAAAGUAUUCAGACACAUGAAUCUUUUUCUUGACUUCAUAUAAAAAUGUCAUUCGUAGCUUUAUUUUGUUCUCCUCUGACUAUAAUAUAAACAAGAGUUUAUUAAAGCAUUAGUUUUAAGCUGUGAUUCUUGAGAAUGCAUGGUCUCACAAAAAUAGUAUUGAAACUGCAGGUCAAAACCAUGCAACAGAAAAGUGAAUAAUGAGUCUGUUUUCAUAUGGAUGUUUUUAAAAGUACAGCUUGUAGUUGAACUAGAUGUACUGUUUCUUCCACUGCAGCCAGGAAGCCCUCAUAGGUUUUUGACAGUGCCGCCAAAAAAUUAAUGCUUCAGCUGUUUAAAUGGUAUCAAAAGCUUGUUUGACAAUUGUAAUCUUUUCCAGGAAUUUCCUUUCCCAUUUCCCCCCCCUAUAAAAAUUGAUAACAAGAUGCCUGUAUAGUAGAAAUGGAAAGUCCAAGAUAUGUGACAAAGUAUUGUGUGCUGCUUCCAGCUUUGCUGGACAAGGCACAGAAUCUCCAGGGCUGGUAAGAAAACGCAGGCGCUCAGUUGUUUAAGUAGCAUUUGUUCCCAUGUUUAGCUGCUUGCCAAGGCAGUGCAGAUAUUUUAGUGUUUUCUAAGCCAUUUUUGAGAUUUUAUGUAAUGUGGCAACAAACAGCAGAGCUGUUGGAAAUGGCUGGGUAGGAGCUCAGAGCAAUAACCGAGAAAAGACAAGAAUGAAGUAAGGAAGCCAAGAAAUCAUCACCUGUGCCAACAUCAGUUGGUACGGCAGCUCUGAAGGUAAGGAGAUGAGCCUCAGCCUGGCUUCUCCCAAAUUCCUGUCCUCUGCUUUACAUGCAUCAAGGUGUGACAAAGCAAAGUGAGGCACAACUUGAACUUUUGUUCUGACGCAUAUCAGAAAGGCGCUGAAACACGGACUCAAAGGUCAGAACUGUUCCCUUUUCCCUAACGAAUUCCCAAGGCAGCUGUUGAUACUACUCAAUCUUUUAAAGCUAAUCUUUACCAGCUUUUGCUGACACUCAAUAUGAAAUAAAUAGUAUUGUCAUGACUGUUCUUCUCUAAUGAUGGAAGGGAGAUUCCACGCUAAGGAGAGCGAGGCAGAUGGAGAGGUUGCCAAUAAAAAGCCACAGUGUUUGCAGAGGGUGCUGGUGCAUUCAGCAGGCGCCAAUUAGAGAAAUGCUGCUUUAUGGCUAUGACGGGUUAUUGCUGCACAAACACUUGUACAAUUACACAGUGGGUCAGAAGGGCAGCUUACCUCGCCUCACAGCUAUUACUUUAAAGCAAACACAGCUAUCAGGCAUACAAAUAUCACCGAUUGCGGAAGGGGAACAGUGAAGUAAUAAGUGUUUGAAACUGCACACUGAGGAGAAAGAGUGAAUAUAACUAGCCCUGGUGCUGUGGGAAGUAAUUCUUAACCAUGUCUGCACUACAUGGAUUAGAAAAGUCAUCCUUGUAUACCGGAGAAGUGAAUGCUUCCUUCUAUCACUUAAAUCAAGUUAAUAGACCGUUGUGUUGUUCAGGUUCUUGGAAAUGGUAAGAGAAUAUCCGUAUUUGCUUCCAGUUACCUUCUUUAAUACUGAAAUGUUUGUAUUCUAUAUGCCUUUGUAAAUGAGUUUGCGUAUUUCCAGUCACGUGGCCAUGAAUGCUAAUUGCUUGCAGCCAUCUCCCCCGUAUUUUGCUUGUUUCAUUUGGUAGGUUUUGCCCAGUGUUUCAUUAGAGUCAAGCCUAAAGAGCUAGAGCACACCAUAGACGCUGUGGCCAGCUCAGUGUGUAUAGGAUGGCUGUGGUAUGUGUGGGUUUGUGAACGUUGCUCUAAGGCUACCAGGAUCAUCUCCUCUUCUAAAAUGGUUGUGUUGAGUGCUGUUGCUGGCUUUUCUCUGGCUCAUAAGAAGGCGCACGAAGAAGCAAGAACUGCACUAUAGCCAGUGGCCAGAAUCUUUGCUCUCACCUGACCUCAUACUUCUAGGAAGCCCAGCUGGCAAGUGUUGUGCAGUCCAUGGUGGUAACACCCUCUGGAGCGUGGGCUGCUGGUUAGGUUGUCCUACUUCCAUAUAUGCCAAGGUAUUUUCACAGACAUGCUCUUUUCACAGGUUUGAAGUCACCCUGCCUUCAAGGAGUGGCUUUCCCUAAAGUGGAAACGCAACCUAAGCCCAAGGGCCGGCUAAAAAGCAGAAUUUGCUGGGGUAGAAUAGGGUGACAGAAGUUAAAUGAAGAGUGUUAGGUCAAAAAAUUUUAUGAGAUCACCAUGCUUUUAAAUUGGUUUACACAGAUGGCUGUCUGGUUUGUUGCUUUGUCCUUGCUUAAUAGUAACUGUUUAUGGAAAAACGAAUUGCUUUGCAGAAGGAGGUCCAAAAGCUCAUGCUGUUGUUUCCCUCUGUGGAGAUCUUCAUGUUAUUAUGGGCAUACAAGGAUCUGGCCUGAAAUGCAGAUUGAUUACAAAGUGUAUGGUGAAUAAUUAACCAUUUGACUUUUGCCUAAGCCCCGUAGUCACUGGGUUAGAAAUGAUUUCCCAAACUCCAGGAGAUAAGAGAAGGUUAUUCCUCAUUUCACAAUGUCCUUAUUGUUACGGCUUUGUGCUGUGUGUACUCUGACAUCAGCUGAUACCUACGCAAGUCGGGUCCAGCUUCUCAUUCAAACCACUUCCUGGGGUUUUCUCGGGUAAUGGCAGUGAUUCAGAAGACACCACCGCGCCUCAGAAAGCUGCCUCUGACAUGUCGCACCAGGGCCGUGGGGCUGGGAGCAUGUGAGGCUCUUAGGAAGGAGUUUUGAACUUAAAAAUACCCACGUUUUUGUUUGUUCAGCAUUCAGAUUUAGAUGUGCAUUGCUUGGCUUGUGUCCUAGCGACCUAUUCAUAGACCAGCGGUAUGUAUUGUGGAAUAUGCGGUGAUAUAUAUGUACAUGUAUGCGUGAGGCAGGAGCCUGGGACUGGCCUCCAGGCAGGCAUGCUGAUUUUGCAUUCACAAUUGAUUCUAUCUGGUUUAAAAGAAAAAAAAAAAAAAAAAAAGAGAGAGAAAUAGAAAGAAUUCAAAUUUUUGAAGGAAAUGAAAUCUAAAUAAUGAUACUCUGUACUUUUGCAGGACUAUUUACUUGAGAAGCUGAGAGUGAGCUAGAAACAUUGAUGAAGCCUCUAUUCUGUGAGGUGGGUAUGCAUUCUUAUUACUAUUUUGCAAAAGCACAGAAGAUUGAAACCACUUGCCCAGGUCCAGACACAGAGCUAUUUAAGAGCUGUGAAUGGAGUCCAGGAAUCUUCUGUCUCAAAACAUGUUCUGGCUGAUCAGUACUUAGGAAUAAGGUCUUCAUGUGCCCUCCUGGUGGAGGAAGUGAUGAGCUCUUGCGUUCUGUUAUCAUUCAAAGUGGUUCUUUCAAUUUUCGAUUUCCGACUAAUAGCAUAAGUGACUCUCACUGAUACUUGUGCAGCCCUGUCCCCCACCCCUGGUGUGCAGCACAUUUAGGUCACAUUUUUGGGAGGCAACAGUCAGUGGAAAUCAGAUGUGUUCACUGGAUCCAGGUCAGACAGUCUGGGGUCCAGAAAUGCUCAGUGCAUUUUGUUCUUUUUUUAUUUUUAUUUUAUCCUUUUGUCGUGGUCAGAUGCACCAGCAGGCUCUUAAUAAAUCCCUUCUGUGUGACUUGCAACUUAGAUUUGCAGACCCACAAGGAGUGGAUGAUUUGAAUAACUGUGAGAAGUGAAACUGAGUGUUUGUAGGUGCAUCCCCAAGCAGCAAAAGCGAUGUGUUGCUGUACUUUUGGUAGCCUUUGUCUUUAUGAUGUGCUGCGUGCAAAACCAUCAGCCCCACCUGCCCCAUGCCAUCGCGUCUCAGAUGCAGAGCCUCUGUGUUUCUGCAUGCUGUUGCCCAGCCUGUCUCAAGGGGCCCCACUCACAAGGGGUUUUGUUCAGGCAGCAGCCCAGAAAAACUCUCUUGGGCUCCUCAGUUAUUCACAGCAGUUUUCCUUUCGGCUUUGUGAGAGAAACCUAGUGAGGAGGCUUCUGCCUUCUGUUGCACUCAAUUGGAAUCCUGGGUCUGCGGUGGCAAGGAGUUAAAAGUCAGGACUGGAAUUUAUCUCCUUAAAGAUUUUGGCUUUUUUCUCUUUAAACCACUCUUUGCCUUUGAAAACCUUUUUUGAAUAAAUCACUCUGAAGCACCAGAAUAUAUAUUGUUAAAAAACAAAUUUAUGUGUGCUAGCAUUUAUCAGUUUGGUGUCUAUUCACAAGUACAUACAGUUAUUUAGCUCUAGGCCCAUAUGGCUCCCAUCUCUGAGCAAAGGGGAGCAGAGUGCUGGGGCACAACCUGAAAGUGGGAGUAGCAGAAAAGCCAUGUUGAACGUGUUUUUCUGUGACAUCAUGGUGGCUCCUCAGGUAUCUCUCAGUUCAUAUGGAAAAAGUAUUAAAAAUAUGACACAGUUUGAUGCUAAUAUUAGCUUCACACUCUUCUCUGAAGAAGGAAUGAAAAUACUCGGAGGACAAGUUGCCUGUGUGCAGAUUUGGCUUCUGGGUAACGUGAGCUAUGCAAAAGCUUUCCCUACUUCAUAAACUUUUCAGUACACAUUAUGGUUGUUAAUUAAUAUUACAUAAUGUUAUGUUUUAAAUCUUUACAUCUGUGCACUUUGUUAAAAUUGAGAUGUUUGGCCUACUUGUUAUCUGCUUAAUAGGGCUGUAAGAAAACUGAGAUGCUUCCACUCUCAGACCUCCCAUUUUGCAAACAUAAGCACCAUUUGUUUUGCUCAGUUCCAGAGCAUUCAAGUUCAAAAUCGAUGAUGAAAUUUUUAAGACCUCAUUUGACUAGAAUUAUGCAAAUCCACUGAUGUACUGUAACAUACCUUGAGACCUAUGGGAGGGAAACUACCUGCUCCUUCUGCCGUGGAGCCCCAGCAGUGAUGCGUGGAAGGAUCACGUUGCCUGUACCACUGCGGUGCGGCCAUUGUCACGGUGUGACUGCCUGCCUCAUGCUGCUCAAAAACACGAGUUGCUUAUUUCACUCCCUAGGCUUGAACUGGCUCCCCACAGUCUCCAAAACUGACAAGUCAUGAUCUAAUGCUAGAUGUUCUAGUUAUUAGUCAAUUAUUUCGUUAUUGGUUGUCAUCGGUUUGGCUUCUGCAGCCAGUGGGUGGGCAGCUAGCUAUUUUCCUUGUGUUGCAGCUCUGGUCAGCAGGGAAGAUAACUGAAAUUGUGACCUCUGGUUUGAAGACUACUUUGGACUUCAGUGCCUAAUCCUGACCCACUAGAAACAGUGUCUGACAUUACAGCUUUCUGUCCUUGUUGGGGCAUUAAGUUACGUUGUCACCAUCAGAGCAGUUAGAUGAGGUGGAUAAACAGAGAAUCAGCUACAGGGGAACAGGAAGCAAAAGCUGGCUGGCAGAAAAUUGAAAACUGCAGCACAUUCUGAAAUAUUUCACCUGUGCUCUAAGCUGGUACAACACCCUGGAAGGCCUUACACAGUAAGACAGCUUGUUUCAGAACACUCUAAAUCUUGCCUCAAUUUUACUUUGCAGAAGGAUAUCAUACUGGUGUACCAAUAUUCCAGCUCUUGUAACUCAUUAAAUUGUAAUUAAUCCAGCAGUACAACUGCUGUUAAAUGUUAGUAUUUCAGAAAACUAUUACUUUCAUAAUGCUUCAUUUAAACCAGGGACAACAUUUAUAUUGUGGUGGAACUUUUAAGUUCUACCAAAGCACUAUGCUUUCCUUUCUGGAAACACUUUCAUUGAGAAACACUAUGGUCAGUUAUGCGGUGUUACAGGUUUUCUUGUUUCUUACUGUAUAGUUUCAAUUUCUGAGAAGGAGGGAGUGUUGUCUUCUUUCACUGCCCACGGGGUCUGUGAACCCCUAGGGUUACACAUUUACAACUGCGGGUGAUUUCAGCCCAGACACGGUUGACUCCAUUUAAGGGAGAAUAUUUACAACCAAAUGGUCUCAGGAAUAAAAAUGCAACUCUUCACGUGCACAGUUUUGCCAGGGCAGGACUUGCACAUGCUCCUAGAUGAGAACCAAAAGCUUUGAAUUCAGCUUGCAGAGAGGAAGGAAUUUGUCUGUGCUGCAGCAAAAGGAAGUAUUUGCUGUGUUAUUGUAGCACAUGGCCUUUUGCCAUCCUUGAUAAAGCAAUCCAGGGCUGUGCACCCAAAGUCUGCUGCCCUCAUGACCUUCCAUCAAUCACCAGCUGCGUGCAGGCUGGAUGCAGUGCCGGCUCCAGAGGUGAUCCAUUGUUCGCUCUGAAAGCGGGAAGUGCAGACAAAGCAGCCCCUUGCAAUCCCCUGCUGCAGCUCUGCGGGGCUGCUCCAUGUGCACCUCUGCUGACUGGGGGUGGGGGUGUCAGCCAUGGGGGUGCAGACUAGCUGCCUGGGACAGGCCUCAGGGAUGGUUUUUCCACAACAAAAAGGAAAACUGGAGUCAAUAUUGUAUCGCUGCACCUUGGUUAUGUACUUAAACUUACUUCCUUCUUGACUGUUCAGCACUGCUUGUAGGUGAGGCUUAAAACGUGGAAUUCGCACACUCUGAAUGGCCCAGUCUCCUUGUUUUUUUCUCCCUUCAAGCAGUACUGGUUACAGAUAUGCCAGCAUUGUUGGUAAGCAUGCUGAGAAUCAUGGAAUCAUAGGAUCAUUAAGGUUGGAAAAGACCUCUAAGAUCAUGAAGUCCAACCAGCAACCAUCACCACCAUGCCCACUAACCAUGUCCCUCAGUGCCAUAUCUCUAUGCUUUUUGAAAACUUUUGGAGCUGGUGACUGCAGCACCUCCCUGGGCAGCCUGUGCCAAUGACUCACUGCUCCUUCUGAGAAGAAAUUUUUCCUAAUAUCCAACAUGAACCUCCCCUGGCCCAACUUGAAGCCAUUCCCUCUAGUCCUAUCAUUGUUACCGGGGAGAAGAGCCUAAACCCCACCUGGCAGUACAAAAUAUUUUCACACACACAUUGCUGUCUCUUCACCAGGGUCUGCUUGUGGCGUUGUGAAAUCUGUGAUCUUUGUCAAUUUGCCUGUGCUAGCUGAGAUAUUGUGGAAAGUUUCAGCCUCUUGCAAGCUUUAACAGUGACUGCAUUGUGAUAAAACGAGAAUGGAGUUUUAUGAUUUCUUUAAAACAUGGGAAGGGGUCUUUCAUUUUUACAGACACCUUACUUAAGGUACGCCCAUGUCCUUGGCUGACUUCUCUUUGGAACUGGUUUAGGUUCCUGCUGUGAAACCAAGAGAGUUCCCCAGGUGCCAAAAGAAAAAGCUGAGAGGAGCGUAACAGGAUGUUCAGGAGAGAAAGGGAAAAUUGUGCCAGACACUGCAGAUAGCAAAGCUCCCAGCCUUGCAGAUGCCUGGGCUCCAGAAAGGCUUCAGGCUGGAGCACUUUGUGCUGCACUCCAGCUCACGGUAUUUCUUGUUUUUAGCAUACUGUACUGCUCUGUUCCUGUUUAUAAAUCUUGUAAGUGUGCACAUUAAAAAAGUAAUUAAAUUGUCAUUAUAAUUUAUAGUAUGCCUGCAGUCAAUCACCUAAUUAAACAGAAAGAGCAGGGAGGUAGUAGGUUCAUAAGCAUUUAUUAAGUACUGCAGUAUUAAUUAUGCAGGACUUUUGAACCAUGCAAAAGAGGAAAGAAUGGAAACACUGAUCUAAAAAUGCCUUCCAUUGCUGCCCUUCUCAAUUUAACAGCAAGACCUCCCCUCCAGUUAGUAAGACAACACUAAUGCUUUCUUUUUGUUAAUUUUUAAUGAUGUUAUGAUGGAUUUUUUUUUUUACAAAAAUCACUUGCAGCAUUUUCUUUUAAUAUUUUUUAAAAGAAUAAUGUCCCUGCAUGGGAUUUUAUCAAUACGCUGGCAGAACUGGAAGAUAUAUCUAAAGCUUGAUUUGGGACAGGUUGUGCAGGAAUGGACUCCCCUGCUCAUUUUUCAACGUGUCGGGAUGGGAGCAGAGCACGCACUAUCUGCUCGGGCAGCCCCCAGAAAUGGGCUGCUGGUUGGUGAGAGUGGGGGCUGAUCCCAACAGAGGUGCUCAGCCAGGAGUGUGGACGGAGGGCACUGUGAUUAUGAGGACUUUACUUUUUCAGUGCGGCCUUUCUCCCACCUCAAGCUGUGAACCAGGGCACAAGUUGGUGGCCAGCACCAGCCUGUAUGUCAGGGCAUGGGGAACAGUUGUGCUUUCCAUUAGUGGGCCUGGCAAACAGGGCUAUCUUCCAUAUAAGUGGACGGGAAGGUGUAGAGACUUACCUGCUUGAACUGUCACUGUCAGUGUGGUGUAACAUACUUGGAGCCUAAUUGCACAUGUAUCACUUUAACUUGGAAUGUAUUAAAUAGCAAUUCAUUGGCAAUGGGUAAGUACAAUGUAUUGUCAACAUCUAGAAUUUGCGCUUGAGUUAUUUGGGAGCUAGAAACCAUUUCAGUAGCUCUUCUUUCUGGAAGAAUUUGCUAUUGGAACGUAAAUCCCUGCUAAAGGCCAUUUCUUUUCACUGUCUUUAUUAAGCUACACUAAAUUGACAGCAAAAAUAGCAAAUAAAUAAAUAAAUAAAAAUUGAGACUGAAAAUUUGCUGUGUAUAAGUUUUUCUUCUAUACAGAAAACAUUAAAUCUAUGUGGCCUUAAGCAGUGCAGUUUUCUGUACCGAGCUGUUUCACUGAAGGCUGAAAAGGUGGGGGAGGGCUGUAUGCCACGCAGGAGUGCAGGCAGGAGAAUUUGCAAUGCUGUGCCCUCGUCCCAUAGACCUGCAGUGACAUGGGCUCGAGUGCCUGGCUGGAGGGAGUUCUGAGGGUAUGAUUUAAUCCAAUGAAAGCAAUAGGUUUUGUUGCUGUUUCAAAAGAUGCAAUUGGGAUUGCCUUUGUAGCAAAGAUAACUUUUUACCUUAUAUGGAGCAAAUCAAAUUAUUGACAGCUCUUGAUCUCAGCACUCCUAAUUACCUUAUAAUGAGCAGUCAUUAUGGUUCAGGUUAGCAAUGCAGCAGCAUUAUAUAAGAAAUGUAACUUGUCAGUUGCCUGGAAGAAAGGAAGAAAGGAAGAAAGAAAGAAAGAAAGAAAGGUAGAAAGAAAGGUAGAAAGAAAACAGUAAUUGUGGCCUAACCAAGGUCUCAGGUGACAUAACAGAAGUAGGUCUAUUUAUGGUAAAUAAGCCAGUCUUCUGAGCUGCAUAUCGGAGACUUAAUGCUUGUCUGUUUGUAUCAGACCUUACAGCUAUUUCUUCAGUACCUAAGUUGCUCAUGCUUUGCUCUUGUUAAGCAUGUUUUCAGCUUUGUGUGCUGGCAGCAGGCAAAGACAGUCCUGGCAGCAAUGUCCUCUGUUUGUUGAAAUGGCCAAAAACAAGAAAAUCCAAACCUUUCUCUUAUUGAUUCUAAAAACAGGUUGGAUGAGUACUGCGUUGGAGCUAUUUGAAGCAAUUGUGGGGUGCAUCUUUGUGAUGCCCUCUGCAAUUUUGUUGUCAAAACAGAGAAAAAAAGUCUUUGAGUAUGAGAAUCUCUUCUCUACAACUUUCCUUAGGCAUGUAUUUUCAUUGGUAAAAAGGAUUUUUUAUGUUACAGGCAAGUAAUUGAUUUGAAGUCCCAAGUUCUGCUUAAAUGCAUGUGUAUUGUGAUGCACCAAAUGAAUUCAGUAUUUUUAAUCCAUACCCAUGGAAAUACUCAUUAGUCCUCAGAUACUCAAACUGAGGCAGGUGUUCUGCUAUGGAUGGAGAAUCUGAACACCUUAAGCCUUUAUGUUUGGAUUGCUCAGAAAUUGCUCCAAGCACAGUAGCCUGACCAUGGUCAGUGUUAGGCACUGGCAGAGUUCUCACAUGCCCGUGAUUUUGGCAAAAGUCUUGCACAUACGCUGUGUGAUUCCAGGCAUUUCAACCAAAGAUUCUGUAAGUGUUGAGCAGGUCACCAGCUUUUUCCAUGUCCUGUCCCUCAUCCACGUUUGGAGCGUGGAGGAAUUCAUAUCCCAUUAAAGUUGUGCCUUUGCCAUGACUGCAGUCUAACUAGGCAUAUCAGAAGCAGCUUGGAAGCAGUUUAGUGUGUACUCGGCAACCUCCGUGUAUUCUGUGAAUAUGCUCAGAUCAUCUUGGUGCUAGUAUACCUUCACUCCUAGCAGCACCAAAUCUCUAAGGGGAGAUGUAUGUUUAUGUAAGGAGGUAAAACUAUUCAAGUCUGGGUGCAUGUUCCCCGGAAUUAUAUAGCACAUCCUGAAGAGCAGCAGUGUUAAGCUCCAGGUAUCUCAUUACUGUGGUUUGUUAUUGGUAUUUUGUUUUGUUUACUAUUGGUUUUGUAUGGGUGAUUUUCUCAAGGUGUUUCUUGGGAGGAUAAUAUUAAAUCUGGAGGAACAAAUACCACAGUAAAGUAGGGAGACAUAAUGUAACUUCAAGCCUCAUAAAAUAAGUAGACUUGGUGCAAACAUUUCAAAUCCUCUUCAGCUCAUAAAAUCAAGAAUCAAAAGUAACCUCAAUUCAUGGGGCUCUUCAGUGAAAUGGAAAGCUCAAACACAAGAUAAAAGAGUAUUUCAGACAUGAAAUCUAGGUACAUUGAGACUGGAAAAACUGUAAUUCAGAGCUACAACUGCACAUAUGCAUCCAAAAGAACUGGGAAGAGUGAAGCAACAUGUCCUCAUGUGUUACUGAAGAUAAAAGGGGAACAAUACUGUGAUUAAACAGCAGCAGAGAACAUUUUGUGUGAAUGUUCAAUAUUGGAAAGGGGUUACUACAAAGUAACAUUUAGGUCAGUGGAGCAAACUGCCUUGGGAGGGUGUGGAAUCUGUUUGGCUAGACUAAAUACACGUCUAUUAAAGAUGAUAGAGGAUAACCCAUUUCGAGUUUGCUUCCAGCCCAAAUGUUUUAUGUUAUUUUUGUUUUCUUCAGGUACCUCUCUUGGAUUUUGGUCAGAUUGGAUUUUUCUUCCAGUUACUAUAUUAAUUGUUACUGACAAAAAAGCCCUCUGUGCUAAGAACACUGUGCAGACUAGAAAUAUUAUCAAGAUUACUUUACACAUUGUAACAGGUGUAACAUGCCAAAUAAUUAUUACAUAAAUUCAGUAGUGUGGUAAUGCUUAUGAAUAAUCUCUUGUAUCCUUAUUAAAAUAUAUUAUGAAUGUUUAGACUGUUUUUAAAAUAUUUUAUUACUUAGCAUGAAACUUUUUUUUUCACAAAAAUUUCUUUCUAUUUCAAAGAUGGGAAAUGUAUGACAUUUUAGAGAAUAAUAUAAUACAGAAAGUGGGACGCACUCUGUGUGCCCAUGACCAUACGAGCUAUGUCUCCUGUCCUAAAAAUAUUCAUCAUAAUCAUAAUUUUCAGAGGAGGGUUUUUGUGACAUACAGGUCAGUAAGUGGACGUAUGUGCACAUUGUAUGUGUGUAAAUGCAUUCCUUUACGGAACAGUGUGGUAGUCUUACUCAACUGUUACUGUAGUCAGUGGGAUUUUUGAUUGAUCCCGGGCACAGAAAACACGAUGGCUUCAUGUUUUGAUCAUGGCUUCAAGCUGCACCAGGGAAGGUUCAGGCUGGACGUUAGGAAAUACUACUACUCUGAAAGAGUGUUUCAGGCACUGGAAUGGGCUGCCCAGGGAGGUGGAGGAGUCACUGACCCUGGAGGUGUUCAAGGGACGUUUGGACAUUGUGUUGAGAGACAUGGUUUAAUGAGAACUAAUGGUGAUGGGUGGAUGGUUGGACUGGGUGAUCCUGUGGGUCUUUUCCAACCUUGAUGAUUCUAUGAUUCUAUGAUUUUUCUAUCUCAGGUUACGUUUUUUUUCAUGACAGUUUAUUGUUCAAAAGCAGGCUGUACUGUUAUUAAAAUUGGCGCAUGGAGGAACACUCACUUUUAUCACUAGAAAAAGUGUAAUGUGUAUGUAACCACCCACAGCAGGAACAAAAUAUUUCUUGUUGGGCUCAAUCCAAGUUUCAUUGACUUUUAUGAUAUUUGGAUCAAGCUUUCUAAUCAUGUUGCUGUAAUGAUCUGCAAACCCACUGGGGACUGCUCCAUGCCAGGACUAGUUGUAAUGAAGUGAUAUGAAAAACAUUGGCACGUAGGUGCAGAAACACAGCUCUGUAGUUCAACUGAUGCAGUUCUUUGAUUUGUCAGAAUGAAAAAGGAAGAAGCUCCAACGCAAAUGAUUCUGUUUACUUAUCACUUUUAAAGCCAAUUUGGAAGUAAUGGGGACCUGGAGUGUUAGUAAGUGAUACUUAGAAAAGCAGUGAGAAGUGCUUUACCCUAUCCUGGGCAGGUGAAGCGUGCUGUGCUGGCUGGCCACUGGCCUUUCCCUGAGGUCUGUCAGUUCUACUCAUCUCCUGUUAAGCAGUCUUGAUAGAAUAAUAGCUUGUUUUCUUUAUGUUUUUGUUUUUAUUUUUAAUCAUUUUAGAAGUGAUCUCAAGUGAUCAUUUUGGUGAUGUCAAAGGUUCUGGAAUGGCACAUAACAGUUUGGGAGGAAUUGACCGCAUUUUAAUAUAUCUGUUCACAUUUCCUGAAUCAGAAUCUGUGGUAUUCAUCUCUGGAAACAAUGAAGUGGGAAUUUGAAUAACUCUUUGGAGAUGUAGAAUUCAUUAGGGGUCUUUUUUGUCCUUUUUUUUUUCUUCAACUCAUCUUCUUUCUUAGUCUUUAUUUGUGUCUGAGUUUCUGAAAUGAUUGCUAUUGUUUGUUCUGCCUUUUUUUUUUCCCCCUCUUGAGAGGCCUUUAACUUGAUUUCUUAUGUUUCUUAGUGGUGGCAUUAUGUUUUCCUGGCAGAAACACUUCUGCUGUUUAACAUGUCGACAGUGCUGUCUGAAAGUAUUUUUGGUCCCAUGCUCUUUCUUGGAUCCUCUCCUAGGGCAGUUUUUCUUCAGUUGGACUUUCCACAGUCAGUGUGGCCUCUUACCAUUUUCCUGUUUUCUAUUAAUUUUUGAGCAGAAGCCCUAGUGCCGAAUGAAACUUGGAGGUUUUAAGGGGACAAGUCGUGGUGAAAUUGCCACCUUGCAGUCUUUAGUCUUUUGACUGCAGCUGCACUAAACUUCUGCUGAACACAGCAGAGAGAGCAAAGACAGCUUAAAGCCAGAUUUUCAAUGGAUGUCAAUGUGAUUUGGCCACUUGACUCUUGAACAGAGACAUGAAUAAACUCAGAGGAGGCUCUGUUCAUGUGCAUUGCCAUUUAUAUUUCAAAGGUAAAUAAUUUUCUAAUUUAAAAUAUAUUGUUUUUAGUGACAUUUUGGGGGAUGUGAAAAGUAGUUUUGUUGUCUUGGCCAUUAAAAAAGAAUAUCAGAGUGGCACCUUGACCACAUCAACGUUAUUGAGUCUUGAAAAUUCAGGAUAUAAUCUGUAUAUCUUCCUUAAAGCAAGGAGUCUACUGUCGAGUACCACGUAAUUAUUAUUUAGAGCUCUUAAGUCUGGGAGGGUUCCUGUCAAGUUUACUUUUUCAGUUUGCACAGUAAUGAUACAGAAUUUCAAAUUUUCCAUCAUGCCUUUUCUUCAUCUCUUCAUCUAUGCUGCAGAUCUUGGAUAAUGGACAGGUAUUGCCUUCACGUGGUGCUGUAAAGGUUGAAGAUGACACUGCCCAUGAAUAAUCACUGCUAACUAGCUAACCAUUCUACUUGUUGAAAGAGUUUUGAAAGUGAUCUGUUUCUUACUGCAGGCAUAGCCAUCUGGGUUGGCUUCAGUGGCUGUUGAAGGUCAGUGGAGUGCUCACACUGACUGAAAUAGUAAGCAUGAGCCUUCAGUCAGGCAGGAGCAAAUGGAGACAGGACCAUCUUCAGCUUCUACAGCUAGGGGAAGAAGAGGUCUACUGUCAUAAGUCACAGUUUACCCUUUUUUUUUUAAAAAAAAAAAAGAACAAAAACAUAGAUCCAGUAGUUUUCCUUUAAAUGAGACAUGCUGCAAUAGAUCAGAUAGCUACAAGCUUCUAUAUUUUGUGUUUUCCUACAUGAUGCUCUGCAGAAUUGGUUGAAGUCCAUAAGUGAAAACAUGCCAGAACCCGUUGCAUUACUGUAUUUGCAGGAGCUUCCCACUGUCAUCCAAAAACUAGUAUUUUAUCUGAGAUAAUUCUCCAAGUUGUUCCCUGUAUUUUUGAGAGCUGCAGUGUCCUCAGAGAGGACUGCAUCAGGACCAUUGGUGGUUAUUUCUAGGUCCUCAAUGUUCAGCCUCUUGCUGUUUUAAUCCUAAACCUUAAAGCUUCCUGUCCAUAGAAACCAUAGUCGCCUGGAGUAGGUCCAGCCUUCCAGUAAUAUGUACUGCAUUCCUUGCAAAGAAAUUAGAUAAUUUGGAACGGGCAAGGACCACAGCUCUAGACAUUGUCAGACUAAAGGCAGGAGAGCCCUUUUACCAGUCUGCAAGCGAUAUAUGAAUGCCCUGCCAGAUCCCUCAUGAAUCUUCAUUUCUCAAGGGCAUGUUAAAGUCACUGCCCGUUCUCUUACAAAGAUUAUAGAUGACGGCAUUAAAAUCUUAAAUCACUUGGGUGAUUGUGAACAGUAGAACAUACCACAUAGCACUCCUGGAAAAUAUCUUUUCAGACAGCUCCUGAAAGCAGAUCCACGUGAUAAUUCCUUGAAAAUACAUCUUAGGUCAGCUGUAUUUUUCAUCAUCAUGGUGAAUGUGGUUCUAUCUUUAAGUAUGAUCCCAGGCACUUGGUUUGGUGCAGUUUUUCCUGUCAGGGUGGGAUAAGUAUGCUCAGCCUGACUCUCCAUUCCUGCCCAGAACGCUGCAGCAGGUGACUGCUGACUUUUCACUCCAGGCGGAUGAGGAACGUGCCUGUUACACAGACUUGUGCUGACAUAACUGUCUUGACCGAAGGUGUAAAGAGGCUUGAUCCUUGAUGCGAUCCCUGACUGACACAGAAGCUCUCACUGUGGAGACACUUAUGACAAACCUCUACUUUUAUGGAUACACUUUUUACCUGCUGGAUAAGGAAAGAGGAACCUUAGGAAAAAGCUAUGCUAGCAAAUAAUACAAUUUUGCUAGUACGAAUGAAGCCUGUGCUGGGGACACGCUAUCAAUACAGUUUGCUAGGACAGCUGCAACAGUGGAGAGAUCCUAUUCUGGAUACAGCCUUGUCUUCUGUUCCAGUUUGUCGUGCAUGAUUUAUCUUUCUGUCACCUCUCCAGGUCCCUAGACACCUCUCUGCGUAAAAAGAAAUUAAAACACAAUACAUAUGAGUCUGCUCUGUAUUGGAGUCUUGACCUUUAAUAUAUCAGGUUUUCAUAUUGCAGCUUUGCCAGCAAAUAGGCUGUCCUACAAGAGCUGAGGUUGCUGUAGUGAUCUGUAGAGGUCCCACCUCAGCCGCGCUUCAGCUUUAUUUGCUACAAACUCUCAGGCUGCCUGGAAUGCCUUUGAAAGGAGAUGAGGUUUUCAGAUUGCCUGGGAGAUCAUAACCAGGAGCUUCAGCAAUCCAAUGAGGAAAAAAAACUCUAUCAUCAAAAAUCUGAGAAAGCAGCCUGACAACCCCGGUGUCAAAAGGAUUGCUUAAUGCUUUAUCCUGCUAUAUGAGUUGAAUUUUUAUCAUAUUAAUAAUUUUUGGUGUUCCCUUCUCUCUGCCAGUGCUGUCAUUACAUUUUCCUUUUGUUAGUAAAGAAAGGAAUGAAAAGGUCUGCCUCUGGCUCCGAUCUUGUGGCUGCGCUCCCGCUGAGCAGGCUGGCGUGUCACUGAUGGCAGGCUUGCAGUUAGGCUCCCCAGAUCAAUAAGCCAUCUUAGUUAGUUGGUGAGCAUAUCAGAUGUGAAUUUUAAAAGUCCACAGUCACACUUACAAUACCACAGAAGCCAAAACCUGAUGUAAUUUUUAAGAAGGAUCGGAAUCCUUAAGAGGCUCUAUUUUUCACUCAUAAACCAAGCAGCAUUACCUUCUGACCAGCGCGCUGUUUGAUGAGGUUUUAGUCUCCUGUUUCUCUCUGCAGCUAUUGGGGAUCAUUGUUUCUUCUCUCCAAGAGACAGACAACUGUGUCUUUUAAAAAACAAAACAAUUGUGUCAACAGAUGGGAGAGAAAGUGCUGUGUCUGAAAUAGGAAUAAACCAUGUUAAAAAUAGGUAGUCUUGCCAGCAUUGUUUCUUGAGCCAAUGUGGAAAUCCUUCUUUCCCAUACUAGCAUGCUAUCAAAACUACUAAAACCAUGCUAGAAAAACUGCCAAAUUAGUCUAUAAAACAUUGGUAGAAUAAUAACAACCUUUUUCCUGUGUAAUUCUAACAGUCAAGCUAGUAAAGGAGAGUGACUGGCAGAGUUGUACUGCCAAGGGAGAGCUCCGAACAAUACCUUUCAUUGACCCCUGGCCAGCAGCAACUAAAAUACAGCUCUGGUAGUUGUGGACAUAGAUUUUAAUGAGGUGACCCUCUGUGCUCCCCAGCUGUACUAGAACAACUGUGUAAUGAGGAACCAGGGGGUGUCAGAGGCUUUCCCUUUCUUAGAUGCGUAGUUUUGCUCCUAGGUGUGGAGGGAAAUAAUUUUCCUGUCCCACCAACUGUCUGGGGAGAAUCCAUGGCAGUUUUGUUGACAAGAAAACUCCUGCCUCCCCAGAAUAGGAAAGCAGGAUGAACCGUUCUUAAACAUGUUUGCUACUGGCAGAAUUACAGCUGCAGUUUAGACAUUGCAUUUCUACUUUCCAUCUGUUGUCUCGCUUAUUUUUUCAGUCUCUCUCCUUGCUUUCAGUUGUUUUCUCUAUGUCUCAGUUUAUCCAGUUUUCAGGGCUGGCUGUCCAUUUCAGCAUUAUUGCUGUCCUAAUGGGUGUAAGAGGAGCAGAGAAGCUCUUCAAGAAAUGAUUUUUUUUUAAUUCCACAAUGCUUUUCUGCUUUGUUUGUUUUGGUUUUGUUUGUGCUUUAUGCUCUAUGUUGUGUCAUCUCAAAAGAGAGAUGUUUGCAUAAUGUGUCUUUUGCUGUGGUAGUUUAAUUCCUGCAAACUUUUGUUCUGUAUAUGGCUCACGGUACCCUUGGAGGAGGGAUAAAUUGUAACCUUAAACAGAGAAUGGAUCAGGUCUCUGACCCACUCCAGACCCUUCCAGUAGAGUUUGGGGUCUGGGUUCCUCCAGACUUCUGCCCAGGGAUACAGGAGAAAACAACCUUGGGCAGCAUGAUUUCAGGCAACCCUGUGGCACUGACCUCUGAGAGAGGAUGAAACAGGAAGGUACCUGAGGCCCUUCCAUCUGGGCAGGCGGGCAGCGGCAGGUGAGCAGUACAGCCUGUGACCAAAUACACCUUCCUCAUCAACUGAUACAGCCCCCCUGCUUGCAACAGGCCUUUUUUUUCCCCCAGUUAUCUGCAGUUGAGGAAUGCUCCUGGGGAAUCAUGCUUGCCUGGAAGUUGUCUCUGUUAGAUUAAUGUUUCUUGCUGAGAUUAAAGAAAAUUUAAAGGAAAAGACUUUAGAGACUGCCCAAUUACUUUAUUGCAUCUAGGAGAGACCACAUCCCUUAUCUUAUCAUGUGGUCAUUUUUCUUACUCUUUCCUCCUUGCUAUGUGAGGCAAACGGAAGUAGAGGAGUUAAGUGCCCAUGACCCUGUUCUGAUGGAUAAGGAAACUGCCAGUUCUACGUGAAAACACUACAAGAGUCUUAUCAGCAGUUGUGGAUGCAUGGGAUUUCCUUAUAGUAGCUUGUUAUGUCAUCUUUUCUGCAUCACCUCCUCCUGCCUUUGUGCUUCCCUGUAAUCAGUGGGUAGCAUGCAUGUUUAUCUCUGCUCAAGGAUAUGCCCCACAUGGUUGGUUUUUUUCUUUUUUUUUUUUUUAAUUUGUUUUGCUUAAUCAAUCUAUGGAUGAGUUAAAAAGAUUGGUACGUGUGUGAGUGAAUUCAACCUUCUUCCAGCAUGAUGAGCUCCAAGGAAAUCGGGAAGUUUUUCGCUACAUCCAGAGUCUAUGGAAAAAAAAUAAAAAACAUUCAGAAGGAUGCAUGCCACCUAUUCACUUCUAACUUGAGCACAUGCCUUGCUUUGCUGAGCUGGCUUUACUGCUUAGAGAUGGAAUUAAGCGUAUGCCUAAAUGACUUGCUCAGCUGUGACUGAGGUUGCAUAAUUUGUCUGUUCAUUUUCCUGGAGCUUUCCUAUUGAAUUCAGGAAUCAGGCCAUGGCAACGGAGAGGUGAUGCAGUCGUAAUUGGCAGGAUAUGCCAAUUAGAACUUAUUCUUUUGGUAUUGUAAAGUGAGGCUCUGUGUUUUCAUUACAGCCAGUUUCAAGUUAUGCUCUUGAAUUCUAGUCAAGUCAAUAUUGUGUUAUGGCAACAGUACAGCAAAAUAUUUUUGCUUUAACUAUAGGAAUAUACAAAUUUGAUCCCUCAGAGCUUUCCUAUAGCUGCAACCAGGUUAACUGCUGUUGCACUGCCUGAUUUUUCAGGCCAUUUUGUUCUUGUACUGGACAUCAAAGUCAUUAGAAAACAUUCACUGGCAGUACUUAAUAGCAUAUUAAAAAACAACAACAACAACAAAAAAAAACAACAGACAUUUGUGAUGCACCACUAAUCUAUCAGUCAUUUGUUUAAUUCCACUGCUCCACACAUACAGGAGAAUAAAAUAGAAGCAAUUAAAAUGAAAGUGAUUUAAAAAAAAUCCUCAUAAUAAGGCUUUUUUUUUCUGUAACCAGCUCAUUUUCUUUCUCUGAGAGCCCAAUGGUGAUAGCAGAAGGUGAAAAAUUGCAAACAAAAUUAAGGAAAAGUUCAAGUUAGCUGUGGAGCCAGAAGUGUGAUUCAGGAGCUGAAAAUAUCUCUGCGCUUCAUGCAUCAAACUCAAACACUGUGCUCUGACAACGCCCUCUGGAUCAGAAACGGAGUUUGAGGUCAUUCCUCCUCCAGCCUGCCAUGUAUGGAUAGGGCCCACGCUCAUGACAAAUUACUGUCUUACCGGGCACACACCGAGAGUGCAGUGACAUCAGUGCAGAGGGAUCUUGCCUCACAGCAGAGGACCGAGGACUCCACAGCCUUCUUCCUCCUUUAGUCCUGGAGGAACAGUGUGAAGGCACUGGGAAUGAGGACAUUUUAAACAUUCCUUUUCUAGAUGUGGAAGGAACAAGGGAUAGAGAGCACCCACCUCCUUGUAAAGAAGUCAUAUGGCAUCCAGAAGAACUGCUAGCAAAGAUUCUGAUCAGAAGUGUAUUGAUGGCCAGUUCUGAUUUCUAGGAUAAAUGUACAGCUGCCAGUGAUGGUGCUUCACCGUGGAUGCAGACCCGAAAAGAGAGUAGUGCAUCCUUUGUUGUAUGAGCUGGCUUUGCAUCUAGGAGUGCAGUAUCAGAGACUGAUCUGCAUAUACCAGUAUGCCUGGUAUAAAGUCUGUGCUCUGACUUAACACCAGUCUUGCUGAGGUCUUAAAUUUAUUUUGGUAGAGAGUAAUGCUUAGAUUUUGCAGAUAACAACAACCAAAACUCUGAAAGCAGAACCCAAGUCCUUAGAAUUCACAUAUUUUCUCUGCUGACAGAUUUCUCUUGUCCCCAGGCAUCACACUUUCCUGCUGUUUUGUGUGUCUGCUUAGUUGCCAGCUUCUCAGGUGCAAGCGAGCUUUCAUCCCUGACACUUUUUCAUCAAGGUACUUUUGGAGGAAGUUCCCUGUGGUGAUAUUGCUGAAGCCUAUUUGGAUUGCUUAGAGCAUGAGCUUUAUCAGAAAUCCUAUCUUGGGCUCAGUGGAGGCCUGAUGUUUUGGCCUUCCCUGCCCACUCUCAGAGGACCCCUAGAAGUACUCACAUCUUUGUACCAGCUGCCUGGCCAAGCAGUCCUGUUCUUUUGGCAACAGGAGAGCAGACAAAUGGGUUGAGCAACAUGUGUAUGUGGACACAGUGUCAGUUGUCAGCCUGACCAUUGUCUAAAAGCAUCAAGCCUGGUUAGCUGAGGGCACUGAUCUCAGCUGGCAGCGUCUAAACUGCUAUGUGUAGUGAGGUUAUGGACCUAUACUUAGGGGGAUGUGCUCUUGCUAAUUUAGCUCCUGGCUGAAUUGGGAAAAAAAAAGAGUAACCCAAAAUCAUAGUUCCAGUGCUAGCAGCAAAAUAUGAUCCUGCACAUCAUGGGUUCUGGGAAUGAAGGAAGUAAUUUAGAGUAGUUCCAAACACUACAUAUAACAUUGCCAAAGAAAUCAGGUGCUUGAUUUUAAUAGAGUGAAUUGCUUAUGGGUGAAUAAACAAAGUUCACAGGUGAUGUUCCAGAAGUUAUUUGGGAUAAUGUAUCUUUUAGGUAAAUUUUGUUCUGAUUGCUAGCUUUCAGGAGAGGCUGAGACACAAUAGAAACAGCAUAUACAUGUGUUAGCAUGCGUGACUAUUUUUAUUUACAUAAUAUGUACACAUAUGCAAGCACACAUACAUGUAAAUUCACAGGCAUAUAAAUUUCAGCAAAUGAAAAAUGUUGCAGAGAUUUCUUGGUGCUCUUUGUGUCUGGAUCUGCAGCGUGGUGCUAGCAAAAUACCAACAAAGCUGUGAAGAAACAAAAUUUUAAUAGACUAUCAUAAUCCUAUUGCAAUAAAUAAAUAAAUAAAUAAAAAUUAAAAAUAAAAAAAUAAACUUUCUGUUUCAAUGAUGAAGAUGAAAACAUUUACAGCACAGGAAAAAAUUAUUAAAAAAAAAAAUCAUCCCUUUAAAUUUGGAGGUAGCUCAAGAUUUGAUCCAUAAAUUUCAGCAAACUGCUUGUAGUUGCCAGAGCUGCCAGAAUGACUUGGAAUUAAGAGGGAAAAGGUAGAGUACUCACAGAUGAUUUGUGUGAACACGUAAAGUGAGAACACCAGUAUAGUAAUGGGAAACAUUUUCUUUCACUUUUUCCAAGUUUGAUUGCAUGUAGUAUGGUUGCAUUUGGGUUUGAACGAUGUUACUUAGGUGGUUGUGUUCUGCCAUUGUUCCUGUUAAGUUAAUUUAAAGCAUGACAUGGCUUUUACCUUCCUCAAGUAGGGAGAUAUUUUUACUUCCAGUCUUAGCUGCUGUAGCUUUCGAAUUGUGUGUUUAAUAAAUUGUGCUUUGUUUAGGGAAUGGUAACUGUAAAAUAUUGCCUGUUCAGAGAGUAAGUACUGAGAUGGAGAUUGAUGUCUUUCUGGAGCUUAAUGCAUCACAGUGACAGUCAAGCAAAUUUUAGACUUCUCACUCCUCCCACUAAGAACUGUAAUCUCUGAACUUUGUGUUCGAAAAGGAGAAAGAGGGCAAAGAGAUCAUUACAAAGUCCACACAGACUGUUUCACAUAUCUGAAGGGGGGUUGAACCCAUGUAAAAAAGGGGGAGGUUUGUGUAUUGCCUUAGUUCUGUGAGUUACAAGAAAUGAGUUAGAGCUCUGGGAUGGCAAGCUACAGAUGUGUACAAGAAAAGUGUUUUUCUACCCAAGUUGUGUGGAUCUUCCUUGAUUUGAAUUAUCUUAUGCCAUCUGGGAACCUGGCUGCAAUUUAAAUAGUGUCUGGCUUUCUGAUAGACGUGGUCAAACGGAGUUGUUAGGUGAAUUCCCUUCCAAUGAUAAGAUACAGUCUGCUGGAAUGAUACCUGCUGCAAGCAAGUUAAGGAGUAACGCAGGCAAGGCUUUAUUUGCCCUUUGUACUCUUGAGAAAAUUUUACCCAUUUAUUGUGCUAUUUCAAAGCCUUAGAUUAAUUAGCAGCAGAAUAAAUAUUUGCCAGUUGUUUUCCUUAAACUUUAGUUUCUCAUUAAAGUACACAUGAGAUUCCUGGUACUUUUUUUAGUCUUGUGAAGUGCACAGGAAUCUUCCUCUGGUACCCCCUCAACUAAUGUAAUAGCGACAGUGUAACAGAUAGAUAAGAACUAAUACAAAACAGAGUUCUUGUUGAUCAGUGAAAUGUAUUUACCUUUAUGGUCAGAUGAUAACAAUGCCUACUGCUACAUUUUAAUUUCACUGCUAAACAUGUAGCUGUACAAUCAUAAGAUAACUACUGAAACUGCUAAGGGAGAGUCUAGUACUCUUCAAAAGCAAAGGGUAGGAGUAAUCAUCAGAGUACCUCCAUUUUCAUGUUUUCAGGUCCAGUGUAAAAAGGACUCAUCCUUGAGAGUAUAAGCUACAAAGCUCAAAUUGGAAAAAGUCUUCCUAGUCAUGCCGUGUUUCUCAUACUCUCAUUCCCCUUCUGAUGCACUUGUUUAACUUAGUCUCCAUGGCUGGCAAACAACAGCAGUAGAUUAAAACAGUCUUGACCAGAUAUGUCCAAAUGCUAGCAAAUGAUGUGCAGUGGUUGUUGCACUGCUGCCUUUCUUUGGUGGGUAGUUGUUAAAGGAAUGUUUUCUUUCACUUCCAAAUAACCCAAUAUUGCACAAGUUUUUACUAACUUGAUGAUAAAAACAAAUUAAAAGUUCUGGGUUUAGUAUCGCAACAAAGCCUCUGGAAGCUUUAAUUGGGUAGUAACAUUCUGUUUGAUGACACUUGCAUUAUCUGGGGUUGUUAAAGGCAUUGUAGGUUAGCUGUUCCCUCCCUCACACUACAUACUGCUUGCAAGCUCAAGCAUUGCUGUAGGGUUGUUGAGUUAGUAAGGAUAUGCAAUAGUACUGAUUAGACAAAAUCAUACCGUCCUUAAACAGAUCUUGCUUUGAAUAAUAUUUAACCUAAUUAUAAGUAAAGGGUAAGCUUUUUAAAUACUCGGAAACUGAUCCAACCUUCACUGAAGUCAGUGGGAGUCUUUCACACUUGGAUCAGAUCCUGGUAUAUCUUUUGAGGAACACUGCUGAAGACAGAGAAGUCUACCUCAUGGGGAAAUACGCUGGCUCCCAUCGGUUAAAAGCUGAUUUUGUAAAUGGCAUAUUUCCCUUGUGAUUUUGUUGUCUUUUAAUGGAAUGCCCCUCUGCUCCUGCUUGGAUUUACCAUAAAUGGCCCCCUUGUCUUUGGGUUGGAGACUGCAUAAACAGAUUUGUAAUAUAUAUUCAUUAAGAACAACUUUGUGCAAGUGUGACCAUUGUCAUUAAAGCCAGUUAGGCCUCUCUGAAAGUGUAAGGUGUGGGGCUGCAUGCUUAGGGGCUGGAGGAUAUCUGUUUAUUACCAGGAGAAGCAAGAUGCAAUUUGGAGCACCCCUAGGUUUUACUGAAGAAUGGGCUAAUAACAACUCAUGGUUUCUUUAUUGCUUUGCUUUCUUUUCUGACAGGAACUUUUCUCAGUCUAGUUGUAAAAAUAGAGAGUGAAAUACUGGCUCUGCUAUAAACAGGGUUUUGCCCUUGAGUCCAGCCUUGCCCUGCUUUCACCCAUAGAUUAAAAGCAUAUUGGGCCCUGUCUGCCCGGAGAUUGAAAAGUGGUUCCUGGCUCUGCAUCCAGAUUAAUUUCCUAGAAAGCUGUAUAUUGAUGUGAUAAAGUGUUAGGGUCUGGAGCCAGAGCAUAUGUUAUUUUAUAUACUCAGAUGCCUAUAUAGACCACUGUUGACACUGCCAGUUAGUAACACAUUAUCAUUUGAUAUUUGUUUUUGUUGCUGAUAGCAAACAUUACAGCAGAAAAUAUAAGCAUAUGCCUUUUCUUACUAACUCAUUCCAGACCUUCCUCAACAUUCACAUUUUGGCACUGUUUCCCUCAGCUCACAUCUGCACUCUGCUGAUGACGAAAUCACGGAGUUAUGAGGCUUCGCCCGUAGCACAUUGGUCAGUCUUUGCCAGUGCACAGGGCAGUGCGGGCAGGCCUUGUGCUCAUGAAAACCUAGAGAGGUUUGCUGCUUGCUUCUGUAGGGAUACGAUUAGGUCAUGGCCAUCAAUCUACAGGUCUAGCUUGCUGAGUUGGGCAUUUUCCUGUCAGAGGCCUCUGUCCAGAAUGUUUGUAAGUCCUCGAGGAAUGGGUAGCUCUCCUGCUGCGGUGACCCAGCUGCCCCAUGAGGGUAGACAGCCAGCAGCGUCAUGUCCAUGCACUGUGGAGCAUGGCAGGGCAAAGGGCAGGAAAAAGACACACAAGAUCUCUCCCUGGGACUAUGUGCCAUCAUGUCACUCUCCAGGAUCUCCCUGAGGGUGCUUUUCUUUCCAGGAGCACAUCCACCCUGGAGUGAGCACCUCACUGCUCAUCCCUGGCACGUAGUUUGCAGUAGCAUUUCAUGUACACGUCUUCAAGGACAUAGGGAGUCCUGGAAGAAAGGAUCCCGAGAAAAAUGUGGCCUGUGGUUAUCUGUGCUUCACAGCUGUUUGAUUAUAUGGUCCCUAGGAGAUCACUGAUGGUGUAUUGUCUCAGUAUUCAUGGGGUGAUCCCACUUUUAGAGCACAGUUCCAGGCAGCAAAGAAGUGGCAUGCGAGAUACUUGCACCGCUCUGAUUCAAAGACAGGAAAAUACUUGUGUUUAAUUAAAAAUACAUCUUAUUAAAAACACAUAUGUUACCAUACUACCAAGGCACUGCCAUACUUUCUAUGCUUAUUCUGCUUGGUGUAUUUGUAUGUCUGAAAGUAAAUCAUUGUAUAUACCUUUUGGUCUAGGUCUUGUGAGUCUAGUUUUCACUUCAGAAUAUUUUUAGUUGACAUGCAUUGUAGAUAACUGCAAGGUGGAAUCCCCAGAACUGAUACUGAUUUCUGGUGUCACAUUGCUCUGAGGGAGAAAUACCUAGGGAGCGAGAAGGACAGUGUCUGGCUCUCUGAAGUUCCUAUUUGUAUUAAUGUAGCCAAUACCAUAGCAAGAUGACUUGGCAAAAGUCCUUAAAAAUCCUUCGUGUUUGUUUUCUAAAUAGGUGGAGGAGAGUGUGGACAGCCGUAUUUGCUGGAGUGGUGAACCAAAUUGCCUUGACUGGAACCAUUAUUCACUUGCACCUUUGACCGCAGCAGACAGGUAGGAGAACAAGGAAAGGAUGGGUUCAAAUGAACUUGGGGAGCAGGCCUCAGUGAAUAUUUUUUUGUUCUCAGAGGGCUUCAACCAGAAGUCAUUCACACUUAAAUAGUAACUGAUUACAUGUCCUUUUGUCACCUCUUGGUGAAACCAGAGGCAUCUCUCUUUCUGGAAAGGUUAUGUUUUUAUUAAUUCAGAAGUGCUGUCUUUGCUUUGACCAUAUAUUUGGUUUGCCACUUUCCCUUCUUUGUGCAGUUCUUGCUUCAAGAGUCCAAGGAGCACGCUUUUUGAAAGAAUAGGCAGAAAAAUGUACUUGUCUAAAAUAAAAGAAAAAAAUGGUGGAUGAGGUUUUGAUAUCUGAAAGAGGUAUUGUGGUUUCUUUUUUUUUUUUUAAUUAUUAUUUAAUUUUUAAAUGGCCUUGAAUUAUAAUCUGGUGAUCUGUUUGGAUCAUCUCACCAUUUCAAGUGCGCCAUUGAUGAUACUGUGAUUAAGGUUUCUUUUUUUCCUCUGGGUCUUGAACACGUGGGUUCAUGCAAACUACAGUUGUGAAAAUGAUGACAGUGUAGUAUCACAAUACUCAAGUUAGCUUACAGUUAGCGGAUUCUCCGUAGCAGUUAUCUAUGACAUAAUAGACUACAGAGGCCAGUGUAUGCUGUCCGGAAAAGCUCUGUGUUCUGCUGCUCAUUGCAGCUCCAUGUUUGAGUUGGUAGUUACAGGUUGGACAGGUUUCACAUAAGCUUUGUCUCAGGGCCUGUACCAUAAAGGCAGAGUUACUUUGUUGCAAUACUGAGAAUCUCCUCUUCUUUAAUCUUCUGUGUACUGGCACAUCCUUGGUGUUCAGAGAGUUAUGUUAGCCUUCUGAAUUUAACAUGACUGACUUAAAAUAGUGAAAAGUUAGGAAAAUAUUUCAUCCUUCUCAUUGGCCCUCUCUGUUUUACAUUUUUUACCAUUUAUAUGUAACCCCGAGAGCUAGACAUGUACAGAAGACAUCAGAUGUUCUCAUGCUAUAUGAUGAUCUCAGGAGAAGGUGUUUAAAGAAAACGCAUAGUGUAUUUUGACAUAAAACUCUAUUGUUUUUUCAGAACUGUAAAUGGGAUUGGACCUAUAUUUCAUUCUGUAUGAACUGAAGGAGGGAGUGGAGGGGGUUAAAUUGAAAUGGGCUUAAACCUUUUCUCAUACCUGGAACUGGUCCCAAAUAUUCCACAGUCCGCAGUGGUGCUAUAUGGGAUAUUUCUUCCUUUGGAUCCACAUCAAAGUUGUGUCAAUCUGCAUCGCUCUAUUUCCCCUCUGCAGUCUCUGAGAGCUGAGACAUCUUCCCAUGUAGCCUAGGAUCAGAGCUGGAUGAGAAGAGUGUUACCAGGGAACAUGCUGGCAAAAGCAAUUCAUUGUCCUCGCCUGUAGAAUUUACAGUGAAAGUUCAGCAGGGAAGCAAACUGUCCUGAUGCACCCCCGUGCUCUGCUCCCAGAUUGGGAAGCAUUAAUAGUGUGUGAAAUUUAUAAGAAGGAGUUUUGGAAUACUGCAGUAUGAAAAACUAGCCAUGUCCCAACUCACCAGGCAAGAUUUAAGUGUAAAACUGAGAACUUUGGUGCCCAUCCUCUAAAAUGGGCUUCGAGCAUUGAUUCUUCAGGUUUCAUUAGUGUGUAACGUAAUGGUACUUCUACGCAUUGGGCCCUUGUUGCUGUGGCUCUCCUGUAUGCUGAAAAUUCCCCUUAUAAUGUGUCAGCCUAGUAAUGGUCUUUACUUUUUCAUUUGGGACUGCUAAACUUUAGAAUAAAUGCUCUCAAUUAACAUAAGUCAGAUAAAUGUUAUUGUAACUGUGACAGUACAUAUCACUACCGUGUGUGCUAAGGACAUUAAAGCCAGCACUUAAUACUGGAAGAGUAGUAAAUAUGCUGUAUGAGCUAAUGGACGGAUCACAUUAAGAAACUGAAGCCUAUAUUGCCUGCUUUAUGAGUGUGAACUUGCAGUUUGAUCCCACUGCUAGAUGCAGGGCGAUAGGAAGGCGCGUUUCCCCUGAAGACAGGAGCACGCAAUGCUGCCAAACCAGCAGUCCCGGGUGCCCUGCAGGGUAUGAUUCUUGCAGCAGAGAGCGAUUGCACAAGCUGUGAUGUGCAGGACUAGCUGCUCUAUUUUGGCUGAGAAUCCUUUGAGGAUAUUGGUCCCGAUUCCCUACUGUCUGAAACCUUUUGCUAUUUAUACCUGGGUAAAGUGAAUGCCUGGCGAGCAUAAAAUGCCACUACGCUAGUGCUAAAGGAGCUGUUAUCCACUUUGCCCAAAUAUAAAUGACUAUGCAAAAGGUGAAGCAAGUUCAAGGUCUCUCUUUUUGUUAUAGCAUUACCCCUAGAUCCUGCUGCUCGUGGCUGAAUGUGUGAACAGGAGGCUGUGCUUCAGUGGUGGUGGUUUCAGCUCAAGACGUGCAAAUGCAGCGAGAAAGAAGAACACUCAUUUCUUUUCCCACUAUUAGUCAGAGAGAAAAACACGUUUCUUCUUCCCUGAGAAGAGUACAGGGGCAACACAUUUAUUUGCCAGUUUUCUGACAGUCUGAGGUAGAAGAAAGAUACUUGAAAACAUCUGGCAGAGGCAGAAAUGGACACUAUGACUUGCAGUCUCCCUGCACUCGAUAGUGGGUAGUGUAUUAACAUGCCGCGCAUUGGAGAGACACAGUCCUUGAAAUCCUCUGACACUGCAAGCUACUGCUUUUAAACUAGAACAGAGACAGAUAAGGAUAUUGUGAAGGAGAAAUCCAGCAUUGCAUAUUGUAAAACUGAAUCCUUAAAAAAAAAUUUGGUACUUUUGGCAGUGUUUCAUUUAUUGUAAAUAGAAUCCAUAUAUAUUCAUAGAUAUUUUCAAUAGAAUGUAGUGUACUGCUGUUUCUGCUAUCUAAGCAAAUAUCUUGCUGGAGUAAUUUAAAAACAGAUCUGUUUCGUAGCCAGCACUGCACCAAUUUAAUAGUAAUACUGACCCGUGUUAGAGAUCCUGAGCCAGAUUUUGACAGCUGUAAACCUGCUGAAAACAAUGAAGACAUUCAUGAGGUUACCUAGCACAGGUAAGGACAUCGGAAUCUGGCUCUUUCUGAGUAGAGCUGCUUGUGAAUCGUGUUCUGCCAUGCACACUGCUGUAGAAAGACCAUUUCAAAAAGCAAGGGAUGCAAAUCAUAGGGAAUAACAGGCAUCAUGAAGAAUUCUUCCUCUAUAAUGCCUAGGUAAACCUCCAUUUAUGUGCCUAUCCAGUUUAUUUAAAUAAUCCACUUUUUGCUGCAGAUAGGAUGUCAUAAUGUUGUUAACAUUGAACCACACCUGGUGGGAUUGUUUUUACGUACCUUCUAGUACAUGUAUACACCUUUUCACGUGCACAUUUCCCUCUGUCAUAUCCCGAGAUUACACAUGCAAGGCCCAUAGCUUCAACGCAGACACAGAUUGAGCAACUGCAGCUUUAAAUUUGCUGAUGACAAAUAUGCAGAAUUAAUUUAACGGGGGAUGUGGUGUAGUAAUGCUAAAUGAAACAUUUCAAAACGUAAACAAGAACCUUCUGUGUUACGUAGGUCUUUAAAAGUAAUCCUGUGAAGCUUGCUUCUUGUGGCUGUGCUCUCAUCAGAAAUUUGAAGAAAAUAAGGUUUUGAAAAGUAUUUGAAUAUAUUGAAUAUUUGAAAAUACAUGUUAUCCACUGCAGUGUGCAAAUGUGUGUCAGAGGAUUCUUUUGCUCAUAGAUACUUUGCUAAGUUCUAAGGCUGCAAAGUUUUAGCCAGCUAGGAAUCUCAGAUCUAUGCUAGCAGUUAUCUCCAGAUGGCUGCACUCCAUUUUGUACCAAGCCUUCAGCAUCUCAGUGGCUGCAUGUUUGGAAUUAUGAAGCACACUAUUCCAGUUGUAUUUGCCAGAAAACAUACAGGGCACUGUAUGAUAAGCUAUGACAUGUGGUAUAACUCGAAGAAGAGGUGAGAAAUAAAGUGUGGGGAGAGAAGAGGAAAAAGGGAAAGAGUAGAACAGGAGAGGAAGGAAGACACAGCAAGAGAAGUUUGUCUGUGUAAUGAAUUUGGUCUGACCGGCAAAUACGAUCUGACUUGUGAAUUUAAUUGAAUUUGAUCCAAGAAAGACACAGCUGAGUGAUCUGCAGGAAGAAAUCUUUUCCUAGAAGUAUGCAACUCCAAACUGUAUAAAUUCCUCCACUGAUCCUAAAAUGUCUGUGUACCACUAAGCCUGCAUAACUGGAUAGUUCUGAAGAAAAAGUGGUGUGUUGAGAUAUUCAACUGAAGAAUAACAAAAAAAAAGUCAUUGAAUGUUGAGUAUUGGAAGAAGAAAAAACUAUAUAAUUUCAAGUUGGCCAAUGAAACACGAGUGAUAAGGACAGUUAAUCAUUUCUGGUGCAGCUGUUUCCUGACAUUUCUGCAAAAUGUUGUGGAAAAAUUAAUGAAGGUUCAUUCAGUAGUGGUUUCAAGCUUGGCUAGUGGAAAAUAUGACAGUAUUUCCAUCAUCAAUUAAAAGCAAGCAAUGCUUUUUUUUCCUUUUUUUUCUUUUCUUUUUUUUUUUUUUUUCUGUAGGGGAAGUGGUAUGCAGUCUGUACUGCACAGGAAAUUGUAGACUUGAGAGCAGCUGUGUGAUAGCAACAGGUAUGCCGAGAAUAUGAAGAAGAGCCUGGGCCCAUUGCUCUUACCACACGUGCUUCAGUGCAGUAGAGCUCUCUCUGCUAGAUACUGGAAAAGACAACUUGCAUAGCAUGACACUAUCUAUCUAGCAUGUGGGUUAUUCCUUCAGACAUCUCGCUGAAAAUAAACGUCCUUCAUGCCACUUCAGUGAAAAAGGAUGUAUCAGUAACGUUUUCAUUGUGACUGUAUUUUAUUACUACAGUGUUCUGAAGGUGCAACUCAUUUUGGUGUAGAGGCAGGAUUUUUUUAACCAAUCUCAGUAAUCUCACUUCAGCAUGUAACAUUUUUGCAGCCAUGCAGCACAUCUUAGUGAGCACGUGUUGUUGCUGUGCUCCUUCUGUGCAGAGCAGUAGUAAACCUGAUGUAACAGGCUCGCCAUUUUGCAAUUUGGAGCAGUGAGGAACCUGCGGAGCUCAUGUGCAGUACAGACAAGGGGCUGUGCAAGCGUGUGAACUCAGUGUGUAGUGUUGCAUAUAGCCAAGAAAGCAUGCAGCUCAGAAACACGAGUGUGGCCUGAGGGCACAUUCAGAACACAGAUCAGCAUAGCUGAAGGUCAGUGUAGCAGCUGAGCAGUGGCCUGUGUCCAUUCCCUCACCUCACAGCCUGCAAUGGCAGGCAGGCAGCUGCUUCUGCCCCAAGCUCCUCCACAUAACUCAGUUUUGGGGUUACUGGAUCACUCUUCUGUUGGAUAGCCUGCAUAGGCCAGAAGGUAAUCGGGAAUCAAGCAAGAUACGCAGUUGUAAGUUGUGAAGAUGAGUCCAAGAUUUCCACCUGAAUUCACUUUUUUUCUUCUCCCAAAGGGAUCCAUGUUUUAUCUGGGGUUAAAAAUGCAUUGGUGUGAAAACACAGGGCUUGUGUGGAAUUAUUGUAAAUCACUUUAGAAGUUUAGGUGAAUGACUUAGGGACUCAGUACCUCUUUCUGGACUGCCUGCCCUAACAGAUUUCUUAUUCCUCUGACUUUCUGAAAUACUUCCAGUUCAGCCAUAAAUAUGAUCUCUAGCCUGUUUACACAAUAUGAUGAUUCAUGCUAAAGUGAUUGAUAGAAAAUACAUUAUAGUGAAUGGUUUAUCCUUUUCUAAUAUCCCUCUGUAAAGAAGAUUCUUACUCCUGAAGAAAAUUUACAAGACCCUUAGCAAGUUCACUAAAAAUGUUUGUCUUUCUCCUUGUAAUGCUAUCUAUGGAGGGUGUAGUCCUGACUGAGUGGUUUAGGCCACUGUAAAACAACAGCGAUGGAGUUGCACCCAUGAUUUAGGUGUAUUCAUAUAAUAAUGUAAAAGUCAGGUGCAGGUUCCCUGUCUUUGGUGCAGUCAAGCUCUAAGGAGCUUUGUUUAAGACUUUCCCAUGCCUGCAAUCCCUUGUGUUAGUGAAAAUUUUGCUGAAGUCGGUGGCAGCUGUGCCAGUAUCACAGCAUUAAGGGCAGCUUAUGCAUAAGAGCCUGCAUUUAAUCUUGAUUUGGGACAUUAAAAGAUCAGGCCUUCAAACAUCCCUCCACAUGCUUGUCUGUAAUUAGGUGAGUUACUGUGGCUGCACAGUUGCUGUUGUACUUGCAGUGACCCUGCUUGUGCACUUUGGUGUUUGCAUGGGAGGAAGGCAAGGAGGAGGGUUCCAGUCCAUCAGUUUAUCUGAUGGGGGCACAGCAGAUAAAGGCUGCUUUUAAACUUCUCAGCAUGAGGGUUGUGCCUAGAGCUAUGGAGGAACUUCCCAUAAAAGCAGAUUAUCAAUUGAAAGAGGAAUUUCCAGAAGAACAAGUUUUCCACUGCAAAAUUUCUGUAUUGCUGAUUUUUAUUUUUUGCUUUUGUUUUCUCAUGGAAAUCUCUGAAUGAACUACUUCCCUUUAAGUCACCUUAAUCCAUGCAGAAGAUACUAGAUGAAUUGAAGUGUGCUAGCGUGGUUUCAGCUGUUAUUAAGUUGCAUCUGUCUAUUAUUCCUUCUCAUCUCAUGGCAAAUGGCAAUAUAGAAACUUAAUGCCUUAAAAGUUCCUACUGGCAGGUGACCUUGACAGGCCUACAUGUCCCCACUGUACAUUGGAGUCACCCUGGUGAAAACAUCUACUCACUACUAGAAAGCAAUGUUAGCUUGAUGAAACAGGCCAAAAAAAUUGAGUCUGCAGUCCCUGGGUAAUGCACUGCCUGCCUGGGAGCUUGUAUCUUUGCUGCUCAGCAUCAGUCUCCCAAAUUUUUCUAUAUUUUUAACCAGUUAUUUAAAAUGUCCACAGUGGUUGUAAAACUCCUGGAUCCAUUUGAGAUUAAUGGGGAAUGGAAAGUAAGUACAUUCAAGUAACUGUAAAAUUGGCUAAGGUCAUGCGAUCAAAGUGCUUGAAGGACACCUACACAGUUCUUGCUUUAUUGCUCUAUCUGUCCCUACAGAAGGCAGCUGGAUAAUAGCUAGGACGUUACUGGAGAUGACUGGACACCUGGUGCUGAGCAUGUGGGAAGGGAGGGGAAUGCUGCUGACACCAAGGUGUUCAUUGAAUCACACAGUGACCUCUUAUGGAUGAAAGUUAAAAUCAUGAACGCAUAUAUUGCAAAUGUUACUUUUACUUUUUAAAGCAGCCCUUUGAAUAGUUCAUCAAGGUUUGUAAUAGAUGGUGUAUUCUCCUUAAUGUAUGGUGUCUCCAGACUUAUUAAACUUUUUCUUGCUGUCCCUCAUGGGUUCUUCAUCCUACUUUUUAUAUAGACAUGCUGCCAAUCCUACUGAAAACACCAAACCUUUUGACUGUAUUGCACAGUGACAAUCUUGCACAUGUACUGAUCAUGGCAGGUGGCAUGCACAGAACACUAGUUCCUGCUGUCCUCAAAGAUAGCGUGUCCCACAGAAGGAAAGCAUGCUGUGUGACAGCUACUUCAUGGGAGGCAGCUCUCUGUCUACACGAGACUGGAGGCUGGCAGAGGUUUCUCCACCUCAUGUACACAGGAAACAGCAUGGAAGAUGUCUGACUUUCCUUCAGGUGGUCUCCCCUGUGCUUCUCGGAAAUACAUGGGAGCUGUGGUUAAACAUUACAGUCUAACCUUUUGCUUGCACAGGCACCAAAGAGGAGCUAAGUAACUUUAAACCAUUAGCUCAGUUUUAAGUAUCUCUUCCGUGGGAUGAAGGGCAGUUGACUCUUAAUCAUGUUAUAUCUUCCAAAUGAAUGACUCAGAACAAAAGUCCCAUGCUACCUCUUCCCCCAGCAAAGCACGGUGCCAGUGCAGCUAGUGAAAUGAGAAGUGCAAGAGACCUCCUCAGCCCUUAUUCUGCUCCUUUCAUAGGAUUCUUUUUGUUUCUCAUACCCUCUCACUCUGUGGUUUUGCCAUCGUAGUUUUAUCUAGGUGGCCUGAAUCGGAUUUCUGAGUGUCAGCCACCAGCAGUCCUGUUCUUACCUGAGAUUGCUGGAUGGCAUCUGCAGCCCUGAGCCCUUCUGCUUCCCCCUGCUCAACUGCCCCAGGCAGCUGGAGGCAAAGGAAACAGGCCUGAAUUGAAAGAAGUUGCUCCAUGCAGUUUGGCCACUUAUUUAAAUAGGUAAAAAAAUGCCUUUCGUGGAUAACUGUAUAAUUCUUUAGCAUUCAAGAGAAAGUCAAAUACAGUUGCCAUACUAACAGCUAAGUCUUAACUGUAGCUGAAAAGCUGAACAUGGUUUUAAAGAUAGAAUGCGACGACACCAUUUCUACCUACCCCCUCACUGGGGGAAAAAAAGCCAAAACCUGUCUUACUUUUCACCCACUGUAUUAGGUAAAAUGUUCUGCACUGGGAACUGAAACUGGAGUUUUCACUCACCUGUUAGAGUUUAAAGACCAUGUGAAAGAAUGAUCAUAGAAGUUAUUCGGACCAUUCAAUUAUUUAAAUAAUAAUUUUAAAAAAGCAUUUAGCAAAACCCACAUUGGCAUCAAUCAGUUGUAUUUCAUGGUUGCAUUGCGAAAGCUACAAAUGUCCUCAGUUCUAAAUUUAAGAUAGACAGAAAUUGUUCUGUUUAGCAUGUGCUAAAAUUAUCCAGCAUACAAAUACUUAGGGGAAGUGUAAAAAUUAAAUCCCAAUUUUUAAAAGGGCAGCUUAAAGAGGAAGGAAUGCAGAUGUAGCAGUAUUGAAUAAGUGCCAUCUCAGGAGAAAAUUUACCAAACACAGGGAAGAGUCAUACACUUCAUGUCCUUGUUAUAAGAUUCUCGGAGAAAACACUCCCACUCAGAUAGAAAUUCAUUGUAAACAGCUCCCUUGCUGUUGUGGUUGGUGUACUUUUGAGGAUGCAGUAGCUCUUAGAAGGAGCGGGGUGCGUUGUGUAAUACUGUGACCUUAUGUUGCAUAGACACUUCCAGUUUUGGAAUGUGAAAUGUCUGAAACUGGGAGUGGGCGGACAAGAGGUGGAGCCAGCCAGGAGCCUGGGUGGCUGUGUUUCUGAGAAACUCUUCUGCUGGUGAGCGCUGCUGAUCUGCCAAGUGUAUGGCCAAAGCCCCAAAUAUUGCUGUAUUGAACCACUGAACAAAAUUGAGUUGCAAACUGACACGAAGCUAUGGGGUGAUAUUUUGGAAGCUGAGCUUUUAAAACUUUGUUGAAAACAAAGCUGAAUUCUUUUAGACCUGAAACCACAGCCUCUCAAAAUGCGUCAGACACUCUUGAUGCAGCAGCGAGGUCAGCUUCUCUCCCCCCACACCUGUGAGUCAGGACAACUCUAUUAAAGGAAGCUUUUAUUGGAAGCUGUCGAUAGAGAGGUAGACAACAUGCAGAUGUUGAGAUUUCAGUGGAAAAGCGUUUAGAUCCUGUACCUACAUACAUGGUCACCAACAGGAAGAAGAAUACUAUUCUGAAAAGCAGAGAGACACUGAGGAAAGGCUAGUGUUUAAGCAGAGGUAGGUUCAUCUGAUUUCACCUUCUCUCUAAUUAAAGCUAGGAUUCAGAGUCCACGCAUGCUGGUGUUGUAUCCAUUUCUCAUGGGGAACAAAGGCUAAAUCUCCUGUGGGUUAGAUGUCCUCAGUGCUUACCCACCGUGCCUUCUGUACCUACAUGUUGUGCUGAGAGUUACAGGAAAAUAAUCUUAGAGCAGCUCAGCUGACUGUAGAGAGAAAAAAAGAACAGGAAGGAUUGGACAAAGUAUUGGUGGGAAUUUCAGAAGCAUGAGCUUGAUUUUCAGGUAGUGUAGUGCAGACACUUUUUGAAGUCGAAACUUCCUAUUGUUCAAUCACGCACUUACUAUUUCCUUUGCUGUAGACCCAGACCUGCUCAUGGGUGAGUCAACCAUAAUGGGGCUUAAAAAUGUUAGCGAACAAUGUUGUCCCAUUUAUAUUAAUUAUCGUAUAAGUUUUUUUCUUGUUGUUUGUUAUUGCUACUAUUAGAUGGACUGCUCUAGCAGAGUGUUAGCAUAGGUAAAGAACCGCUAAAAUGUGUUGUAACAACUGGGACCUCUGGUUCUAGAUGUGAUCUCCUUUUAAUGCUGGUGGGUGCUCCCUGAUUACAGAACUUACUUCCACCAAAGAAAAAAUAUCUAGCAACACUGAAAAAUAACACAUCUAGAACUAAUUUAUAGUGCCAGUAAUUUUAUUGCUUCCAUGUGAGAUUGCUAGCAGAAGGAAAGAGAUCCAGCUGCAGUUACUUAAUUCAUGACCUGUCAGAAAAAUAGGUUUUGGUUUCCAGUCCUGAUGAGCACCUUGGGUGAAAGGCAAAGCAUGGUCCUGGCUGUGCAAAGAGCUGACCUCCCCAAACCCUCAGCACAGUUGGUAGAGAUGAAUUUGAGCAGUUUUCCUGAGAGUAUCCCAUGUGGAGUUUUUCACUAUCUUGAGGGCUUAUAUUUUCCUACAAGCUGAUUCAAACUCUGCUUUUUUUUUUUUAAGUUACUCUUCUUUGCACCUUUAUAUUUUCCUUUAGGUUUUUGAAUCUGUGUGUGUUUCAUUUUAUGAGCAGCCCCAGAAAUGCCUUUUAGCUAGAAAUGUAAAUAACCUCGUAUCUGAAAAACUAUAAACCAACUAGGUGGUGUCCCUGCCUGCCAAAUGUUCCUUAGCAAACACUCAGGCAAAGAGUCCUCUCUAUGCAGGUACAGCUAUAUUCAUGUGUGGGGUAUGAGUUUGAGUGAAUAAGCUGCUUUUGCAGGCUUACUGAGGCAGGUAUCUGCUUGAAAUGACAUUUAUGUUUUUUCCAUUCAGAAUUCAUUUAGUCUAAAGAUGGUUGGGAAGCAAAAGAAACAGAAAUACAUGUUCCUUAAGUGUAAAACAAUAGUUUAUCUAUAUAUAAGAUGAGCAGAGAAGGGAGUGGAAAAACAGACCCAAACACACCAGCAUGGAGGCACAGCAGGAGAGGCACAGAGCUGCACCUGGGGACCCUGCAACUGGCAAAGGAAGCUCCACUAGCUGCCACAGACCUUUUAGUGUGAUUCAGCAAACUAUUUCCCCAUGGGAUGAGACAUAAUGGUGCUUCCCAUGUGGUCUGCCUGGGAGCCUCCUGUCUAAACCUAGUCUGAGCAGCCAGCAGGAGCUGUGGCUGCUUUUGGCCUUUCUGUGGCCUUCCUCUUCUGGCCUUUUUCAGGCCUUCCCCUGCCCUGUGCACCCGCAAUCAGGCUGCAGGAUAGCAACGUAACUGCUGUCAUCUUCGGGAUGUUGUGUCAGACAAAGCCACUUGGUUCAUACAAGUCCUGUCCUUACUACUUCUUUUGCUAAGCAGGUUUACAUAGCAUAUUAAAAUCCAAAUCCUUUCUUAAAAUUAGGUAUGGCAUCCUUGAACAAAUCAAGGAGAAAAAUAAAUUGUUAUCCUGAAGAAAGCUAUGAAGAAAAGUAACACACUGACAGCAUCUUUGCUUUUAAGUUUUGCUGAUCAGAAAUCAGUGGCUGAAUACUGGGUCAACCAUCUGUAGCAGUCCUGCCAUCAAAUACUCCACCUUAUGAGGAUACAAACAGCAGCUCCUGUAGCUUGGUGUAAUGAACCAGCAGCUCUUCACUGGUGCAAGCAGAGCAUUUAGACUCUGCUGUAACAGUAGUGUUUAUUAUGCAAUUGCAUCCCAGCGUUUGGGGUUGUUUUACUCAAGCACAUCUCGCUAAUCCACAAUUAAAAUGGCAUCUUCAUCUCACACUUUGAGGUUGAGAAAAGGCUUUGGAAGAUUUCAGUAGCUCUUCUGAUGAGCUUGGUGGAAGAACAAAAUCAAAGAAGGACCUUUUGUUGGAGCAGUUGGGCCAUCACAGAGACAGCUGGCUUCUUCAUUACAGCAAACAUGUAGGUGGUUCUUCUCGUGUUUUAAGAUCUGAGAGAGGAGCUCUGACUUUCCUGACACCUUUUGUUGCAGAUUGUGGAGGGCCACGUCAGCUGUGCUGCAUGCAGCACCUGCCAACAGUUGACCCUUUUCCUCUCAACCACUUUGAACUAACAGGUUACAUUUUCCUGGCAGGAUCAGACCUGAGUGGUGAAGUUGCCCUGAGUUCAGGCAAUUUCAAAUGUGCAGUUUUUCACACUUGUUUGAUUGUGGUGUCCAUGGCUCAUUUUUACCCAUACUUUCUGCUUGGUGUACUAGUUUCCAGCACCCUUUCUUGGUGGUUCUUAUGCAGCUCUAGGGGAAGCAAAGGAAGGAGUACUGAGUGCAAUUUGGAGGAUGAUCAGGGUGAGAUCAGCUCUUGAAACACAAGUCAAGUUAAUGACGAAACCUGAGUUUUAUUAAUGAUACAGUGUAAUUAUUACUGCAGGCAGGGCAGAUACCUCCUAUUUCUCAUCUUUUCACUUGUGGAUCCCAUCUCAAGCGACCUAACUCCUUGGCCUUCCUACCCUAGGCUCGGGUCUGACCAAGGGCCCAAACCUGCAGCCCCGACAGAGCAGUGCCCGCAGAUCUCAAUGGGGCACGUGGGCUGGGGGGAGGUGUGUCAUCAGCAGAUCUAGUUGAUCUAGCAGAUCUAGACAGAAAGUUGAUGAUAGGGGGCAUCUAAUCAGAAGGGGAGAGACCUGCCCUUUCACCAGUCAGUGGAGAUGUAUGUCAGUGCUCAGCAUCAGCCAGGCUGGUGUCAGUGUGCUCCCCUGUCCUAAGGUCUUCACAAGGAAUAAAACGCGUAACAAGCCAAGCUGCUUACCUUCUGUAAUUGCCCAUAAAAUGUUAAUCCUAACUUUUGGUAGGCUGCCUCUAUCACUUUCAGCUGGGAGAUGCUGGGCCUGAUCAGGGAGGUGGCACAGAGCUGGGUGUGCACUCUGGGUGGGUAAGUGGGAGGAAGCGGAGCUGGUGAAAGUGACGCUGCACAGGGGCAGCUGGAGGCGGCUGCGGCAGGAAGAACACCUGCGGCAGCAUGCAGGGAGAUGUAAGAUAGCGUGGCCCCUCCUCACCUAGCGGCCUCUCUUGCCACCUCCCCAUAGUUCCUGUCACCUCCUCCUCUGCUCUUCUUUGCUGGAGCAUGUUGCAACAACCACCUCCAUUUGCUGUCAUGGCCUACACCCGCCCUCAGUGCAAGAUCAACUGUGCUCUCAUUGCUCGAUGGAGACCUGAGCCCUGCAGCCUGCAGUGCAGGGAGCUGCCAUGCCAUCUGCUUGCAUAGGCCAAAGUGAGGGAGUUAUUUACACUCAGGAAAACAACUUUCCAACACCCACAGUUCAAACAUUGGUUGAUGGAGAAAGUCCAUGGCAGGAACUUAUCAAAAAGAAAAAUAUCACCGUAUCUUGUUUUACUUCUCCUCUCUACCUUGCCUGUGUCAUGACUGUUGCAUGUUACACUGAAAACAGAACAUUUUCCUACCUUUGAACAUCCAGUGAGUGGUCUCUGUAAUAAUCCAGCAGAGCCUCAGCCUGAUUCAGGCAGCAGAGUAGGGAAGAAGGCGGUCUGGUGGCCCAGGAGGCCUGGGAGAGAGGUGGCCUUUGACAAGACAUGGCCCCACCAUCCCACCAGAUCUGCAUGAGCCUUCACUGCCAUCUGAAGCUGCAACUCCAUGCCCUGCUCCUCCUUGAUCUAGGGCUGAAUUCCCUGCGUGCCAGGACUGAUCCAACUGAGAACAACAUGGUCCUUAUUUCCCCCAGGUCAUUUCUGAGUUAGAUUGUUUCUUGGUUUCAGAUUGAAUUAGGCAGUUCAUCUUCUCUUUUGUACAUUUUUCUCCUCUUUGUCUUUAAAUUGGUAAAGUACUAAAAAGGUGAUGCAUUAUUCUUAUUUAAACUUUUUUUUUCCCUCCAAAUCUAGGUGGGGGCAAUAGGAUUAGGUUCCAAUCACUCUGCUUUCAGCAUUAUAAUUUAGGAGUUCCAUCAUGGUCUUGAGUAUGUGGUCUUGUCUCUUAUUAACUUAAUAUAAAUGUGAUGUCAGAAUAUGGUCUUCAGUAUUUAAGCCCACUAAUAAUUAUUUUUACAUUCAUAUUUCCUAUAAUAAAAAAAAAUUACUCUUAAUUUCAGAUGAAAAUUAAAUUGUCUAAAGAAUAAUGGCAGCAACUGAUUUAUCUUGCAUCUCAGUGUUUAUCUAUUCUAGUAAAAAAUCAGUGACUAUUAAAUUUACUACUGAGGCAUAGGAUUAAAAAGCAAAACUGUGAUGCUGAACAAAGCAUAGUUAUAUCAAUGAGUAUUAAUCACAGCAUGUCAAGAAAAGAUCAUGCUCUCAAUUUCCCACUGGACUUAAUGUUAAAAAUAUAAUCUUAUUAACUUCAAUUACCAUUUUUUUUAUAUUUUAAAAUAAGAACAAAAUAAAAAUUGUAAUGCCAGAAUAAUCAUUUUCAUUGACUCUUGCAUGUGAAGUUGGCAGUGUGUUACAGUUUUUCCUGUUGUAAAUGAGAAGGGUCGGGUAUAAACCUGAACAUUUUUGUUUAAUCCUGGCCCUGUAGCAAUUGAUGUGAGGUCUUUGGAGCCACACAGGAAGAGUGCAUAAUAACGAAACAAAACCCUCAUGUAAGCUCAAGCCAAAGGAGUCACAACAUUAAAUAGAAAAACCAUAAUUGUAGAAAAGACCAUUUCCUUACACAGCUCAUAUGGAGCACUAGAAAGUUGGCACAUAUAUUGCUUCCAGUAGUAAUGUUGCUGUAAUAUGCUUUAAACAGUUGCAGAAACUCUUAGGAGAGCCUUUGGGGCCUGGCUUGUCUUUCCUUUGAGCUAAGCUCACGUUGUGCUGAAGCACGAAGUCACCCUAGAAUGGAGAUUGUUGAGUAUCGUUCUGCCUUGCUGUGGAAUGUCCUGUAGCCAUUAAAACUAUGUAGGAUACAGGGGUCCUUGUACAGUCAGGUAUGGCAUUGUGAGCAAGGGCUGUGAGUGCCCAAGAUGGGCUAGGGCUGCUUCUGGGUGCAUAGAAUGCCUUUGAGCUCCCAUCUCCACUCCUCUGCACAUGCCAGCUGUCGCCCUGAUGGCAAACAGGUGCCAUACGAACACUGCAGAGGUGCAGUCAUAAGUGCAGUGCAUGUCUUAGGGAAUGAGAAAUUCAGCUGUAUGUUUGGAAGUGCUUCUUGAUAUUUUUUGUAAGAUAAUAAACUGUAUCGCUUGGCCAGAUGGUCAUUUAUACGCAUGUCACUUUAUUAAGCACUGUAGGAGUGCCUUAGAUGGCAGUAAGUUAUAUUUACACCCUUUCUAAUAGCUCCUUUGUGCUGAUAAAGGGAUGUAAACUGGCCUCAGAGUAGGCGAAACUUGCAGAAUAGAGCUGUAAAACUGCCAACUGCUUGUCAUUAGCAUGAAGGCCUACAUCUCUGCCUCUGGUGGGACACAGCCAUCUCUCAAGGGCAGUGCAAUUAGGCAGUGGGUCUGACAUGGCGUAUUUCCACUUUCCUUCAGCUCCCAGAGCCUCAUUUCUGGUCCUUGGAGAAGUUUUCUGUGUGCCGGGGUGAAGGAGCUGUGCCGUAAACCUGAUCAUUGGAAUGUCUCAGAUUAGAAGCAAAAAUAAAAAAUAACCUCCCACCUUUAACUGUAAAAUACAGCUUUUAUCCCUAGGUCCUUGUGUGUUCCAUCUUGCAGUGGGGGCUCACAAACAUGCUGGUGUGGCCACAGGUGGCUCAGCCAUUGUGGAAGGGACAGUGGAACGUGGGGCAAGGUGGAGCUGCCUAACGUAGCACUGCUGCUAGGCCUCAGCCUGGGUGAAUCCCUGCCUUCCCCAUCAGUGCUGUUUUGAAGACCUGCAAGUACUUGAAAAUAUGUUUGCUCCUUCUGUUUCCUACUCCUGUUUGCAGAGCAUGGAUGCCUUAAGAACAAACUCUUGCCCCUUUGUUAUGGGAUGUUGGGAUGCGGUAGAAGUUCUACCCAAUCUUUUCACAUUUAAUCUUUUGUUAAUCUCGGUGAA
ensembl:lncRNA